rnacentral:lncRNA from 1 species
UGACUUACUUGUUUUCUUCCAAUACGAGGGCAGGGGGAAUCUCACUUGUUUAUAGAAGUCUGACAUGCCCUUAUUGAUCUAACUAAAGUAGUCUUCUAAUAAGGAAUGCCAGGCCCAGAGCUCUUAGUUGAGGAGUUAGAGUCGGGAAUGGUCUUGUUUACAUUGAUUGAAGUCCUAGAAGCAUUAUAAGCUAUUGGUUCAAUAAAGUAGUAGAGACAUCCGUUCUAUUCUAAUGGUUACUUAACGCAUCUCUGCACGGUAGGUAUAUUCUGUAUUCUUUGGAUUCUUGCUAUUACUAGUUCAAAGCUAGCUGAUCUGAGACUAACUACUCUGCUCCUGUAUUCCAGAUCGAAGUAUUACACUGAGCCCGCAUAACCCAUAUUCUUAUUUACCAUUUCUUUUGUGCCCCAAUACAUAGUAGCUGAUUUCUCUUCUUUGUAUCGGCGAUUCCAUUCUUGUAUUCCUCGUUUCGAUUCUUGUUAGUAAUGGUCACAGCCCCUAUGCCUAGCUGUUUCAUUACGAGAAGCCCUAAGUGAAAGCAUGAAAGCAGGAAUUGGAAGAAUUAGAUAAAGUCAGGACAGGCUGUUAUCAAGGGGGUUGUAGUUAUCAAUACAAUAACAGAGCAGAAGAGAGUUUCCUAAGUGCCAAUGAGAUUCUAUUCUCUUAUAAUGCAAAAUGAGAAAAGAAAGAUCAUGAUAUAUAUCAAUACAUAUCAAUACAAGUAGAAUAAGAAAAUAGUAGUGAAAAGAAUACCGGAAGUCGGGCUCAAAAGCAACGAGUCUUUCGUCUAAAGGUUGGAGCAAAACACUUGUGGCCCCACCGUUUAAGCUCUGGGUCGAUCAUUUUAUAGACUUGAAAAAAACACCCUCCGCUCUUUUAUUCUCUUUUCCCAUUGUGCUCAGCCUCCUGCGCCCGGUGCUUCGGUUCUUGUAAAAUAUCUCGGGUCGGGAGCAUCAGUAAAUUGCUUUUUCUUUUCUUGUAGGUCCGGCCCAAUUCAAAUAACACCUAAGGAUCCGACCGGCUUCAGGAAGAGGCACCCCACACCCCUAAAUAAAGGCUUCUAUGCUUUACGUCAUUAAUAAGAUCCAUUCUUGGCCAUAGAUAUGCGCUUUUACAUAUCGUUAUUGAAAGAGUGGGUCUCAAUUCAGAAAUUCGUGCUCCACUAAUAGAAGCGAAAUGAAACCCCACACACAAACAUUUGGAUUUGGAUCCUAAAGCGGAAAGGAAAGGGGCGAUUCAUGGAGAAAGCCUUAUGUCCGCGCUAUUGCCCUGCUUGUUCGCCUAUACUUCACUCUGGAAUCUAUCUCAGAAAGCCUUAUGCCCGCACUAUUGCCCUGCUUGUCUAUACUCUGGAAUCUAGCCUUAUGUCCGCACUAUUGCCCUGCUUGUCUAUACUCUGGAAUCUAUCUCGUGGUUUUCUUUUGCUUUUCCAAUCCUAUCAGGCUUGUGUUACGAUCUAUAUCACUAGAUGGGACUUCCUUUCUCAAGUGCUUCUCCCCUUUUCUGCCUUUCUUUCUCAUAAGAUAUAACAUUCUUGCUCCUAAGGGGUCUUAUUACAUUCUUUCUCAUAAGGUCUGAAUGACUAGUUUAUACGAUACAAAUCAAAUUGGAGUUUGGGCCGUGCCCGGGCAGAUUCCUCCUUUUCUUUUGGUGCUCUCUAGUUUAUGGAGAUUCCUCCUUUUCUUUUGGUGCUCUCUAGUUUAUGGAAAAGUCAAACUCAACUGGAAAGAGGCAAGCGCAAACCUGUUGUGAAAAUAUGAGAAUAAGAAGUUAUACCCUAAUCCUUAGGGAGGAAGCGUGUGUGGGCAUCAUACCAGACCAAAACCCAAUGGAAUGCUCGGCUAUCUUAUUGAUUCUGACUAUUUGGGGAAUGAUUCCAAAAAGAAGGAAGAGGAACCCUAUCUUUACCUUUUCGAGGCGGGCAAAGGAAAGCAGAAGCGGAUGCAGAUCCGUGUGAUGAAAUCCAGAAACUAGUUAUCCAAUCAUCAAUCAAAUGAUAUCAUCUUUUAUCUGUGGAAUGGAAUUCAUCCUUUGUUAGUACCCGCCCGCCCUCCGAAGUGCAUUUCCUGUGUAAGGUAAGAUCCAGCUUGCCAAACUAUAGAGAAGCACCAUUAGAUAAGUUGAUACUUCGUCCUUUUUUGUUCAGGCUAUUCUCAUAGAACUGUGAUACAUUGAAUAUUAGUUAAUAACAACACUGACCCGAACUCUAUAAAUACUAUUUGGUGACGAAAGAGAAUCCAGUCAAAUAGAGAGUAUAUAAGUCAGUCCAGUCCAGGUCCAGUCCAGAAGAAACUCAAGUCUAAGAAAACGGGGAUUAUUGGUACAGAACAUAGUCAAUCGUAGUUACAGCACUUGAUAGCAGAUACUUUACUUACAGCUUUAGCAUUUGAGUAGUAUGGGCCAGUGUGCAGCUUAUGGGACAUAUUCAGUAAUAGGGUAUGCAGUAAUAGGGUAAUAAACCUGUUUCAAGCCUUUAUUUCACCCGAAGACCCAAUAUCAUAUUUGUAAAGGUACUGAACUGAGAAUGAUAGACCUAUGAUAUGAGGAGAAUGAGAGACAUAUGAUAUGAGUUAAUAACAGAACCAGACUCCUGACUGCUGACUCUAUCCUGUCAUAUGAGAUUGAUAUGCCUGUCAUAUGAGAUUGAUAUGCGGACCGGACCUCUCUAUUACUAUUAUAUUCCUUGCUUGAGUGAUGGUAGUCAGAGACUCGCUAGUAAUACCUUUCAUCUUUAUAGAUUGAUAGCAUUCUAUCUAUAGACAUAUAAGAUUCUUCGAAGCAUGAACUAUCAGCAAGAGAGGCUAGCGAAUAAGUAAGUAGGAAAAGAUCUUCUUAGCGCUAAGAUCUGUUGUUCCUGGUAGACUCUGCGCAAGUGAAAUAACGAGUUUGACAAGGCGCCAACACAACAAGACUAAAUGGCGUUAGGAAGGGGCUCCUCAAUUCGAACAUUAUAUACAAAAGAUAGGGCCGCUAGUGUUCGCUGAAUGAAACGCCUUACCUUAACCUUAAUGCUUGGACCACUACAUUAAGGGGCAAUAACUAUACUUUAUGAACAGACCUCGAACAGGAAAGCAACUAAGACUAUGUAUUCAAUUCCAGUCUGGUCUGCUUGGCGGGAUGAAACUAUCACUUUUUGAGUAGUAACUUGGCCGUCUUACUUAGUAGCUUGGCCUGGUGUUGUCGUCUUGUCUACUUUCCAGCUUGUCUCUUCAAGAUGUGAGUAAGCAGUUCGCCCAGUUCCACUUGGUGGGAUCCUAUUAAGAAUAAGAGAUAUCUUUAAGCCGAAGAAGCCAUAAAGAAGGGAGUUUAGUAAAGAAAUGAUAGGUAAUCAGAAUAACUUAGAUGCAAUGUGCACUAGAUGCAGAAUCUUAAGGAAUUGUGGGGUUACUUUUUGACUUGAAAUAGAAAGAUACAGAUAGAGCAGCAGGAUUAGGUGAGGAAUCAGGAGCAAGAUCUGGCUGGAUAAAAAUACUUAUAUGAAGCAACUGUUCUUGUUUCAUCCACAAACUAGCAACUACGAUAGGCCAAAAGGAAUGUUUUGAACUAGUAUAUGUUUCAUUAUUGACUAUCCAAGAAAGGUUCUCUAUCUCCCGAAACAGGACAAGUAGCGGCAUACGACCAAGCUGCUUGUAUAUAAGGGAAAGUCACUACGGCAGCAAGGCAAGCUUAGGGAUGAGCCCGGGCGGAAACUAGUGCUUCUAAUACGAUAACUAGGGACUUGGGAGCCAACUACUACUUAUAAAUAUUCAUAUGAUAACUCCGCUAUACCCUUCUUUAAUACUAUUGAUCCUAGCACUGGCUUUCACACUUUUGGUAUCAUUUCCUUCCUUCCUAUUCUGUCUUAAGUAUAUAGUAACAGUCUACAGCAAGUCAAGUUUUCGGGACAAUGAGUUUUCAUCCUAUUUCUCAACUGCUGAGGUGAAGUAUAAAGUCACAGGGGUGUGGUAGGGCAUACGCAGAGGAGAGAAACUAGUAUACGCUUGGCCCGGGAUUCCAAAAGAAAGAGAGGGCACAAUCCGAGCAUGCAACAUAAGAUAGGUAGGCCCCCAUUCAUAUUAUUUAGGAAAAAGUGUUUCCGGUGGUACCACGUAUUUGACUUUAUGGGAAGGCUUAAUGGCUUGCUGAAAUGAAGCAAUUACACUGUAGCUGCCAAAGGAGACAGCAGCCCGUGCCGGAAGUUCCCUCGUGAGGAAAAGGAGGAGCGUGGGGAUUCUAGUUUCCCCUCAUCCCAUGACGAAGUGCGGAGAUCUUUUCUUUGUAAGGAAAGUGUUUUACUUAUACUGGAAGUCAGGACGUUCACUGCGCUUUAUUUAAAGCAGUGUGCUGCCUGUCUACAACAAAACGGUGAUGUUGUAGAUAGUACCCAGAUGUCUCCUUAUGUGUCGCUCACCCGGUCAAGGGCUUCCUCGGAUUAUUCCAUCUUUCCAUAGAAGGUUGAUAAAGGAUGGAGUAAGACCCAGGCCAAGCUACAACUAUAGUUUCUGUAAGCAGUUAACUACUAUAGUUUCAGUAAGCAGUUAUAUUAGCAGCGGAGUUUCAUUCUUACUUUACUACUUGAGAGAAAGAACUGAGUACUAGGCGAAGUGUUACCGAGAAGUUGGGACAGAAAGUCAGAAAUGAGAAGCAAAGCAGUAAGUAAGUAAGGAAAGAGUCAGGAGUGAACAAGCAAUGCUCUGUUUUUAGUAACAAUUAUAUAUGAGGAACCCGCUACGUGCAACUCAAAAGUCACUCCACAGCUCUUACUAUAAUUAGAAUAUGUGUUUGUUUGGCAAUGAGAAUAUGAGUUUGGCCGGGAAAAGCGUAACCUCCGCGUACGAACGGUAGCUAUUUCUAUAAGAACAAAGGGAGUAAGUAAUAGAGUUUGGGAGCUCGCUACUGCGAGUUAUUAGCGCUGUAGUGACUUCUUUGCCUUAUUGCCCGGCGCCAAAGGAUAAGUAAGCUUAGGGCACCUGCUCCAUGCCAGUAACCACACCUUUAAUGGAAUUGAAUGCACCACACAUCACUUAUAGAGGAGAGUCACUUCAUAACUAAACACCGAAACGUUAGCACCCUUUAGGUGAAUUUAUGCAGAACUAUAAAGGGCCCCUCCCCUAUACUAAGCAUUAAAGAACUUAGUUUAAAUGAGAUGAGAGUAAUAAGCAAGUGAGUUUGAAAGGCGAGUUUCUAUUCCGCCGUGGACAUAGUGGAAAAGGACAGUUUGUUUCCGAGGAUAUGAGUGAGUUUUCAAAGACUGUUGGAGAGUUUCAAUGAUAGAUGUUACAUUAGCUAUGUAUAGGUGUUACUUAGAGAACUAUUAAGUGAAAGCCUGAACCGGUACGAGUUGUUGACAGUUCAAUUGAGCUAGCGAAGGACGAAAACUGGAAUAGCUUCAUUAAGACCUCUCUUGCUUCAUUAAGACCUCUGGCUCCGCCAAGCAACUAAAGCCCUUAACCAUUAAUAAGUCUGGGCCAGUAGGAAAGUCCAAAGUCAUAAUGCUCUUGCAACUCUCUACCUAUAUCCUUUACUUGGUUACCAGAAGAAUCCAUCAUACCUAUAGCGGGGAACUUUCAUGAUUCUGUUUCUUCUACAGCUUCUACUACUUCAACAGCCAUAAAUACUCGCCUUAGACACAAGCAAACUUUCACCUUCACCUCUAUUGGAAACAGGAAUAUAUCUUUGCGCCGAAGCAGCAUCGUAUCGGGAGUGGGAUAUCUUCAGUAGGUCAAGAAUUGGGAGUUGGAGCAGUAAGUAGGAAAAAGCGGAAUAAUAGUAUACAAGCGCAAGGCAAGAGAUGAGAUCAAAGAAAAAGAAUACUUUCCAAAGUCUAGUAUAGAUAAGGAAGGGGUUAUCUUAACUGAUUCUAUAACAUGUGCUCAAUAAGAAAUGAAAGUAUAAGUCGAGGUCGGUUCUAGUUUCAUCGUUCGGUUAAGAAAGAAAGGAACCAUUCACUAUAGAACUCAACCAGCACUAACAGGAAUGGGACCAGAGAAUGCAAGAAUAACCCUAGUGCUUAUAAGCCUUCUACUCCACCCAGAUUCCGUCCUUUGUUUGUGUUGUGCGGCAGGAGCCCCUGGUCAUUCAAGUAAUGUCAACAAGUGCUUCUACUAGUUUUGGAACUGGGCAUUGAAGAAAGUCUUCUGAUAAUGUAGCUACUACCGCUAAGGCAGCACCUAGGAACUACGAAACAAGCACCCCUACUAGUUUCAUUGAACCAAUACCUAUGUAACUUGGCGAGCUCUCAACAGUGCAAUAAGAUACUUUAUCUUGAAACAAAGAAUCAGAACCCCGAUAGAGUUGAACUGAACCAUUACUAGCAUCGGCUGCAGCCCUAUCAGUAGUGGACGUCAACACCUGCUCUAUUCUUUAAAGCAGUAGUACUAGCUUUCAAACAAAUAGAGUCAGAAUGCUAGCAGGGCAGGGCAAGCUCAUAAGCCAGAAAGAGUUUAAGGGAUGUUAGUUUUAGAGCAAGGAGACCCGGAUCAUUGUUUUAAAGAAUAGAAGUAGGCCUCCCCCCAAGCCAAGCUAAUGGUGCAACUAACAAGAAAGGAGCUACUGCUAGCAAUACUGAAACUCGGAACCAUGGAUUCAACUAAAUACUAUGAGCCUUACACUACAGCAUUUCCAUUCCAUUCUUUAGCUCAGCUCUAGGCCCUGUACUUACUCGGUUCAGGCUUAUACUUGCGCCUUUCAGCCUGCUACACACCCAACGAAAGAAGGAAAAUACGGCCUCCUUUGCCGGUUUUGAAUUCUUGAACUAAUGAUUUAGAUCUUUACUUCCACAGAUCAGUAUACCGAUCCUUCCUUUCCAACUGAACUGACCUUCUUAUACUUCUGACUUGAGUUCUGAAAUAGCUUAUUCCGUCUUUUGGACAGAGAGCUCUAAGACUAAUAGAUACGGGUAUGGUGCUAACAGUAAUAUCCGUGGAAGGUGCCUACUACUAGUACAGAACCAGAGGAACCGAAACGGAGAAUAACGACUAGAAGACGGAAGUUCGAAAGUCAUAAUAAAAGAAAGGAAUGGAGGAAUGGGUUCUUCAGCAAACAAACCUAGUAGUGGUUCCCCAACUCGAAAGUCAAGAUGUUCUAUAAUAUACUAAUCCGAAUUGAACGACGACUAUACUACAAAAGGAAUCCAACAUCGACAUAACGAAUCGAACUGCAGCUAACGAGAAUGGAAUUAACAGCUGGGCAUUCAACCAUCGCUAACAGGGAAUUGAGCACUGCUAGCAGGAAUCCGACUACUGCUUCUAGGACUCUCGCUCAAAAGAGAUAGUUGCACCCCGGUAAUUAAGCCUACCGAGCUUAAACCCAAGUCUGUCUUUCCUCUCCUUUUGCCGAAAAAUCCAAUAAGUUAGAAUUGACUCACACCUGCAGAGAAAUCAAUCAUAAUAUAAGGUAUUAUCACGCGCAUAAGGUAGUAAUGGUAUACACAGAAUAGAAAGUAAUCAUAGUCUUAAUAGAAUCAUAAGACAUCAUUAGUAUUAAUAGAAUCCUAAGAAUAGGAGGUAAGGUAUUCAAAACUCAGAAUUGGAAGAAGAAGGGAAAGUCUCCAGUAGAAACAGAAGCAACAGAACAAUUAGAGUUCCCCGCUCGAAGUAAUAGAUAUGAUAUAUUGGUCACCAACUCCAUGGGCUCUUUCUCUCAACGCUUUCUCUCGCUGACGAAGAAAGGACUCGGUAAGGGCACCGAACUAUAAAACAUGAGUCGUUGCUUGUCCCAUUAACAGGCGCUAAAUUCCUUAGGUAAGAACGUGCCAUCCGAAAGAAAGUCUGACUUAGGAUGAAGUUCGCCUUGGGCAAGAAGAAUUCAAUGCUAUAGAUCGGGCCAUAAAGAUGAAAGCGCUAUAGUAUCAAUAGAAGGGCAUGGGGGGAAAGUCAGCAAAUAAUCCCCUGUUAGCUACAGUAGGUACCAACUCCUGUAUACCAAUAGGCUGCAGGCCCAGAAGGAACUGACAUAAAUAGCGUUCCUAUAGUAAGUAGUAAGGUGAGGUAGAUUUGCACUUCUUUAAGGUAGAUUUCCACUUCGAAAAAAGAGUCAUCCAAAAGUCAUAUAUAUCUGUCAGUGAACACAAACUAAGGAGUCAUAAAUAAGUCAUAUAUAUCUGUCAGUGAACACAAACUAAGGAGUUCACUCGCUCUACACCUUUGACACAAUUCCACCUUUGUAGUAUAAGCUAUUAUUCCCACCCCAAACUACUAAUUCAAUUACAUAUUGUUUGGCGUUAAAUGACGAAAUAGCUGAUUGACGGGCAUUUCCAUGGAGACCAGUCUGUCUUUUGGUGGAAAGCUAAAGCGGAACACUUACCAAACCUGUGAAAAGCCUUUACAUUUCCCGGUCAAAAUGGGCAUACUAUACCAGAAACCAUAUAACCCCACUUAGAAUCUAAUAGAAAGUAGAAAGAAAGGGAACCCCUAUAACCAAGGUUGACGUUAUCAGCGAAACCCCUCUCCACGGACCUCCUGUACAGGCUUGCCUGGCCUACUCUUGCACACAUAAGGGUUAAAGCCGUUUUCUCCACUCUGGACUCUCUGCGACGCUAACUCUUUCAGUUAACCGAUUGCCGAAUCGGAAAAAGGUUCAAGGACAAAUCCAAUACUUAUUGAGUUACCGCACUGCGUAAUAUAUUGAACGAAUUGAUUCUCUAACUACAGGAAACUACAAAAUCCAAGUAGCAAUAUACAAGCCUUUAUAGCUUACUAUCCAGAUUAUGUUAAAGUAACUGUACUUUUUGCGAUGAAAGGUAUGGGAUCUCAAGCAUAUAGCAGUGACAGCACCUGUAGACUGGAAUGGAACCACAUCGGCUACAGUAGCAACAAGCUAGGAGUAAUCUGGGACUCCUUUUGAGUAGUUAUCCGUUCUCGAUUCACAGCAGGAUUUAGGCUCUAUUUUCAUUCGUUCUGUUUUCUGAGAUUAACAUAGGAGUCAGUGCAGUAUACUUAGCGAGUCUAACUUCCGCUUGUAAACAUUCGAAUAGUCUAAUCUCUCUUUGUUGGUGAUACUUUCUGGAGCAGUUGGCUUAUUUCACGCUCUUAUAGCUAGCUUAGAGGCCUUUUACUUACAUGAUCGGCGUAGUCCCAUUGAAGGGAAGCGCCAUACCUUAGUUGCUCGUCAUUGUCGAAAUCUCUUUCAUUUGACAGAGAGAAGGCCGAACCCGGCUUAUACAUGAAAUCAAAGCUACGCCUGGUGUUCUAACAUCAUAAUCCGUUCUUCGAUAACAAGCGGAUACUUCAUUAGAUCUAAUCCUCUCCUACUCUUUCUUAGAGUAACACACCGGUGAAUGGCUAGCUCUGACAAACAAAUAUUCGAUGGCUUGGCGAAGACCACUUCUAAGUUCUAAUUGCGUUAGGAGACUACCAAGGUGAUGAAGUUACAAACCAACCAAUAAACAUCUUUCCUUCUUCGUUUUCCAACUAAAGUCACUCUGCGAUUGCUCUCAGUGGGUCUGUAUCUCGUCCUUGGAUCAUUGAUUCUGGAGCCUCUGAUCAUAUGACUGGGUCUUCCAAAUAUAACUCAUCUGACUUUCCUGCUUCAGGCAAGGGAAUAGCUGAUGGUUCCUUAUGCUCUGUAGCAUGGAAGGAAAGGGUCUGUUCCUUUUCCCCACUUCUAUCUUCUACUUUUCAUCUGUAUUCCAUGUUGCUAAUUUCCCUCUCAAUCUUCUGUCCAUUAGUUCCAUUAAUCCAAAUUGGAAUUGAAAAGCCCAACGAAUUCUUUCUUUCAGUAACUCUGAGGACGGGAAGAUGAUUGGCAAUGGUAGGGUAAAAGAGUGCAACUAUAUGCUCGAGGCAAACCUAAGUAAGUUAACUGAGUGAAGUAGUCAAAAAGAGCAUUGGAACUUAUUUAGUCAGAGGGGGUUCAAUGAUAUUAUUCAUAGAAAAGAAAGAAGGAAAGCACCCGGGCCGGGGUUCCUCUUAUCUUUGGAAGUCAAAACGGUUCCCAAGCCCAGAAAAGUCAAUUGACGAAACAAGGUGAGCAACUCUAGCCAUUGAUCCAGUUGGAGUGGUAAGACUCAUAAGGUCAAGCCCCCAAGUGGUAGUGCUUAAGGUCAAGCCCCUAAGUGGUAGUGCUUCGUUCCCCAAGCAAGUAAAGACAUAGUGAAAUGCACGAGUCAGUCUUCGUUUGUGAAGUGAGUCCUCUAAGUUGUCGCCGAAUUCUCUUUUCGCGGAGUUGAGUUGAGGUAUCAGACCCCAUCCAUGUAUGUCCUUGUUUCAUUUCCUCCAGUAGUGGUUACAUUCUUUCCAGCAGUUCUCCAGCCUUGUCAGCAGAUAAAUAAGAAUAAUGGAUAUAGUUCUGGAAUCAAAGGUGAUUUUAUAGGUAUAGUGGCCCGUUUGUAGGUAUAGUUCGGCAAGGUCAAAGGUCAGUUUAGAGGUAUAGUUCGGAAAUGACAAAUCAAAGAAUAGAAGUAGGGGUAGUAAGCCCAACAGUAAGUAACGCCAGGAGCAAGUCUAAGAACGAGGAGAGUGAAAGUGGGUCUUUGGCCCUGGAGGAUACAAUAAGGCUUUGCUACUGUCAGUUCAUUCCGCUUAGUAUUGGUUCAAGUCUCUUACUUUUCAGUUGGAUUCCCUCUAUCAGUGGAUGCGCUACUGGAUCGUAACCUAAUUCUCCAAAUACGGAGGUUGGUUCUAAUACCCUAUGAGUAAAGUAAAGGAAUGAAAAGCACCUAGGCGCGUAGAAUUAGUUCCCGGCUUAAUGCUUAGAAGCAAAGCUGUAGUUCGAUUAUAUUCCCGGCGCUGCUGCUAAAAGAGUUCAACUUACAAGUACAAUACAAAUGCAAGGGUAUAUUAAGUACAGAACUAGGGCUUACACCCGGGACUAGGCAUUGAAGAAAGGAGUGCGAGAACAAAACUUAGAAGUCAUAAUAAGGAUUCCGGGUUACAAGAGUCAAAGGGGAACUACAGAAUUGAACUAGUGCUUACAGAGCUUUAAGUCUAUACGGAAUUUUCGAAUUUCACUCACAAACUAGGAAUUCUACUCUCAAGUAGGCGAACGAGCAAGUAAGAAUUGACUUCAUCACAUCAGUAUGGGACUCGAAGUGGUUAAGGAAACUUUGACUUAUAAGAGAAUUCAACCAUCGAGUCAGGAUACCCAGUGUGAACUCCCCUACCGCCAUAAAUACAUGAAAUGCUACCCCUGCCCUAAAGCCUUGUAAUACUCCUUUUGAUUACUUACUUGUUUCAUUGCUUAUUCCAAGGUUUAGUAGUCUGACAUUCCUGUCUGUUAGUCCGCCUAUCCGUACCCUAAUUCUACUAUACUGGGGUUGGUUCUCGUACGACUAAAUCUUCUUCUUUGAUCUACUAACCUCUACUGCUUCCUCGCUUCUUAUUCUAGUAGAGCAAUAAUAACUCGCUUCUUAUUCUAUGAUUACUUCCCCCUAUACAAUACUUGAGCUCGCAGCUGAUUUCCCUUCUACAGUUUCUUCAGUUGGGCCUAGACCUAGACUAGACACCUAGACCUGGACCUUGGAGAACCACUAACUCGAGACUUAACCGCUCCCGGCUUAGAGUAAAGAACGGAUCUUAUCUUAGCACCAACCUCUUCUACGACAAAGAGCGUAAGCAUAAAAACGAAAACCUCUUUCGUCGCCAACUGCCAUAAAAAGUCACGUAUAGCCGCCAAGGGCCAAGCGCCAAGACACGUAUAAUUAUUAGCCUACCUCUCCCUUCUAUUACUCUUGCUUUACUGUUUCUUAGCCUAUGUUUCCUUGUUCUAAGUCUCCUGAUCCCUUAGCUAGGCCUGCUCUUCCUUACUACUAUAGCAGACUUGACUUUCACUGCCAACUAUCCGACUGUAACUACGAUAGGCCUGCCUUCCUUUCUUGACUCUAAAACGGAUACUGCUUAAUCCAAUUCUGACUAUGAUGGCUUCUAAUUCUGACUAUCAUGGCUACUAUUGGUCUGCCCUUCCUCACCUCUGCAAACUGAUACUAAUGUCUUACUACUUGUCUUACUACUAUUAGGAUUGGGCUAGCGCUAACAAGACGGAUGUUACACCUAAAAGAAUAACCCCAAGAAGGAGGAAUUUGGCUGAUAGGAGCAAAGAUCAAACUGUGCCCUAACCCACUGGAACUAGUUUGACUGCCGCUACACUCUUUUUCCCUGACUUUUGACUAUAUCGUAGGCUACUAUUAGACUAAGUACAAUACUUCAGAAGUUAACUAGUAAUGAUAGGACUUGAAAUACCAAAUAGCAUAAUGAAACUAAGAAGUACAAGAACCAAUAAGCCCACAAUAGAAAGAAUGGAACUGUGGACAACCCUGCUAGAACUGCUGCUACUGCUCCCCAAACCCUAUGUGCGAUUGUGAGUCUGCCCCUACGGCUUUCAAUGUACUACCGACUUGAGCUUACUGCUAUAAGAAUUGAUCCACUGCUUCUGAGAGCAUAGCUACUGGAAAACAGACCCAGAACUAGUUACUAUUAGCCUGGCACUACGGACUUCCAAUAACUUUACCUAGAAUACGGGAACCCAACCUAUACUGAUGAGAGUCAAGUGAACAACUAGUAAUUCCAUCACUGAAAGCCAGGCUCGAGCUACUGGUUAACAGCCUUAUUACGCCUUCCUUUAUUCUGAGUUCUGAGUUAGAGUAUUAUAGGUAGAGUAGCCCCAUACUAGUGAUUCUAUCAAUCAUGUAUUGCUAGCGGAUUCUAUCAAUCAUGUAUUGUAUGUUGCCGGGGCCCUAUAUUCUUAUUGGCGUAUCAUAGAAAAAGAACUUAGCUCACAACUAAGACUGUUGUUACUGGACUCAAAGCCGCCAUUCAUGGAUCUCAUAUCCAUAUUUGUAUCUAGCACUGCUGGCACUGACCUCAAUGCUUGACUCUUAUCGGCCCCGCCGGUCUCUAAGCCUCAACUACGGACUUUCAUUCUCCAAUUCCAGAUCUAGCAUCUUGCUUUAGUGUAGAGUUUUGGGUUCCCGCUCCCGCUUCUCAGCCUUACUAUCCUUCCUUUCACUCUUUAACCACUGCGUCGGAUCCUCCAGCUGCGGAUCUCAUAUCUGUAUCCCUAAAUAAGGGCUUAGGUCUACUGCUUAUUUAUUAAUAGUAAGCUUGGUUCUACCUUAGCUAUAUGUUAUAUGAGUUGUUCUCUUAUUGUUAUUACUAGAUGCACACUCGUACGGACUCCUUAUUCCAGUAGAUACAAAACUUUGACAGUUGGAUUGAUUUCUUGUAUUUGUUAUUUAUAUCUUAUAAUAGUGGUUGUACUUAUCUAUUCUCUUUUACUAUAAUAUGAUUUGCUUAUCUAUUUACUUAAUAUUAGAAACUGCUCACUGAGUGCUUUAACUACUUAUUCACAGAACAGAGGGGAUAAAGAGAAAAGCGGAACAAAGAGUUUGAGCCCGCGCCUGUAAUCACGUCAAAGGAGAGAGCGAUUGAGAGACUUGAUUACGACCGUUAUAUAUUAGCCUUUUCACAUUGAUACCGAUACAAAGAGCAGAUAUGUGAGAUUAUGGAAUAUAGUAAGCAAGACGGAUUCCACUUUAGACUAGCUUUACCAUUACGAAAUACCACUCGGGGAGUUCGAGGGAAGAACCAGGAACCGGAUCCACAGCCGAAUAGCAACUCUAAGUAAGUAUACACGAGCAGAACUCAAAGCGAUCAUAGCGCCCCUUACCCACAUAGCCAUUCUUGCGGAUCAGCCGGGCGUUGCGUGCUUGUUUUGCAAGAUUUCGCUUUCUUCCUUCGUUGUAUCGAUAAGUGAGUGGAUCAAACAUGUGUUCACUUUCCAUUUUCGAAAAAGAGGGUGCUUCGUCAUCUUAAUGAUUUGAAAGUGGAUUCCGCCUACACAAACUACUACAUUGUUGCUUGGUGAGUCCCUGCGUUUGCUUCUUCGGUUUUCUAGUAGCAAGAUCUGGCUUUUGGUUGGAAGAUUGAAUCAGGGGUCUGAACGACGGCAUUCCAAGAAGCUACUUCCUAUGGUAUGGGAUGGUACCCUAUUGAUGAAUCUUUUCAGUCGAAAGAAAGUCAUUUCCCUUUUGUUACCUUCUUUCUUGAUAUUUCUCAAAGAGGCAAAUCCAUAUUUAUAUAAAGAAGGGCGGUGGGGAUGGUUAAGGCAGAAUGGAAAGAAAAGACUACUAAAUGUGCUAGCGAAGAAUUAUGGCCAACGAAAGAAAUUAGUAACUGACCACACUCUUUGCCAUUCGCCCGAAAGCAAGGGAAAUACCAGGAGGCAAGUCGAAGUUAAGUUCCUAUUGAGUUGAGGAAGAUGUUCGAUUCGGGUUCAAAUGAAUCUAAGAUCUCUAUUAGAGAAAGAAAGAGAAUUGUGUGAGUUAGAUUCGUGUGCAGCUGAUGAAAUAGCUAGGGUUGAUGAUAUAACUAGAACUACGGGUGUAUUGCUAAGACUUGUUUCUCUAUUCCGCAUUAAGUAUCAGGGGAAUUUGCCCUGCUAAGGAAAACACCUGCUUGCUGUUAUCAAAUUGAAGGUUUUACAUUAGUUCACAUUCAAAGGGCUUACGACUCAUAGGUUCUGCCCGUGAAUAAGAUCUGGGAUGUUUGGGAGAGUUGUUCCAGAGGUAGUUCAACUAGUCUAAAGUGGAAGCGUUUGGCAAGGAGUUAUUUCCCCAAUGAGCAUUUAGCGAUUCUCCAAUCUAUGUUCUAUUAAACGAUUCACCGACAAUUAGCCUAGCCUCCGAAGACAUGAUUCUAUAGUAAAGAAGUAUACAUGGUACGAAUGGGAUUGAGAAGGAGCUCUUCCCUUUGUCAGGUGCAUGGCCAUGUUGGCUCUUUCCUUAAAGCUGGGGAAGGAAAGCAAGGAACUGAUACGAAAAACUCGCAAAGCACAACUAGAAUAUAGCCUUAGACCUCAUCAAUCGAGGAAUCAAAGAACCAAUCGUUGAAAAAGCCUGAUUGCUAUUAUAGGGCUUUCUUAGGCCUUUGGGAGAUUUUAUUGAAUCAGAGAAAAGGUGAAGACAGUGCCCGGAAUUGGACAAAUAGCUUGUGCACACGAACAGAAGGGAGUGAAUCGUAGAACAGAGAGAGGGAGGUUUGGAUCUGAAGUUGGUAACGCCUAAAACGAUUUCUCGAAUCAACCGUGGAGCUAGGAUUGUCAAGAAGGAGGGGGAAUUAGGCUUCCGGUAGGUGGUAGGACAAAUAGCUCUUUUGAAGGUUCGAAACCCUGCUUGUCUCUAAUUGCUUUAUAUUGAUGGCAUUUAUAGUUCCAUCAGCUCUCCAGUGAAAUGUAAAGAGAAAGGGGAAAAAGAAAAGAAAGCGGCCCUGGGCCGAGUAGGAAAGGGACUCGUUUAUGGCCGCCGUCGGUUUAGACCACACUCCAAUUGUGCAAUGUCAGCACAGCGAAUUGGAUAUGCCUUUCACUAGCUCAACACAAAUGGAAAACACUUGUGAGCGCUUGUCAAUUGAAAGCACGGAGCCCUUCUCUGGAAAAACGAAAAGGGAAGGAAAAUCGAUUGGAGAGAAGAAUUAGCUCAAACUCUGUAAACCUCCUGAAGAGCCUAGGAUUUGUUAGAGAAAAUGGCACCUUGUUUAGCAAAGACCCCGGAAAUCCACCCGGGUAAAGAGAGCCCAAACUAUUAGAAACUAAAGAAGGUAAGUGCACACAUCUUGAAUCAAAAAAGAGCGGGCCCCCACGAGAAAUGAGAAUGGUACUGAAAGAAUGGGUCAACGCCAAUUGUCCGAAGAGUACGACUCUGGGCUAUAUCUUAUUAUCUAUCUGUCUAUCUAUUUAUUAUCCAUCUGUCUAUCUAUCUUGGAUGUCGUCCCUUGCCUUUCACUUUAGCUAGGUCGUGGGCGUAUCCUGUUGCUGCUAAAAAUGAUCUAUCGCUUCCUGCGCCUAGCCAAAAACGAAAAAACCUUCGGGGCAUCCUUUGAUGAAAGGACUUGGUUUCACAACGGCUUAUCUUGCUUUUGAUAUAAGCUCCAAACUUGACAUGUAAUGGCUGCCACAGGAUCAGACCCAGACAAACUAAUAGUGGAUCCCAUUGGAGUUUGAUGCUUGGGGGACCUUUCCGAUUGAAAAAGGGAGACGCCUAAUUGAUCAAUAAUUCCAUAAUAGAAUGAGUUCGUGGCUUGCUGAUCAUAGAUAGGGUUAAGGCUAACACAAAAUCAAUUGAAACCCGGAGUUCCACUUUCCAAUCAAGGAGUAUGGACGAAAUGGAAAAUCUCCCUAUGGACAUUUUGUGAAUCGAAAAUGUUGGGUUUAGUCGACUCGUAAAUCCAGAAUAAUGGAUUGACUACUAUGGAUAUCCCAGGCGGCCUCCCUAUACUCUGCCCACUCGCCCCUUGUUCUUUUGGGUCAACAGCAUUUGGUUCGGGUGAGGCUUCUUCGUUCCACUCAUUUGUUUAGUAAGUGUCUUGUCCGGCCUUAACCAUAGCAGACGAAAACGAUCCAUGCACACACAUAAUAAUGUUGCACAUAUGAAUAGAUAGAGACGCUGUUGUCUAACCCUGAUUGAUGAAACGUAGUCACUUUAAGAUGUCAUCUACAGAACAGGCGCUUGAACCUCUUUCUUCUCCCUAGGUCGAGCCCAACUUCCAUUUAUCGCAUCCAGACAUGAGAAUUGAGAACAUUAUACAGGUUCCACCUAUCUUCUAUUGGUCCUAGAGGAGAUCAAGACUGGUCUUAGUUCCUUUCCCGAGGCGAGGAAGUGAAGAUAAUUACAUUGAGAAAAGAACGAACCUAUUCUUAAAGAAAGAACGGACAACGAGAAGAAUGCACCAAAGAAUGUGUAAGCCCAAAGAAAGUGUAAGCAAGGAAGUGGAAUUGGGAAUGCACCAAAGAAAGUGUAAGCAAAGGAAGUGGAAUUGGGUUGAUUUAUGUAAGAGAAAGGCUUCCCUUACAAUUCAUAGGGUGUAAGCUGUAGUUGAAUACGGUGUUAUGUUUUUCAAGUGAAUAAGAGCCAAGCAACUAAAGAGACCGUUAUAGUAUCUUGACUGUUUCUUUCACGUACUUGGUUUCACUCGUCAAGCGAACAGCCCUUUUAGCAUUUGGAAAUGGCAUACAUAUAUAAUAUAGAGUUCUUCUUGGUAUUGGAUCCGCCCGUAAUCGUUGCCCGACCAACUCUUCCUUCUGUCUUUCCCUACUUUACGCCGUACAUUGAAGCAAGCCUUUACUUGGUUUUUCUCAACUAACCGGCUGACCAACUUGUCUUUCCUCCCGCCUGGAAAAACAUUACAAUCGAAUCGAGUCCUUGUGAAUGGGCAAAGCCAGGUGCUCUUAACGAAAAGAAAAGGUGCUGAAAGCCUUCCACUUCUAUUACUGACAAGGAAUGAAAAACCACCGUUGUCUCUUCGUCUCUCUACUCUUUUGCUCCUCUUUUUGGAGAAGGUAAUAGAGCUUCAAAGUGAACAACCUUUUGAGUUUUGUAGAAGCUAACUAUCCGCUUUCGCACAUGGGAAGUUGAUUCUAUCGCAUAUCCGCUUACUGCUGUAGCAUAUCUGCUGUUCACUACUUCUGGCUUGCCUUGUUGUUUACCAUAUAAAUGAUUAUAUACGAAAGAAAAGAAAACUAUCACUCGAACCAUCGUAGUAAGUCGGCUAGUCUUUUAGAGCAGGUGGCAUGAGAGCUAGAGCGGUCCUCUAAGCAUGUCGAUUCCUAUUUCACAGUGAUCGACCAAUCCUUACCUUUACACGACAGCAUCGAGAAUCUCGUUGAUACUUAAGAAAACGAAUCUCAUCCAAGUAGAAAAGCGAAAAGCCAUAUCGUACGAGUAAAGCUCGUGAAAGGAAAGAUAGAAUUAGGGUAGGGGCAAAUGUGUCCACCAAAAAUGUCCAUAGGGGGAUUUUCUCCAUUAUGGGAUCCAGGUCAAAACACCAUCAAAUAAUUCAUGCUUUUCUUUAUGAUUGGCCUUACACAUAAGCAGCCACCUAGAGCACAUGUAACAACGGCGGAACAAAAGAACAGGAAUUCCAGAACCGAACAGCUUACUUAUCGUCUAUCUAAAGAAAGAAGAGACUUCCUUCAUCUAUUAGGCCCAUGCUCCCAAUAAAGUGCUUACAAAAUCUUCUGAGAACCGAAAUCCCACGAAAGUAAGUAAACACAUACCCACUAGUUUUCCAAUCGAGAAAUUGAAGCUAGGCGAACAUAUCCAAUGAUAGAAAUGAGAUGAAGUAAAAGAUAGAACGGAGUUGGAGAACUAAAGAUCCGUGGUUGCUGAAGACCCUUCUCCUUUUCGGGGAUCCCUACUAGAAAGGAGUAUACAGCUCCACUUAACAUGGAUGUAUACUAACCUUGAUCUUUACACCAAGAAUGGAAUCCAUCCGGAAACUAAAGACUAGCACACCAUCCAAUCAGAUAAUCCUUCCUUAUACAUUAGCGCUGGAAAGAAAGAUAGCACAAAAGAACAAUAACGGAAUCUUAUCUAUACGAAUUCAUUUAGCCGCGAGCAAUCCAUGUUUUUCUCUAAAGAGAUCAUCCUUUCCUUCGUUCAAUUACUGUAUAUAUAAGUUCAGAAUCCUGUCCAAAAGGCAUACGUACAAGUUAUUAUGCCUUGACGGUUUAGCCCCUAAUUUCUCUAACUUGGAAUCAACAGAGAGCUUUCUCUCCCAUUUACAUUUCAUAAAGGGUGCGUGCCCUAGUUGCAAUACUUCCCGCAGGCGUAAUACAGCAUUGGAAGCCUAGAAAGAAAAGAAGUAUGGACUGGGGAAGUGCAAUACACUGGGGGACUUCGACUAUCUAUACUAUACUUUCCGGAUUGACCCUUCAAACUCAGAGACUAAUCCUAUUCUGUGACCCCCGGGGACAGGUACUGGCUCGCAGGAACUCGCAAUGGAACGUGAUUCCUCCCUUCCCUCCUAACUGGCAGGGCAACAGCAACAGACAGAGAACCAAGAAAGUACCCCAUGUAACGUAAAUAGAGGGCAUAGCACUAAGCUUUCUUCUACGUGGUUCUAUCAACCACAAACCACGGAUACUCAGGGUUUCUCACAGGAUCAUGGAUUUCCCUUGCCUUCAAGCUUUCCAAAGAAGUAAAGAAACUGGCUUGACUUGCAAGCUUGCACAGCGGAUAUACUUUUGAACUUAGGAUUGCUAUUUUAGGGCUGGGAAUAAUCCAACAAUUCUUCAUCGCUUUUUUCCAUUGCUUUUUAUAGCUUUCCAUUGCUUUCUGCCUAUCCCCCUAGUUUGAUAAGGAAUUCUUCUAAGCUAGAGCUUUCUUACUAUCUUGCUUUUGCGGCUUGCAAAGUGGUUUGCUUGCUCACUGCUUUACGAAAGCGCUUAUCUUAAGACUGCCUUCAAGGCCUUACCACUAAAGGAAGAAGGGAUCCCAUAAGGAAGGAAAGAAUCAAGGGGCCGGUUCAAAGCGUUGUUGGCUGUUAACUACUAUAGUAUCGGGAAACCUCCGGGCAAAGCGAAAUAUCCCCUCCAAUCUGGAACCUCCUUACUGCGGCUAAAUACCGAUAUCAUCUGCUUCAUAGUGGAAAUGGAAAGUCAGCUCCCUCGAAGAAAUGGAAAGUCAGCUCCCUCGAACGGAAAAACAGGCCUGCCAAACGGAAUCGAAAGAAAGGCAAACAGGAAAUUCCACCCUUGGCAUGACAGGAAGAAGGACUCCCACUUGUUUACUGGCAACUGCCACUGGACCGACAUCGGAAGAAAACGGAAAAUCAAAGAAGAGUCCUGGCCUAAUACACUUGAGUUUUUUGAAGAAAGAGAGAGACUCUUCCCAUUUAAAAGAGAAAGAAGAGAAGGAUAAGGUAUUCUGGCAAUAUCCGGCAUACUCCGACUAAUCGAUUCUAAUAUAAGGCAUACGUAGACUAUACUAAUCGAUUUUUUGGCCAUUUGCGAUCGAACAACCUAUGAACUGUUGUAGCCUACAUAACUGACCUACCAGACCAAGGCAAAGGGAAGAAGGUAUCAGAUAACUGUAGUUCUAUACCCCUUUCUUUUGAGAAACCAGUUCCUAUACUUUGAAUGAGAAAAAGCGAGUCAAAUAGUAUGGUCAAAGGGCAAGCCUCACCUCUCCAUUUCCCCCUAUCAUGGAAUUCAACUCCACUACAGUUUACUCACCAUGACAAGGGCCAGCGAUCUCACUACGAUAAGCUCCUUUACUUCAAAAAGAAAAGAAAACCAGAAAAGAGCAAACCCUUAUCCAUGAUAUUUCCAUAAGAUUCUCCUAUUUCUUAUUCCCCCGAAGGAGCUCCUUGGUGAUUGGUAUAGAGCAAAAAGGACACGAAAAGCUAUGUUAAGUAAUAAAAGGCCGAUAAUUGCUACAAAUAACCUAACACAUUUUUGUCAUGAUCAGAAUUCCAGGGGUGUUUCGCUGGCUCUUCUUUUUUCUCCCUGGGGGCUGGUUCGAAUCCAGCUCGUGACUUUUCUUUUCCUCGUUCACCACCCAUUUCACUUUGUAUGGAUACAUCCGGGGGAAGGCUUACAUACGCGUCCAUACUCAAGGCUAGAGUUUAUGACAAAGAAAUCAACUAAUCCUAUUUGUCCCCGGAAACGGAAGUCCAACCUGAAACCUCAUUUAAAAGUACUCAAAAACAAGUAAGUGGGAUCCUCUCCUUCCUAGGCAAUUCCAUAUAUUGACAUGAGGUCUUUUCCCUAAUUCUUUGAUCAAAGUCUUUUCAUUACAUACGUGUUUUGAUUACAUUCUUUACCUUUAGCUUUAGUGAACUGGCAAGUCGUAUUGUAUUGGUUAUUAGGCAAUCCGACCUCUUCCUACAGUAGGGUUUGGGUUCAAUUGGAUCUCUUUCCUUCUUGACUAUUAGAUUCUUAGGCAGAUGAAUUCGCCAAACGCCGACCCGCUCCAUCAGGACAAAAUAAAGGCGUCCGAGCGCAACAAGACCAGACUGCUAACUCAAUGGAAAAUGAAUUAAGAAAAAAGGGGUCGUUUUAUACUUCGAUGAAAGAGAGACUCAAAAAAGCAGAUGUAACACUCCGGAUACUUGGUACCAAAACACCUAUAUUGGUGUGUUGAUAGGAAGAGAAGAAAAAGACCAGAAAGAACCAUUCCUGAAUCGCCGAAAUUGAGAACAUAGAAAUGUGCCUUCACCCAACCCAUGUAGCAUUUUGGGCAGCCAAAAACACAGGGUGGCCAAUAACGGCUGCAGAGACUUUGAUGUUAUUAGCAUUUACUCAAACUCAUUAAUGACAUUUUCAUACCGGAAUUAUGACUGAGAAUGAAACCUUAUUCGCUCUGCUACAACGAACGAACAGACCAUUGAGGGUGAGUGAAACGGCUAUAAGAAAGGUCCUCUUUCCGCAGCAUCAGAUUGUGCAUUUUCACAUGAAAUUAAGGAUAGGGUGCCAAUAUUGAUUGAAAUACUGGGUUUCCGCCUAUUGACCUUCCAUUCGUUUCACGCUUUUCAAACAAUGAAUUCAUCUGGUUUUCCUAGGAUUCGAAAUUGACCUGUUUGCUGUAUCAGCUCGAACGAAGCUUUCAACUCCACUGCAAGCUUUGAAUCAAUAUCACUAUCCUCGGGCAACCUUUGAGUAGACCACAGGCGGGGCGGAAAGAAGCCUGCUAUCAAACCCUCUUUUGGACUUUUGAGAUCUUUCGUUUUUUCAAAGGAUUCCGGCACGACUCCAAUGCCUAACUACGACUUUUCAUUGAGUUACGGAACGACUACUUUCAUUGAUCCUUCUUUCUCCUGCGCUUCCUUCUGUGUCUUUGCCCACUUCUUUCUAUCUACGUUCUUUCUUCUCUGAGAAUGAUUCUAACCUUCGCUGAGCUUUGAACAUAGAUUUGAUCUCUAGUAAAUGACCUAAAACAAGAAACAGUAAUUACAAGAUUCCAUAUAUUGCCUCGCUCACAACUACUAUCAAAUCUCUCUUUGCCUCGCUCACAACUACUAUCAAAUCUCUCUUUGCCUCGCUCACAACUACUAUCAAAUCCCUCUGCCUAUAACACAUUUUUCAAUACCUUUCACCUUUGAGUUAGAUUCUCUGUUUCGGGGCUCGCCCUCCUCUCCUAUAUAUAAAAAGAAGUGACUCCGGAACUCCCUUACCAGCCUUUGCACUUCUCUAUUCGAGAGGAAUGGUUUACGCUUUGAGCUACUCUACUCUACUAUCUUUCUUACUACAGCAUUGAAUGAACCUCUAAGAGACCAUACUUCUCGAGUUCUAAAAUAGUACUAUAUUCUAAGUGAGUUAUGGCGGAAUGCUUCUUUGUCGUUCUAUCGAUAGUCCCAUCAGUCGUGAUAAAAGAAAGUCCGUCCUGCAGACCCUUCGACGGAGCGGAAUCUUUACUUUCGAGGUCGGGAAGGUAAGCUUCCUACUAUAAAGGAAUGAUUCGAGUUCACGUAACACUAAUGGAUUGGUAAUUGAAUAGGAAAUUAGUGGGAAGAAGAAGACAUUGACCGUAGGACAUAGCAGGUGAUUAAAAGGCAUUGAUCUGACUGAUGUAGUGGACUACGAAAGAUUGACUUCCUCUUCCGCUGGAAAGCAGGAAAGAUUGCAUUUACCCCCUAGCUAUCGUGCAACAAUCCGUUUUGUUGCUUACUACUUAUCUCUAUAGAACUAGCUUCAUCGCCUAGGAGCUAAAAGAGGAAGACAACUGCAAAGAGACUGUUAUUCUUACUCGUUCGCCUAUGAUUCCCGACUCCUGGCGGCCCCUUCGAAACCCCUUCACCCGUCCACUAAAAGAUAACCGAGAACCGAGAUGUCUAGCCGGAGUUUUGUAAUGAAUAUAAGGAAUUGGUACUAAAGGCAAUCGCUGUAUGAAUAAGGUGCAAACUCUAUCAUGGCUUCAGGGGCCUUCCAUAAGUUGCCUCUUACCCUGUUGUCGAUCCGACAGCACCAUCAAGCUGAUACCAAGACAUUUGAACCUCCGCUUUCAGCAGUUUUAUACUAGGACUUCCGUAGCCGAUAAGAGGCAAAACUCGUUGACCAUGCAAAAAGAAAUACGGGCGCUUUACCGUGUCACAGAAAUAGAUCACAUUUCGAGGAGACAAGAUCGGGUCAUAUCCCUCAGCCACUUUCAAUAAAGAGUGGAUACAGAUAUGGGGACUCCUACCCGAAUGCAAACUGGAAGAACUCACUUUCCUAUCGUUCAGUAGGCUUUCAAAUGAUUACCUGUUGUUAAUAGAAAUCGUUAUAGAAUUCCUAUGUUGACAAUCUUGCUUGAGAAUCUGCUUGUUACCUUGCCAUUACUGGCUUGAUCACUGGAAUAGAACUCUUGGGCAGAAGCACUUACAUGGACAGAAUUCCGCCUCUUUAAGGUUAAGGGAAUAGAUGUGGACGGGGCCAACUCUCAGAAGAUGCAACUUCAUUAAUUCCCCGUGGAUGUAUGGCAUCAGGAUGGAAAAUGCCUGGAAGUGAACUUACAAUGAAUGAAGCAGAGCUACCAUUAACCUGGAAGUGAACUUACAAUGAAUGAAGCAGAGCUACCAUUAACCUACCUAAAAAAAGAGAACGAUAAAGGGCACCAGAAAAAAGGGUUCUCGUAUCUCACUCACUAAGCUGUCCCCAAAAAGAAGGAAACUACAACUGACUUGACUGGAGAAAUAGAACUUCCAGCUAUUGCCCUGUCCUUUAGGAUUACAGCAUUUCCACUGGAAAAGGAAUGGAAAGAGAAAAACACUUAUACUCGGUAUAGGGAAGUAGAAAGCUCAGCGGAAUCGAAAGAGGCUUACCCUAGAUUGAAAUUCGAUAGACUUCAAAAGGUUAGCAGCAAGAAAGCCAGGAUAGAAGGGCAGAGAAUGAAUCGGAAGAUGGUUCCUCUGCUCUGUACUGGAAUGAGUCUUAUAAAUAAGGUCUUUGCAGCGAAUACGGGUUAAUGGAUAUUCUCUUGCCGGAAUCGAAUUCCACUGGGCUAAUGAGACAGUGCUUUCAAGCCAGAAGCUGUGGGAGAUCCUGUUUCAAUAGUGGCUUCUGUCUUGCCUUCGCUAAACAAGUUUGAGUUGCUUUCCUUUCCGCAGUAUCUUAGGCUCAGAAUAAAGCAAAGUAUAGAGGUUAUUAGGGAAGCUCUUGUCUCGUCUGGACUACACGCAAUCUUUAUCACACCAAGACAGGAGUAGAAGUACCUAUCUUGUGAGAGUCAGAAAGUGCCUUAGUUAAGUAGAUAUGGGAUUUGAGGCUAGUUUUCAGUAUACAUUUGAAGCUCAUAACUUCUUUUUUCUUCCUCUAGGGAAAUUGGAUUAUUGAUUCCCCUGGUGUGUAGGCCCCUAUCGUUGCAUUGAAAGCGGAGUCAAUUCCGGAGUAUUUCCUGCACCACGGAAUUAGGACUAAUCUUCCUCUGCUCUUUAUUAGUUGCCACUAGCUGCAUACCAAACUAAUUACGAAAUGUGGCUUACUGUACUAUUGUGGGUGGGUAAUAUCUAAGUUAAGGCCUUACCCUCAUGCCGUGUAGUAGAUAAAUAUGAAUCGCCACCUUACACCUAGGUCUCUAUAAAGCUUACCUUGAUCCAAUACUUCCUUAUAUACGAAAGUGCCUUCCAAAAUGCCAGGUAUUAUCAUGGAAAGUCUCUCAUUGAGUAGCCUUAAGUAAUAGAAAAAGGGUGUUUAGUAUAGAAAGAAUUGGUAAUCAGAGUAAGUCCUCAACACUUGACAAUAGGGAGUGAUAGAUUGAUGAAAUCCAGCCACCGCCUCCACGUAGCGACUUUGUUACGACUUUAUUAGUGGUCUGAGCUUGGGUUAGUCUAUUUCAGACCGGCACACGGUUACCUCCCUUCGACCGCCUUUUACACGUUGUCUUCUUUGUCGUCCAAGAACUUUCUCACUCCUUUAGACUAAAAGCGAGUAGGCCUUCUUUUCUGCACUUAUGUAAUUUCCCUAUAUAUGUAUUUCUGUCCAUUCUUCGCGAUAGGAGAUGCAAUGCAGCUGGGUGCCGAACUCUGGCCUGUGUAUGAAAGCGUAACUAGUGUUAGCUCUUUUGAAGGGAAUAAGCCACCUAACUCCUUGCUUGCAUCCCGCCCCAACGAUCCGGUGCUAAACGAAAGAAAUCCCGGCUAUGCCUAUUCUUCCUUGGUUGUAGGAUAGCUCUUAGGUAAAUACCUUGAUGUUCCUCCCGUUCGUUAAGCGAGACGGUGAAGCUCUAAGUGGCAAACAUCUCCUUCAGGGACAGCGUUUCUGGUAUGAGUCUUUUCGUAACUACUCUCAUCCCCAGCCCUUGAAGUUAGUUCGGGUUUAGCAAGCUUUUGAAGAACCUAUCGUCACCCAUUCCACAGAUAGGGAACGUCAGCCAAGCCUUUAGUGUCAAACAAUUCUUUUUCGGUAGCGAGCGCAAGUCAAGCGGUGGCCAUAUGGAAAGGGCCUUUGGAUUCCUCGUCGAAGGGAAACUAUGUCUCUAAGAAAGCGAAACCAAUAGGCUAAGAAAGAUCAAACCGGAAACUACAACUACGAGUAAGAUAGAAUCUCAUAGCAGGAGUCGGGAACGGGACUGGUCUGUCUUUUGAACAAUAGAAAAUCACUGGUGUGAUAGAUAUAGGUAUAUGGAAUUGGAUUAGGUGAUUGGGCCAAGCAACAUAGUCAGUUGCGCGGCAGGGCAGCUAGUUUAAGAGCUCUCUAUCACUGGAACUCUACUUUGCCUCACUAGUUGACUUGUUUCCCUUUACGUAAUCCCACUCUGCCUGGCUAAUGAUGAGUUUCUUACCUUAACCGAUUCACAGCGGAUUAUCUUCUUAUUAACGAUGAAACGGAUUCCCUAUCUUAUUCAUCUGAUACUCCACGUUAAGAACCACUAGCUUAAGAUCUUUCCACUGCGGAUUAUUCUUAUUAUCCUUAGUCUGCUUCAGGACUUAGCGCUUCAAAGUAAUGAACACCAAAAACAGGAGAAGUGGGGCGGGAAUAUAAGUUGGAUAUGGAUCAGGGUCUCAUGCAAUGCAAGCUCACCGAACUAACAAACUUAUUGUUUUGGGGUUGGAUAGCUAACGGCUUAUUUACUUGUGUAUUAGUGAGUUCCCGAACACAGGGCUUUUUAUAACUCAUACAGUUGUUUAGAAUCCACAGUCAAGAAACAAGGUAUUAGUAAAGAGUUGAAGACCGCUUAGUAUUAUACUCUGGCUCUUGAAACGAAAACAACCCUUUAUUACCCUUACCUGCUUGCUGGUUCCCUUGCAAGGAUACUAGUAUUCAGUAGAUAAGCCCGUAGUGUAUUCUGUAUUCUUUGUCAGUGAUAUGAGAUUAUGACUUUAUUGCCUACCUUUACUCUUUAUUCAAGAUUCUACCUUUCCUACUAAAUCCUCUUUAUUCAAUUCAAGAUUCUACCUUUCCUACUAAAUCCUCUGACGCUAGUGCCACUUAUAUAUCUGCGAAUGAAACAAUAAAUGGAAAGAAUGAAACGAACAACUAAGAAUUCCGCCGAGUGUCCUAUCCUAUCCUGUGACAAAAUUCCAUAAAAUAAUUCACUAUCUAUCUUCUUUUCUUCAAUUCCAUUCAAAAGGUUCACUCUUUACGCACAGAUCAAUUGCAAUGUAAAUGACUCCCUUUCCGGAUACUGAGUCAACUCCUUCUCUUUCUUAAUUACUGGCUUCUCUGAUCUCUAAGACCUAACAGGCACUGCGGAUUCUUGAGUCUACUUCCCGUUACUUCCCGCUUGUUGCCUUGUUGCGCCUUUAUUAGUAUACGCUUGUUUAGUAUUGUUGUUCAGUUUGCUGUGAUUGGAAGCACAGUUCUAGUUUGCUCCCUGCCGUCCGUUGUUAUUCCAGUUUCUCAUGUUAUCUGGAAAAGUUCUCAUACCAAAUACCACAUCGGGUCUGCCAUUCCAGAAAAGAAAGAGCAAAUCCCAAAAACCUUUCGAACGACUUCUGCGCCAAAACACCUUAUCCUUUAUCCCUGCUGUUGAAUGGGACUCCCCAAGCCUUCCGUGUUCAAAUGCCUUUGCUUUGGUCUCUGCGUCGCUUAGGCUGGUUCAAUGCCACGGGAGGAACAAGUCAAAGCUUUUAGAGUUGCAUCACAACGGCUCUCUCCUGCCACCUUAAUGUCGAAGGAUAAUGAAUAAAGAAAGUUGGGUAGAUCUAUACAUUCCCGUGGAUCAGAGAAAGUAUGUUGUAAAGGCAAAAUCCAUCCAUUCCUUUAUAUCCGUAGGAAGCUAAAGCUGACUCGGCCAAAAUCAGUAGUCAAGGCAAACACUCUCGGAUCCAAUAGAGAUUUCUCCGGCCCGCUUCUAAACGAGGAAGCUGUUUUCUCUUAGUAAUGGCCUCAAUAGAUCUAUCUCUUGGGCAAAGUAGACUGCGCGGCUUCGCUCGUUCUUCUAAAAGAUGGACUCGUGCCUGAAUCCGAUAUGAGUCAAAUCCGAUAUGAGUAAGAGGUCUCAAUCUUCAAGUAAUCGGUAGAAUCCCUCAUUGUUCAUUUGCUCGGGAAAGAAAUCAAUCCAGAAAUUCUUGAGGUUAGUCCUCUAUGAGAUCCUUUGGGAGUGAAUAAGUAAGUUAUGUAGUCCAGGAAUAGGAUACUAGAAGCUCCGUAGGGAAGGGCCAACUCUGCCGAAGUGUCAAAUGGAUAGAUAUAGAUAUAGAGAAAUAGAUAUAUAUAGAUAUAGAUAUAUUAGCAACGAGUGAACCUUAGUCGAAUAGUUAUUAUUUUGCAACGAGUGAACCUUAGUCGAAUAGUGCUUAUGGUAGUAAAGAAAGAACCAGACUUCUAAAACCACUUUAGGGGGCGAAUUACUCAACAGGACAAAUAGGGAGUAAUCUUCUUUUGAUGGCAACGAAGCCGAUAGGACUUACCCCCUACAAAGCUGAGGAUUAGCAACCUAUAACUACCCAUUUAUGAAACAAAAAGAUUAAUCCAUUCCUUAUGAAGCGAGCACUACUCUUCAAAGCCAAGCAUCAAAGUCAAAAGUCUAGGCCCUUUAUUCUGAAACUUUGCAAGAAUACGAGUAUAUUUCUGUGCGAGUGGAAUCGGAUUAAGAAGAAAGCUGUGCUAGUGCUCUGUCAUUGUAUCAAGAAGAAAGUAAGGAUCUGAGGCAAAAGUGAGAUAUGAAGCUGGAUCCGUAUAAGAAUACAUAGUUAGGAGAAUAAUAUGUUUCAGGGUAUUUACUGAUUUCUAUAUCUAUGCCAGGUGCAAGAAAGUGAGAAUCUAAUUGAACUAAUCGAAUUUCGGAUCAAGACCCGCAAGUAGAGUUAAGAACGAGAAUUAUUAUAUGUUAGUGUUUCGUGUUCUUGUUUCGGAGUCUCUUUCUGUUCGAGUGCAAUCCUAUCCUAGUGCUAGUGUUGUCGGUGAAGAAAGAAGAGUUAUUGUUAGGGAUUCGAAGCUGUAUCUGGUUCAAGCAUAGGUAAAGAAUAUGGUUAGGAGACAAGCAACACCACUGUAAACUCUAACAUCAAUUUCUUCACUGUGAUGCUAUACCGAGUUCUAUAUGUUUCAACAACUCAUAUACUGCCUUACACUGCUUCCCCUUCUUGGUAAUCUUACUGACCUGCAGGCUUGGUUUGGCUUUUGCCCACCUCAACUCUCCUGACUUUCUCACUGGAACUAGCCCAGUUCUUGUUCUUAAGUAUGGGAAUGGAUAUGACCAGUGUAUUUACUCGGUUCUCCACCAAGUGCUUAAUGCUGAAAUUCAUAAUUGUUGACAUAGGUAUCGGAGCCAGAGCCACUAGUAUUCGCCUGUCCGGGGUGUGUGAAGUUAGAAGUCCGUUGUUUGUUUAGUAGCAGUUGUGACAGUCCUGUGUUAGCCUGUCCGAGAGAGGAAAUAGAUAACAUGCCCGGGGUAGUCAAUUAGGGAGUAUAAGUUUGAAAGUGGUAAUGAAACUCCAAGGGAAUAAGUAGCUUUGGGAGAAUCUAGUACAGCUGGCAAGGAAGGGAAUAAGUAGCUUUGGAAGAAUCUCGUACAGCUGGCAAGUAAGGGUAUAGCUAAGCAUAUUCCUCAAUAAGAGGAAGAGGUAAUACAAAGUCAGUUGGUAAUAAAUAGUUCUUAAUAUCAUAUAGAAUCCGGAUAGUAAUUCUCAGAAUUGAUAGACUUAUGUUUCAAAUACACUAUCACAUCACUUAUAGGGACAGGGACAUAGGCACGGGAAGCCUCAGAAGGAUAAGAGACUCAAGUUGGCAGUUCGGGUCGGGUGCUUAUGCUAGUGAGAAUGAAACCGGGUGCUUAUGCUAGUGAGAAUGAAACCAGGUAGUUCCAGGUUGACAGCCAGGUUUACAGCCCCUUAAAAUAGUGGAGUAGUCUCAUCUGUCUUUCAAGAAACAACAAGGAAAUCCAGAAAUAAAGAAAACAAUAAAUACAGGUAAGUAUACUAGGACAAAGAAAACAAUAAAUACAUAUUAGGAACCAGUGAAUAUUCAAGGGUAAGACAAGAGGGAUGGAUCUAGACAAUUAAGUAAGUACGAUCUAGCCAAUUAGGUAAUAAAUAAGGAGUACAGUUAAGAGGAGAGGCGAGGUCGGGUUGGUUAAGAGAGGAGCCUAGCCUCAUUAAGUUAUUAGUUGACAGUUGCCAUAGGUAGAUUAGCCUGAGUGAGAUUAGAUGGAAAGGUAUAGUAGCCUUAGGGGUCUCAUAGAUGGAUGAGGGUAACUAACCCAAUAAGAUAGGAGCAAGGUCACUAAUUGUAGUUACUUGUCUGCUUGGCUCUUCUAUUUAUAUAGGAGCACGUUUAGAAGAAGUUAGAAUAAGACAAGAGGGUAUGUAUAAGAAUGAAGCUGGCUUAUACUUACUAGCGCAUUCCCUAUAACUAUAGUGAGUAUUAGAUUAAUAGAUAAGAUAAGAUAAGUGUGAAGUCAGGUUUAGGUAUUGAAUGAAACUCAUAAGCAAUGAAAACAGGGCUGGCUAGUAUAUGUUAUUCUAUUUCGAGUACCUAUGGAAUAUGUUAUUUAGUAUAUGUUAUUUAAAGAUAUGUUAUUGAAAGUCUUAAUUCCACUUGUAUAGUAGUUGCUAAGUAGACUGGGCUCCCCGACUCUGCUGUAUAUAGCUAAGGCUUCUUUUAUAUAUCUCCUACCCAGGACAGGUUAUCUAUCUCCUAUUCUGGAUGCAACUCCUAAUGAGAAUUCCCACUCCGGGUGUUCCUGUGCCCUUAAGUAAUUGGGAAAGAGCAUCUUACUGGCUUUGAGUCGAGGUCUCGAUUCUCCUUAGGGUCAUUUUGACUUUAUCUAGGAUUAACAGCGUUGCUAAGGUCUUUAGCGGGGUUCCCAUUAUGUCUAUUGUCUUCCUAGUUAGCUGAAAGAGACAGCAAGCAGAGGAAGCAAACAAGCCGGAAGCAACAAACUCACUAAAAAGCCCUCUAGCUCAAGGGAUUUAGGGCACCAGAAGAACUCGUAGAAGCCGAGAGAUACUGAUUCGUAAAGGGCUUCUGGAGCAGCCAUAACGCGUCCAAAGAAAUGGAAAGAGAAGGAAAAAAGGGGGCGAAAAGGAAGAGAUGUUAGCAACUCGCUCAGAGGCGGGCUGAAAUAACUACUAGAACUGGCAACGAUGGGGACACACAGAGCUAGGCUAGUAACAGCAGCUCCAAGACAGAUGCGGGAGUCCCAGCCAAGAAAAAGAUCGGAUGCUUCACAUGAACUACCAACUGGAGGGCAAGUCGAAGAAGUCCAAUUUCUGAAAGUUCGUAUUAUUAACACUCUCGAGAGCGGAUGCUAUCAAAGAAGGAGCGGCACUCACGAGAGAAGAAGUAUCUAGAAGGAUAGAGGCUGCUCUACUAUGUCAAAAUAUCAUUGUAUCGCGAGAAGACCAUGCAGAGCGCGGACAUCACUUUCAUAUUGGCAUUUUCAUUGAACAGGGAAUUUCGAAAAAGACAGCACCCAGAAUCCUAAGGAAAGUAUUCCCUGAAUUCGAAGGCGCGCAGCUCAACGUGUCCUACCACAAAGCAUGGGCAUCUGUGUUCAAUAUAUCCUGAAAGAGGACUCACAGCCAUACCCGUGGGGGAAACAAACUCUACACCAUAUGAAGGAAACAGUGAAAGCACAGGGGACACAUAGGAAAAUGCCCGAAAGAAAUAAAGAGAUCGUCAAAAAAGAAAAGAUCUCGAUGAAUGGCAACAAGUUUCUGAGGAGCCCCGGAUAUUCUGAAACAAAUCUUCUCUUCCUAUAACUCCCUAAAAGCGGUCUUCUAAGAUAUGAGAAUCCUCAAAGAGAAAGAAAGCAGGUUGCAAGAAAGAUUCCAGAAAGACUUAGAAAGUAUGGGAUGGCCCGCGGAGUAUACUAUACCAUAGAAGAGUUGCAAGAAAAACACUUUUGACUCGACAGGCUGGGAUGCAACCUCGUCUUUUGAAGACCAAUAAAUCCAAAACUGCUAUGACUUUAUGGAGAACCAAGCACACAAAAAACACUCAUCUUCGAAAUGCUUAGCGCCGUGCUCAACAUAUACCACGCAUCCUCCAGAAAGAAUGAUUUCUCUCGGGGGAGAGCACAUGAUCAUUAUUACAUGUGGCUAUUUUACGAGUUCCAUGUUGCCGAAGAUAAGAAUAUUAGCGCAUAGGAAUCAGUCAAGCUAUCAUGGCUGCGUCUAACAACACUAUACUAAGGGUGCUAGAUGGACAGCAGUGCGGAUUAGAUUCCAAAUAUGGGGAAGGUUAUUUAACAAAAGAAGAAAACUCCAUUAUACCUACUUAUUGAUUUCUUUGACUUUCCUUUUCCAUUGCAUCUCUAAGAAAGCACCCUGCAACUAUAGCGGGUUAUCGAUAUGAUGUCCAGAAGUCCUAUAAUUAGCUGAAAGAGGAAGGGAAAGCUACCUCAUAGCAGAAAGUAGAUAGAUUUCGCAAAGUGUGCUCUAGUGGUAUCUAGUUUAGGAAAGUGUCCUCUAGUGGUAUCUAGUAUAGGUUAAGAAAUCUUUGAAGACUCUUAUUUAAUAUAGCAGAGCGGAUCGAGGAUAUCAUUCCUGUAAACAUAGUAUUGUCUAUCGCCAGAAGUCCCAAAACCAGAACCCAAGAAACUAUGAAGCGAGGGUUACUGAGGAGAGGUGGGCAAGUCACUUGAAACUUGAUAAACAGCUUAAGUUCAAUGAAAAACAAUGUCAAAGGAAUUGCUCAUGGCAACGUACUAACUAACACUCAUCCUUAUAUGGGAUAGGACUUUACUUAGGAUGCAACUCGAACAGCAUCUUUGAUCUUGACCUACUCCGCGGAAAGGAGAUACUUCCCUCAGACAGGCAAUAACAACUGACUCGGUAAACAGGACCCUACCCCUUUCUUUACCUCAAACAGGAAAGCUUCAGGAUAUCCCCCCGCUCAAUAAAAGUAUGGGGGAGGCGCAAGGAGAAGAGAAAGACAAGUCAAAAGAGAAGGUUAAGAGCACGGGGUAGUGACAUAUUAUCUCUCUUUAGGGGCUGUCUAAGACCUCCGUUUCAUUCUCUGUUUUUCAAGAAGGCGCUAGAUUCAUCCAAUUCCGUCUUAUUGGCCAAGGGCAUAAAGAUGUGGUAGAUCGCCAGCAAGGGAAGAAUUCCAUAGGUAUGCUCGAUAUUGGCAAAAAGGGAGAGUUGACAGUAAAGUAUCAGAUUCCAAAGAAAGGGAUGCCGUAUAUCACUCAGUAAUUUGAGAAGGAGUUAGGAGUUGAGAGUUAGUUUCAUUCUGAUGAGUAGUGGUCGAAAACUGGAAUUGUCAUAGUGAUUACAACCCUUUACUUGAGCUCCUAACGCGGCUUAUUCUUCGUUACUAGAGUUGGAACUCCAGAAAUAUGUUCUGUAGGCCAGUGAGACAAUAAGGCUUAUCAAGAGGCUACUGUUGGUGGACCAAGCGUAUACUAGUUGGUGUACUCCUAAAUUCUUCAAUGCCAACUUGUUCCGUAUAGAAUACUACUAAGACUAAGACUACUAAUACAAAGAAUACAUACUUACCUAAACUCCGAUAACUAAACUAUAGAGACAUAGGAUUGAAGUUCAGAGCACUAGACUAGAGGGUGACCAAAAGAGAGUAGAGGCAAAUCAGGAAAUCAAUAGUAAUGAAUUAGUAACUAGCCUAAAAGUCAGAAUGAAUAGAGUGGACUUACCUCUUCACUCCCUUACCCACUCCUACAAGUUCCAUAGGGGCUCCCCCCUUUUUCUUUAUGAUUCUAUUUCGAUUACCGGAGUUGGAAGAAGAAAGGCGCAGAUAUAUAAGUGGCACAGCACUUCCCGCUGACUUAACCGACGGAGAUGAUCUUUCCACGAGCAAUAUUGUAGGUGAGCGAAACUAAGUGAGUUUGAAUUGAAAUGAAAUAAGUCGCAUAGUAUAGUAUAGAAAGAAGUAAACUAAUGACUUGCUUUAAGAACGGAGAAUGGAGGCAGGCAUACCUAUAAUGAAUUGUAAGAAACGAGAAUGGAGGCAUAACAGCAUUGAGUACAAAAGAGGAGAGGUCUCACUUGUUCUCCGUUAGCUUUUAAAUAAACAGUACUUUCUUCCUCCGCUCACUCUACUUUAAGUUCCUUUCCGGCUGACAAUUGAACUGCUUAACCUAGAUCUACUUGUUAUCUUGGCACUGGCACUCUGACUAUAAAAGUAAGUCCAUUCUUCUACUGAUGCAGCAUAUGCUGAUUAUUUGUCUCUCUACUCCUUACCUAGAACAGGAAGAACUGGCCGAGCUACAGGAGCUCUACUUUCACUUAACUUCCCGCUUCUUCUCCUGCCGCGUCACUACUAACAAAGCAACUACUAGAGAGAAAGUACCAUUUACUGGAUAGAGAGAAAGUACCAUUUACUGGAAUUCCAGAAUGUAAUGUUGGAGCACACGACUAGGUUUUGGCUAUAAAGAGCAAACAAGCAAUUACUACAAGCAAGGGCUAAGAACUACAAGCAAGGGCUAAGAUAGGAAGGGGCGAUUUCCCAUAAAACUACUGAACCAAGCUAACCGCCGAAGACAUCUUAUUGGGCCGAGCGUAUACCACAAAGGCAACUAAAGCAAGGAACUCAAUAUAUAUAAAUGGGCUGUUACCAAGUCCUGUCCCCUUAAGUAAUUGGGCGUUAGGAUUGAGUCUACUAACCCAUGUUCAACUACGAGAAUAGCUAAUCCACCAUUCAGGUACCAACCAACAAGAGCGGAGCUCCUAACGCGGAAGAGCCUUGACUUUGUUAAUCUCUUAAUCCGCUACGUGGACAUGAGAAAAGAGAUGAUUCUAUAGAUGAAACUAAGGUUAAGCGCCAAGAACGGAUCUCUAUGACUCUACUUCAACACAAUUCUGUAAACUUCCUUUCCUUACCACCCGGACUUUGAAUCCACUAUGGGAUAUGCUUUACCUAAUCCUGCUCCAUAUUCGAAACUUUCAGUACCGCCGGAACUUUCACUUCUUUCUUGCGCCGAGGCUGUAAGUGAUAGAACUAGCGGCUACUCAAUCAAAGAGAAAUUGAUGAACUGACCAUAUAUCUAGAAAAUGGGAAUGCACCUAGAAACGUAGUGACUUUAGGCGCCUACCUAAGCUUAUUUGUUCUUGCACCCCUGGAUACCGAACAGCUCUUUCUCCUUCUCUUAUUCCUGCUUCAAUCAAAGCCAGUACCUUAUCAAGUUUCUACUUUUCCUUGAGACUCAACCGACGCAGAACCUAUACCUAUAUCUUAUCUGCGACAAACACUCGAAAGAAACUAGUAUGAAGUUCAGGACAGAUGCGCUUGAUACAACACCGCUACUGAAUUAGGACUUGGUAAUCACUCUCGAUUACAGGACAAGGACAAGCAACCAAUUAAGUCUUUACCACAAGACUGCAUUUACUACUUGCUGAACACAUGGGUUAUACUGGAGAAUCUCCCAUACCUAUAAACCUAUAUCCCUUUAACCGACUUUCAGUUAAGAUUACUCGCUUGCUGCUGACUCUCUUGAUGGUUCUUUUGCCGACCCAUCCUAAACUACACUUGAAGAACUACUUGCAGCACUUGCAGCUGACCUUGAGACCCGGACUGCCCUUAGAAUGCAUUUGGACUAUUUCCUAUUAAUAUAGCCCUCCAGCUAGACAAGCGUAACUCUGACUUGCCCCUGCUACGAAACCAACUAAUAGAAAGAAGGUUAGCCACUUCAAGUAAAGCAUCAGCAGAGCGGUAUCUCGGAACAGUAUCAUCAGAAUCAACAGGAUCGGGAUCUGACUCAGUGCGUAAGCGAGUUCGGGCAAGAACAAAUCCGACUAGUAACUGCUCCUGAUUCAUCGGUUAUGAAAAUAGAGUGAGUUCGGUUCGAGGAAGAAGAAAAGGAAGCCAUGUCUUUGCUUCUAUCUAUACAAUGUGUUACUUAUCGAAAUCAAGUCAGCCAAGUUACUACUAUACGCCAAGGAACGGAUAGACAAGAGCUAAGCAAGAAGGAGUGAAGUCUAGAGUGGAGUUACUUGCUUCUAAGUGUGUUAGGGAGUCUUUAGUAGUGAAAGUUCUUUACCGCUAAUGGGAGCUUAAAGCACUGAUAUUAGGAUCCAAUUCAUUAGUAGAGCCGAUAAGUAGGUGAAAUAGGGUAGCAUUUCCAAAGCGAAUAACAUGUGGAGGCUAUGAAAUAUUUCGUGCCCCAAGGUAGAAUAUCCGUAGCAAAAAGAAAAGAGCCUAUUCGUAUAUAUUCAAGCCCUUUUCCUCACUUAGCAAAAGAAAGAGCCAAAGAUCAUAUUCAUGUGCAAGAGUCGCUUCUAAACUUCUUCAAUCAUAGAGAAAGUGGGCGGUUCGACUGGUGCUUUUGUUUGACUAGGGGCAUUAGCCAUAGGAAGUAUAGUAAGGUCAGGGAGUGAGCAAUAGGAAGUAUAGUAAGGUCAGGGAGUGGUUUCAACCCGUCACCGAGGGUUAUUCCAUUCAUUCAUCUUGUUCUACUAGUCUAUGCUGGUUUGUUUGCCGGGGUCUUUUCUCUUAGCGAAAAUCCUGUACUCAUCUCCUUCUUGGGCACUUCCCAGUCCACAACAGACCUGAUCUUCUCAAGAUCCAUCUGAACCCUUGCUGAUCCAAUGGCCAAGAAAUUGCACUUUCGUCUGAGCACCGUUUCAUAUAAAGCUUAUUUUAUUGCUACACCCCGAACACAGUACUCCGGCCUCCAGUGAUUUACUAUAAACGAUUAUGUUCUCGAGGUUUUCCACUACAAACAGGUCAAGGUUAUCCAAAAUGGAGAUUGUUCCUUUAAAUGACUCAUAUAUAUAUAUAUUACAUCUUACCCUCAAGGUGUCAAAGCAUGUAUUUCAAAAAAUAGCUACUUUAGGCUCGCUAUAAGUUGACUUAAAAGGCAGGCAUCUCUCUAUUGAUUAAGCAAUAACGUCUAUAAGGCAGGCAUCUCUCUAUUGAUUAAGCAAUAACGUCUAUGUUCUGCCACGUUUCUAUAGAUAUUGAAAGAACCCAUUUGUGGGCCGCAUCCGAAAGCAAGGCUCAAGGGGUGUCUGAGCUAGCAUGCCCAAUCUUAGUUAGGAUUGCAUCAGUUAUAUAUACGCAAUUAUCACUUGCAUUACAUAACAUAAUACAGAAGCCCGAGCCAAGGAGGAGAUCAUCAAAACGCCGAGAGCAGGGCGAAGGCAGCAUCCUCUUUAAAGCCCGAACAAAGUCAGUGCGUGAAUACAUCCUCGACUAACUUCAAUGAGGGAGAUAUACAAUAUAUACUUUAGUAGAGGUCGGGUCGGGGUAAAUACAUAUUUCUUUGCAAGGAGAGGAGAUGGGUUAAGAGUUGAGUUAGCCGUUGCGCAAGGGAAGGAACUAGAAAUCCAUAUUAUAGGCGUCAAUGCCAUAGAACAGCUGAGAAAGGUCUGAGUUAGUGGAUAAGACAUUUGAUUAAUGGAACAGACGUUAAAGGACGAUAAAUAAGGGUUUGCAGUGGUUUUGCUUGUGUCUAAGUCUGGAAGGGGAGUGAUUGUGUCUAAGUUAGCGCGAAAAGUGCUUGUUUCAUCGUCUUAAGAAGCUGUGCCCGGAAUCCGCAGUGCGUUUGUAAGCUGGAAAGAAUACUGGGUUCAGGUCAGGGGGAAAGUGGAAGAGGUAAGCUACUAGUCUGAGAUAGAAUCAAAGGUGAACAUUAUAGUACUUGCAUUGAGUAUAGCCUUCAAUGUGCUAAUAUGGAUUCUUAAAGCAAUGGCGGAGAGUCUGUAGUGCUGAAGGGAAAAGGGGGAUUGAGUAUUUAGUAUAAAUUCAAGUAACAGGAUAAGGAAGCUGAAAUUAGAUAAGGCGAGUGUUGGCGACUCGAGAGAAUCCGCGGGAUCAGUAUCUUCUGCAGUGAUAGUUUAGAUCGGAAAAAGAAAAGAAUGGAAUGGAACUUCCAAAUCAACGAAAUCAGGACUUGCUCUGUACGGUUGGGUUGAAAGUUGUGUUGACGCAGCAUAAUCUUUAUCAGAAUUGAACUAAGGUCUUCCCUAUCGCAUAUCAGAAUGGAAAGUGUUCUACUAAGAAUCGAAUGUUUAAUGAGUAAAGUAAUCAAAAGAAUGGUUCAUUCAAGUAUAUAGAGCCAAGCAAACUACUAUUAAGAAAGAGAACCUGUGUCCUGAUCUAACUCUGUCAACUAAUUCCGUUAUUGAUCCUCUCAUUCUAUUCUAUAUACAACAACUAAAGUAUAGCUCUGUAUGAAUGUCUCCCAGUGGACUUUCUUCUUUUACAUAAAGAUGAAGAUUCCACUCUAUCUCAAACUCCUUUAUGCCUUCGUUGGAGAGGUUCCUUGUGCCAAAGCCCGAAACAGGUAAGAUAUUUUCGAGAAGGAAAAAGAACACACGGAGGAAAGCGGGGAUAGGCUCUACUAAUUCUCAAUAACCGUGGAGUCCCUAUGGCCAACCCAAACCUAGUGGAAGCGGAUAAAGGGCAGGGAGAGAGACAGAAUGGAGAAUCAAAAGGAACUAACGAAGAUGUCGGCCUCGGCCAGGGAGAGAGACAGAAUGGAGAAUCAAAAGGAACUAACGAAGAUGUCGGCCAGGGAUGACAAUCUAGUGAACCUUAAGCCAUACCAAAUGGCAGAAACCUUCACUUUUGAAUGCUGUUGCUUAUACCAGAAAAAGCAAGUGCCGACUCUAAGAAUGCUGUUUGCCUUCUAAUGCUCUUGACUUGGACUUUGAAUGCUGUUGCUUUGCUUAUACCAAGAGAGAAAAAACGGGUGAAAAUCCAGCGGAUCGGGGACUGAGCUACGAAAGGAGAGAAAGAACACUUGCAGGCAGAGUAGAUGGACAAGCUGAUGGUUUAGGUAUACUUGGCAAUUGCUUCGAUGGGGGGUAAACUUUGAUGCAUGUCCGACCCCCAGUAAACUAGGGUAGGGUAAAGGGGCCUUUAAAGGUACUCCUACCAGCGAGGUAGCGUUCGUUAUUCUCUAUUAGCGAAUAACCCGGCCGCUACAAGAGCACCUCCGUUAGCGACUAGGAAGUGAGUUCUUUCGCGCGCAACUUACAGCACUGAUAAAUAAAUAGGGAAGGCUGGCACUGAUAAAUAAAUAGAGAAGGCUUGUCGAAGUUCUGUUGUUGCUGUAUAUUCGUUCAGGAAUCUGGCAAUAACUUUCCCUUUUCUUGAAAAACAAAGAAAGAUCAUCGCAAGCAUCAGAUCCAGACGCGAGUAAAAGCAAUGGAAUCCAGAAUCCCUUUAUCCAUUUACAGCUAAAGCGGGGACCCACCGACUCUAGUAGUUGUAGGCCAUGCCUGUGUCCGAUACAAUCAAUAUGAAAUAAUAGGUAAGUGCAUGGUUGCUAGAGCAAUACUUUGUUACUUUAUUAUAUACGUUGUGCUAAGUCUCUUUUCACUUUCAUGGAAUUUCCCCUUCUGAAAACCCCUGUGUGCGCGCUUCCUAUGCUCAUGCUUACCGGUAGCUGCCCUUGGAUUUCACUCGCUAGUGCGAGGAGCGAUAAGACACCCUUGUAGUGAUAGCGGCAGCCCAUGCUUUUUGGGGCGCCCGGCCUUAGUUUGAAUUCCAGAAAGACCCGGAACCAUUGGAAGCAGCCUUCGAAGCGUCAGAGACAGAGCCAGAACUCACUAUUGACUCUCUCCCACUCACUGGAAGCGGCAUCUUCUUAUAUGAUUCUGGAAUCCCCGCCGUGCUUCUAGGCAAUGAGAGAAAGGUGGCGAAGCGAGGAUGGCUCCGGACCUGAUCAUUCAAGUACCACAGCGCAUUAUCACCAGGAAUUUCAUCAAUAGAUGCGGGAGGGCAAGGCACAUAUUUCUAGCGGAUAUAAGGCGUAGAAAGGUCUCCCUUUUAGAGAAGAAUCAAAUCCAAUAGGAAUAUCAACUUAUCUGUUAGAAGAAAUGCCACCAUAUGAACCAAGGAAAGCAACAGCACUCCUGGGGAACGGGAUUGGGGGAUGGAAGUGACAAAAGCGCAGGCAUUGAAUACAAGCCAGGAAUAGAAUAAUGAAACUCUCAAGCCCACUUGAGAAUCCGCUGUGAGGGAAUGCUCUCUUGUUCACGAAUGCCCAGUUGGAGUAUAUGCUCUUCUUGCCUUGAUUAUUGCCUUCUCCUUGUAGUGAAACUAAUCCAUAAUGAAAACCUCUUGUUAGUAACUACACUAUUUGCCUUGACUUUGAUGAUGGCUGUCCCAACUCCAUUUAUGCGAGAAGUACACCGAAGUAGAGUUCCAGAAGAUAAGUAUUGAAGCAGUCAAAAAGAGCUAACAGUUUCAAUGGAAAUGGAAUUAAGCGAUGCAAGAAAACAAGCAAGCGCAAGAAUAUAUAGUACAUGAGUAAGACUUCCGGGCAAGAACAAGAAGCAAGUAUACGCUGAUUUGAAGCUAUGCAGUGAGGAAUCAGUGUUGUUAAUCUGUUGACUUGCCUCCGGACUAUUACUAACGCCGAUGACUAAAAACAUGGAUUUUUCAUCACUCCUUGCUAGGUGCACUCUCUUCAACAAGCAAACUAGCAAUACAGUGUUUGUUUUACUAUCUAUUAUGCUAUGCGAGAUAGCUGAUUAACAUUCAUUGCGAGAUUAGCUUCUCAAUUCCAUUCAACAAGCAAGCAACAGCGUUAGGAGUUUGUAAAGCUUAGAGCAAGGAAAGAAAGGAGUAAGGAAUUUGGUAGAGCAGAUACAGAGCCAGGCCAGGCCAGAUAUAAUGUCAGAAGUGAGUUUGAUAAUCAUUCUCCCCUUCCGAGUACAUAUAUAGCUUAGAGGCAAGGCAGGAGUAAGUAAUAAAUAAGCAGUUCUGUUUCAACAAGCAGUUCAGUUACCCUUUGAUAGAUGUCAGCAGUGUUUUCUUACCACAUGACACAAUAGGUGCACUCAAACAAGCAACGAACAAGCAGCUUUCAUAUAUGGGCAAGCAAUAACAUCUAACGGAAUUCUAUUACCGGGAGAAAUUGAUGAAUCAGAUGAUGGGCUUAUUAGGGCCUUCUUUCUCGGAUGGAAAUCGAUCUAUGUCAGCAGAGAUAGAUCCGUAGAUCAAGUUGUUGAGAUGAGUCGAUGUCGCGGGUUGACAGCUGAUAUGCAUGACAAAGCGAUGGAUUCUCCUAUCUCAAGGGAUGCUAGGCUCUUUUCACUAGAAAAUAGAUUAGGUCACCUAUGAUACGAAGCGCUAAAGAAUGCCAGCCUUAUGCACCGGCUCUAACGGCUGACACCCAAGAUAGAUGCUUUCAGUCAUCAAUGCUUAUAAGGAGUUACGUGAUUCCUUAGUAAACCCGCUCUUUCAUUUCAACUCCGAGAUGGAUGCAUAAGAGAGCUCAAACCAUCGUCUUUUACAGUGGGUAGCCGGUCUCAAUGUUGGCCUUCCAUCGGAGUUAUGCCUUCCUAUCGCUCGUCCCUGCUCUCAUCAGUCAGAUCAGAAGAAAGAAGAUAAAGCACCAGAUAUCUCUUCCAAUACGAUUCGUCACGUGCUAUUCAAUGACCAGAGUUAUGGAUAUACAGCUCGGAGACGUCGAACAACAAACAAUUCGUGUAUUUGCAUCUAGUCGAUUUAUUAGUGAACAAGGAAAAAGGAAAAAGUCUGGAUAUUCAUAUCUCUGAAUUGACUCAUGUUUCCAAAAUAGAGUUGAUCCCCUGCCCGAUCCAUUGGGGGCAAACGCCUACUCAAUCUUGCUGGGAUUUCUCCAUGGUUCCCGUAUCUAUGAGAUUCUUUGGAUUUAUUUACGGAAGUUCAGAUCCUACCAAAAUGGGCUUUUAUUUGUAUACAUUAUUUCUCUUAUCCAUGUGUGAUAUAUAUGUGAAGUUAAUCCUCUUCCUUGGCGAGAACGCACAUGCAUUCGUUCGAUCUAUUUCUGUAUUUCUCUAUAUGAAUCGUAUGCUUGUUACAAUGGUUACAAUAUCCUCUAAAUUCCUCUAAUCGACCAGAGUAGUAGUUUGUGCACCAUAGAUCUAAUAUCACAUAACACCACCAACAAACAAACUGAUUCUUUAAGAUAUUCUAUUUUGUGCCUCAAUGACAUUCUUUAUAGUCGGGGAAGUGUUGUUACUUAAUUCUAUAUGUAUGUGGAUAGCUAACUUCCGUUGUUACUUAAUUCUAUAUGUCUGUGGAUAGCUCAGUUCCAUUCUUUCUUUUGGACUAAAUGACACAAGCCUAAGGGCGAAAGACUAACUCCGGCACGCUGAUACGAAGACUGGAACUCGUAUACUCUACUCGCUGAAGCCAAUAACCAAAUCACCUCUCUCGGUAGACUUAGAACCAAUCACUGAUCUCGCAGACAAAGCUCUCACUUUUGACAAUUAAGCCUUCCCCGCUGAUGCUGCACUUAUAAGAAAUACUUCCGGACUUUCUUCUUAACCGCCUAGUGGGUCAGGUCAAUUAUAGUGCAACACAAUCACCUCUUUUGCAGCUUACUUUCGCCCUAAGAUCUGACCAGCAGUUGAUCAUUCCAUUCUUCAAUGCUAGUAUUACACUCUAUUCAUAAAGGAAGGAGCUAGAGGUUGGCUAUAAAGAGCACUAGCACAAGUGUUAACUGAUUCGAUUAUGCCCCUCCGGUUUGAAGUAAGAAAACCUUAACUGUGUUAAAGUAGGAAAACAGGGAUUCUCUCUGCUACCUCUUUCCAAUCAAUACUCAAUCUCAUCUAACUCAGGCUACUAGAACUAUGGCUCCUUGGUUACUUCUUUCUAUCAUACCUAUAGUGAGAGCGGGGAACAAGACGGAUUCUUUUUCUUAUUAUUCGGAUUCUAUUGGCUCAGCUUCUUGAUCUUGAAACUGCAUCUGAUGUUACUGCUGAUGGUGAUCCACCUGUUGCUGAUGGGGGGAAGACAUAUACGAGGACAGGACUACCAGUACUACUACGCCUACUUCUUUCCACAAGCCCAGCUGCUGACACAUAGGAAAGUCGAACUGCUGCUGACACAUAGGAAAGUCGAACUGAAACAUCAUUAAUAAGCACAUCCACUGGUCCUGAUCCAGCUUAUAAUAAAGCAUAUGUUUACUCACCACUGGAAUUUAGAACAGCUGAUGAUAUAGUUUCUGCGCUAGGUGUGUGUUACCGACACAGGGAGUGAGUGGGCUGUUCCAUUCUGAUUCUUUUUCUAAAGAAGAGAGACUCGGGACUUGAUUUAUUGCCCCUUACUAGUUCUUUUCUAUUUAUUGCUCCUUACUAGUUCUUUUCUUGUGCACCCCGACAAAAGAAGGAAUUCCAUCUUGUAGAACUGAUUGUGGCGUCCAAGGUCGCUCUCGCUUUCUCGGUUCUGUUGGUUGCCUCUACCUCAGGGUAGGCAAUGUUCAUUUACAGCUUAGAUAUGAUUGCAAAGCUCUUCCGAAUAAUAAGCAAAGCUUGUAUCUAUGAGUUUCCCAUGGCUUAUUAGAGAAUGAGGCCCUCUUUUGCCCCUUGAGAAUGUUCUUAUGAAGCAAGCGAGGUGAAGUUGAAUCUGUUUGUCUUAGAAAGAGGUGAUUGUGCUCUCGUAUCAAAUCUGAAAAUAGAGGAAAUUCAAGUGUAGUGAUUGGCUUUCUAGAGUAGGGUGCUUGGCUUUACUUUACCUUAGUUGUCUACGAGUUCCUUUAGUUGAAGUUUACAGUUAGCACCGAGAGAAGAGGAAGAUUCCGUUUGAAGAGAAAGAUCUGAAGCCGUUAGGUAACAACAUUUUCUCUGUGGUGCAAGAGAAAUAACAGAAGUAUUUGUUUCCUCUGCGUACUCCUUGGGAGGCGGGCUCUCAUUACAUCAUUACAUCUACAAUUCUGGUUUUCGGGAUCUUCAGCAGGAGACGAAGCAGUGAGAGUGGAGUCUACAAGAUCCGUGCGCAAGUCGAGUUAACCUUUUUCAUUCCAUUCGAACUUUGGAGGUGAGAGAACCAGCAGUGUUGACCUACUAGAGUUAGCGUACCUUUCACCUUUGCUUUAAGAGCUGGACUUGAUUGAAGAUACAUACAUUACCUUUGACUUCGAGCAGUAGGGCGAGAGUAAACCAGGAAAAGUGAGGGUAGAUUGUCAUUAGGGAAUCAUAGGCUCAAGCAUAAGAGCAUCUUUCGAGUGCAGAAUCGGGAAAAGAUUGGAGUCUAUCAGCUUGCCCGACCUAUACGUCAAGUGAAUCAUGAAAUUAAUGAGCUCUUGCACGAGCUCGGAUAGAUCCAAGUAAAGACAUAGCUAUAGCUUACCUUUCUUUAGAAUAAGAUUUCACAGCAUACCUUUUUUUGAAUUGAACUGCAACACUCGCACCACUAAGAUAAGAUACAAGUAUCAAGUAUUCCGCUAUAAGAUAUCUAGGAUAGGACUAUCCGAACUCCCUAACUGAGACCAGAGUAUAUCCCUUUUUGCUAAGUUGAACAUAGGGUGGGUGAACCGCAAAUCCAUCAUUUCUUACCUUGUUCAGUCCUGACAAUGCAUUUUGACUAAUAAGAUAGCCCUUACCUUCAGAGUCAUACUUAGAUUAUCUCUUUCCAGCGGACUUUCGCUCGAGAUACUUACUUGCUUCUGAUCCUUAUGAUUGGACUUAUGGGGAUGCUUGUUAGGUGGGAAUGAAUUCCAUCGAGAAAGCUUAUCCAUCGCUGGCAAACGACUUCAAAAAGCAACUUAUUCGAGAGGAAAAGACAACGGAAUGACUCUGACUCAUAUACUCUGCAUUCCCAUCAUCUGUGCUACUAUCUUUUUGUCGAAACCGGAACCCUCCUCAAUAGUAUUUCCUCUCUAGCAGCCAACACAGGAAGAACUCCUCCCUCCUUCUUCUAAUCCAAUCAUCUCUCAUUCCGGAAUAGAUAGAAUCCACCAUUAAUGAUCAGAGUGAAGAUUCCGAUCAAGCAUACGUUUUGAAUUUCUAUACGUAACAUAAUCGAAUUGAAGAAGGCUUUCCGCACCUCCCAGCUGCAGAGAAUCUAAAUAGCGGUUGUUUGGCCCGAUAAGGAGUGUUUCGAAAGCUGCAAAUAGUCCGCCCCCUUUCAAGCUUUCUAAAAAGAGGGCUUUAUUGCAGAAAACUCCAUUAUGCUUUCCUAUAACCAGCGAGAAAGGUCUUUGCACUCCGAAAUGGUUGCAGCGGAUAGUUUGAAUGGUUGUUCCUGCUUAGCCCUCCUUCCCACUCCCUUCUCUCGCCCAGAACCAUUAAAAACACCUCUCAUCUUAUAUUUUCUAUUGGGUUGGGCUUUCCCUCUUUCCAUCUUGGAAAUUAGGAUGACGAAGUCUAAUCGGGGUCUCCCAAAGCCUUGAAUUCCAAAUGCAGAAAAAAGGAAUGAAUUGAACCUUCUCGAACGUCAUAGAUUAGGGGAUGAUACCACUCAAACCAUAUAUUAUAGAUAAAUGAAAGGACUGAAUUGAACCUUCUCGUCACACCAUAUAUUAUAGAAUAGAAGAAAAGGGUUCACACAGCAUAGAGGAAGGGAGGGCCUACGGAAUAAGUCUCCAAUCAAUCUCCGGUAGGUUAUCAAGUGAUUUUCUUGUUGCUCUUUCAUUUAGUGUUCAUUGUCGAAUCGGACGCUGAACCCCCGCCCCCAAACUCAGGGGGGAAGUCAAACUGUACCUUUAGAAAGCCAUGCCCCGGUAUUGAUUCUCCAUUGGCAAGUCGAGAUUGCAAAAUAGGCCUUGUGGGAAGGGCUAGCUAGGGAGUUGAGUUCAUAGUAUAUAGAAUUGGAUAUAAUCUACAGGAAGUAAAGAGAUGAAUGUUAUCUUAUUCACUCCUGUAACUCUAAGUAGAAGUCCCACUAGAUUCACUCCUGUAACUCUAAGUAGAAGUAAUACUAGAGAGAAUUGUGUCUAAAGAAACCUCUCCUUAGAAUUGAGAAUGAGAAGUAGGGCAAGCUCAGGCCGUUCAGGAAUAACUUCGUAACUUCGUCGAAGAAAGUGAGAUCUUGGUUAUGAACGUCCGCUGUGGAGACUACUAAGGAAUGGAAAACUAGCCAAGGCUAAGGAGACUGUUUGUACUAGAAGUCCGGAAGAGUAUAAGCACGAGCGUUCGCCUACUUGUGAGUCGAGUAUAGCAGUGUAGUAAAGACGGAGCCACAUCUUGGAGUAGUUUGGCAUUGGUCGCCUUAUAGAGUAGGGCCGACCUCCAUAAGCUUAUUCUUGUUCCUUCGUGAACUGAACCAUACUUAGUCACUUCCCUUUUCUAUAUAAAAGAUUAUGAUACAAGAUUCUGAAUACACUGGCGAGACCAACUGAAAGCAGAUCAUAGCUUCGAGCUCCCUUACACGCAGAAGAAGAUUGAACAGAUUAUUCUCUCGGCACCAACACUCGAACCCGCCAAGCUAACCUUAGCAACUCUGGUAUUGUAUAAUGGAUUCUUUCAGUCUUUUUCUUGAUAAUCAAAAUCAGAUUAAACGUUAGUGUACCCUUAUUGCUGAGAGUUUUGUAGAGCUAGCAGAGUUGCUUGGCUCUCAUUGCUAAAAAACUCAUUUAUGCUUGUUGUCUUAUAGAACUCUACCACAUGUUUUGCUUGCUAAAAAACUCACUUAUGCUUGUUUACUUUUAAAGCUGCCUAACGCACAAGGGCUUGUUCCGGCAACCCUAAGCACAAUGUGUGGCGAACUCCAAUCUAAACUCACUGUUUCUCUUGACUCUAAUAACUUGAAGAACGGCUUUUGCCUGCGUACUGGACUACUGGACGGAUGCUUCUUUCAUUUAUUCUUCUUCACAGUAGACGACCAAUACGGAAUUUCAAAUCCAAUCUAACUCACAAUUGAUAUGCUAUAUGUAAAGUAAACAACACUGCAACAAGCAAAGGAACUAGCACUCAAUCAUAACCCGUUCUUUAGAAACUAUAACUAAGGCUUUCGAACACUAAGGCUUUCGAACAAGAAUAACAUACAUGCUUUCGAACACUAAGGCUUUCGAACAAGAAUAACAUACAUAUUGCAUAGGCGCCACCCGCUCAAGACUAAGUGCUAAUGGGAGUUCUGAGUUGACUUUUGAAUCUAACCGACAUUGAUAUGAUAUAGAAGCAGCUUGUAAAGACACUACACUGCUUCCCUUCUGCCUUCGAUGCCGUGAUGACGCGGUUCAGUCUGCAUUCGAUCUACCACCUGCCCGAGUAGGAGCACCAUCUAGUAUAAGAAGCUAGCUAAUAUGAAGGAGCAAGUUGUUUGUUUACCAUGCUAUUACUCUUACUGUACUUGCUCAACACCGAGAUAUAGUCAACACCGAUAAAGAAAAGAAGCUCAAUAUUAGUCGCCCUCUAGCUCUGCCAUACUCUACAUUCUUCCCCGAACCUUUGCUUUCCCAGGGGCGGGAGUUACGAAGGAAGCAGUUCUUAAGGAGUAACGAAGUAAGGGAAGCAGUUCUUAAAGUUAUUGAAGUUCACGUUUAGGAAAAGAUUGGAGUAAUUCAGAUUGCUUGUUCACUGGCCACACUGUUGUUGCUGCUUGAGAAGUAAGCAAUGUUGUCACUUUCUGAAAUAUACUUCACUGUAUGACUUACUUACUUAUAUACUAAUUCUCUAUCGAGCUACUGACUGUAUGACUGAUAUACUCAUUCUCCAUCUAGUCCUUGAGGUUAGUUAGUUCAAGAAUGGAAGUCAAAGUGCAUUGUUGAGUUCGAGCAAACAAGCAUUAUUCUGGUAUUGUUCCCCGUUGUGCUAAAACAAGCAAGGGCACAGCAAGUUGUUGUUCCAGUUCAGAGGUCUGUGUUAAUUAGUUCCGUUGGGCCAGUAAAGUCAGAAAAGAGUAUGCACCUAAAAGUAAUCCAAGAGUAUGCACCUAAUUAAGUAACAAUAUGAGAAACUCCUUACUCUGAGGCAGAGGCACCGCUAUACCUAUUGAUAAGCUCUUCCCUUGUGUAUUGAUAAGCUCUUCCCUUGUGCUAACAUAUGAGAGUCAGGAACAAGUCUAGUUUUCCGGUACCUAUCUUAUUAUUCCGUUUAGCUACCCUUGAUUCUUAAACCUUAACACUACCCUUUGAUUCUGAAACCUGCAAUUCCAACUACCCUGAAUUCUGAAACUGUAAAUCAUAUAGUCAAUAGUAACCUUCACUCUGAAACUACUGCACCCAGAAACUCUUCCGUCUAGCAAUCUACGCGCAGGGCAAGAAUCCGUCUUUCUUCUCUUAACUGCAACAAGCAACAGCGAAAUCAUCUCUCUUCACUUGACUGGAAAGAAUCUAUCCUAACUUACCAGAAGGCGACGACUUACUAGAUUGGCGCACCCGCUUGUUUACUUCAAAUAUAGGGAUUAUUUACUAGCAGCAUAGUUUCCAACAAGUGAGUGUUAGUGAGUUGUGCUAAGGGUUACUCUCGGGUCGCUAAACUACAAGUAAAGCCAAUAAAUCAUAUGGUACUUUCUUUGCGCACCUGUAACUAAGUACUUAGCGCAAUAGGCAACCGAACCCUAAGAAAAUAGACUUCACCAUCUAAGGCACCCGGAAAGCUCACUAAGGCACAUCAGAAUCCACAAUCAAAUAAGAGAGAGAUACAUUUCGACUUAUAGAAUUAGACAACCCUAUAAGACCCACCCGACACUAAUAGAAGCAAGUAACAACACUGCAUUGCUGAACACUCCAGACUCUAGCCUUUCCCUCAAACACGGAACUUAGCCUUUCCGAACCUGCUGACCCGAGUAGCUUAUUCCACUUGGUUGUUGAAUGUAAGUUCGCCGUUAAGUUAGAAGAUGGGCACCCUUGUUCUCUACCCCUUGAAUAGAGAAAAGCCUGACUCCAUACUUGAGCGUUGCUUGUUUCUACUAAGCGGAAGCAAAGGCGAAGCAAUGCUGGGUAUGGUUCUACUCUAUCCAUAUGAAGAGACUAAUAUGACUUUCCAUUCCAUUAGGCGCCCUUUGAGUUUGUUUUGAAACAAUGCUGCUGCUGCUAGUCAAUAAGUGGAUUUAGAAAGGUAUGGUGCUGAUAUUGAUUUCGAAGGUAAAGGUGCUGAUAUUAGAACUAAUCACUCAUGUAAGCACGAUGGAACAAGCAACGCGCCGGAGAGAACAAGUAGCUAAGCAAACUAACAACGGGUAGAUCGAAAGUUACAAGUAGAGAAAACUCGGCUUACAGAGGCCCUUGUGCAUUCAAGUGUUGUUGCGGGGUACCGACAUCAAUCCUCUAUUCCAUAAGUGAGUCAAGCCUGGAGUUAGGAAGCAGUUAUGCGGUAGCUUACUAGAGCGGGUGCCUAGCAGAGUUAUUACGUUGCCUCUCACGGUGGAAGAACAUCAAUCUCCUGUUGCUUCGGUAGAAGAACAUUCAUCUUCUGUUGCUCGGGUGCACUCAAUUCAGUAUAGUCUCAUUCAGGACGCUUACGCUUAUUGAGUUUAAGUAAGGUUACUUUUCUCUAAAUGUGGUGGGACACCGUUGCUUCUUUUCUUUCGCAAGCCAAACUAAGUUCAGAAUGUUAGCUUUCAGGGGUGGGUGCUGGAGUGAUUAAAGUGAAGUGAGUAAAGUGUUUGUAAACGAAGCAAGCCCUUAAGUUCAUGGUUGUUAAUCAAUUAGAUCAUAUGCUAUCUCCAUGCUAUUCUUAUUGUAUCUCGAGAGCUCUCUUCCGCAAGCAAAGGGAAAAAGUCAAUCAGGCAAAGGGAAAGAGCUGUCAAUUACAUAAGCACUAACACAAAGGGAAAGAGCUAUCAAUCUGGUUCUUUGACUCUACUCUAUUGGAGCUAGUGCUGCAUAGAGAAGUCUUACAGGCCAAACUCUGCCUUGUGGUUAGUUAAUGCAAGAGAAGUGGCAAGUAUCUUGGUUAGUUAAUGCAAGAGAAGUGGCAAGUAUUUCGUCUAAAGUGACGUAUCAAGUUGAAGUCCAUCUAAUCCAGUAAAUAAAAGGGAGUUAAUAUGACGUCCACCACUCAUAGAUGAAAGUAACAAAACACUGCUUUUACUGAUUCAAGUAACAAAACACUGCUUUUACUUAAGUAUAGGGUUUCGGCGGCUACCAAUAUGAUUUUCUUUAGAGUCAAUAGUGAGUUUGCCGGAACAAACAAGCAACGUAUUAUUUCUAGCGUUAGAAGCUUACGCUGUGGCUUACUCUUGGGGGUGCGGGGUGCUAACGUGAAAUCAUAUCAGAGUUAAGGAAGCAAAGCAGCUUGUUUACUAAAUUCUAUAUGCGUCAUCAGGUUGUUUACUAAUAUUGAUAUACGGGGGGCAUCCAUGUUAUUUUAUUGUUCUGUUGAAAACUUCCGACUAUGCUAUGCCUAUAAGAGUUAUUAAUACUCGUUAUCAACAAGCAACGCGCUUACGCUGACUUUUCUCCUUGAGUUUUGGCUCUUUCUUCUUUGAAGCUGUAGUUAGCUAGCUCGGCACAGGUUGCUGCUCCUUCGUCUUUCCUUCCCACCCUUCGUUGUAAUAGAUGAGAAAAUGAGUAACGGGCAAUCAGAUAGUACUUGAGUGUUCGGCAAUAAAGUAACCAAGCUGCAACAAAAGUGCGAAAGAGAGAACGAAAAGAACUUCCGCCCACAAUGACACCCUAACUGAACUUACUUGACUUUGAUGCUUGGACCACUUAGCGCUAAAGAAGGAAUUGGAAUAGAUUCUUACCUAAACCUUAACCCUGUUGCAAAUGCUAAUACGGAGUCGCUCACUUGAUACAACACCAUACCUUUCAUCAGUAGACUAGACCGUUAAUUAAUGAAGUUGGGACGUAAAGAGAAAAGUUCUAUGCCAUUGAAUGGGAAGUUGGGACGGAAAGAAAAGUUCUAUGCCAUUGAAUGGGAUAGUGGAGGAAAGAAGGGGAAAUGUCAGCUAGUACUUACUUCUUCUUUCUUUCUCUCUUUUCAGUUCCAGAUGAGCUUCUUCACAGUGUCGAUAGGAAGUAUUAUGCUCUUCUCUUCUUUCUCUUCUAUUCUUUAUUCCCUUCUCUUCUGUAUGAUAGUAUAGGGUCCCUUCUUCUCUUAUCAGAGUUGUAGGUCAUAUAUGAAAGAGAAAGUUCAGGCUUGCAAGCAAGAGAGCAUUUCCUAACCGAAAUAGUGGUUAUAUUUCCCUUUACCCUAUACUCAGUACCCGAGAGUGGAGUCGGUGUGUGAGGGCAAGGUGCUAUCUUAUAAUAGAUAGAUAGAGUCUAAAGAAAUGGGUUCGGGUUCGUUAAUUGAGAAAGAGUUUAGUCUACUGAAAGUGUUUGUUAAUAGAGAGAGUCUAAAGAAAGUGAAUUGAUAAAGAGUAUAGUAUACUUAAAGGCUUUGUUGGAAGAAACUGUCAUAGCUGUCAGCGGUAAUGGUCACUUCUUCAAUUAAGCAGCAGUGGAAGGAGAUUCUCUCAGGAUCAAGGGGGGAAUUCGAAUAGUACUGCCAAAAGGGUUGAAGCGGGAAGUGAAGUUACUAAUCCAGCUCUAUACCGAAGUGAAGGGAAGACUCGAGUGCGGUGCCGGAUUAUGACCGCGCUGCUCAUGAAGCCUGGAUGUAAGGAAUUGAUGUCUGCCUCCGCUUCUCGUCCUCUCUGUUACCAGAUUGAAUGGAAAUGCAUCGUCGUGUUGUUAUUAUAUCCGCCUCUCUACCCUACUCCCAGAAAUGCUUCUUCCCCCCAAUCUAGGGUUAUCAAGCGAAGCGCUCGGUCCUGUUCUAAGGCAAGUAAGGGUGUUUCGGGAUGCAGGUGAGCCCACUACAUGGUCCUUACAGUAUCGGGUGACUCUCUCUUGCCCAUCUAAGGUCUAGAAAGACUCAAUUGAUACUUGCCUCACCGUAUCGGGGUUGCUUGACUCUCUCUUGCCCGUCUAAGGUAAGGUCUAGAAAGACAAAAUGAAUGCUUGCUUGCCCUAUAUUGUGUAUAGGUUCCUUAAAGUGGUCCGGUCCACUCGCUAACAAGCAAGGGAAAUAAGAAAGAAUAAGUGUAGAGAACAAGAAUCAACGGGCUAAAGAACAAGAGAAGAAUCGACGGGAAAAACAACCAAAAAAGAAUCAACGGGAAAAAACAAACUCAAAUGAAUCAACGGGAGGAAGGUAUGCUGCUCUGUUGUAGCGGUCGGAAGGAAGGUAUGGUAUGCGUAGUUGCUUGGUCCCCUAUAAGACCCACCUCUAAGCGGGAAGCACAUAAUUUCUCCUCGAAUACCAGCACCUAAAAUCUUUGAUAGGAUGUGGGAAGCACAUAAUUUCUCCUCGAAUACCAGCACCUAAAGGAUAGAGUGUGAAGCAAAGUAAUAUGGAAUCUUUUAUGAAUGAGACAAAUAAUGGAAUGAGUGUGUUUUCCUGUGUAAUAGAAUGAGUGUGUUUUCCUGUGCUCGUUCCGACACCUUUCCUUUACCCGUUGGUUUGAUUUAGCGUUUAUGCCCUUCCACAGUAUACUAUACAUAAUGAGUCAGUAAAUAAAGAAGGAUGUUCCCACGAAAAGCUUAAUCACUUGAAUUCGGAGUUCUUUCUCAUAUUACUAGUUGCAGCAGCCCGUCAUUCACUCGGGGCGGGCACUUCUACACCCAAUGUGGAAGAAAAGAUGAUGUAGAGCUCUUGCCGUCAUGAACGAGAAGGCUUAUGAUGCCAGAGUAUCUCCGGGUGGGCUCAAGCUAAAGCAGGAGAAGAUCGUUCGCUUUCUUCUGAGUGAGCCAAAAAUGGAGCGGGUCGGGUGAAUUAGCCUCUAGACGAGGGACCAACCUUUUUCUUAUACUGGAGUUACAGCUUCACUCUUUCAAUACUAUCGCACCUUUCUGGAUUCUCUUCUACAGUAUCCUUUCGUCGGGUCAAAGAUCAGACCUGCACUAAUGCUUUUGCCAUAAAUAAUAUCAAUUCUAUAGAGAUCAAUAAGAAAUACGGACCCCGACCUGGAGCGAGACUAUAUCCAGAUCUAAAAGAAGCGAGACUAUAUCCAGAGAUCUAAAAGAAUAAUGAGCUAGGCGGCCAGUGAGCAAAGAAAGGGGGCUCCACUUAUUACUUCCGGGACCUUGGGGCUUUUUCAUUCCCCUUAGUAAACACAUUAGUUAGAGUUAAGCGGUCUGGUAACGAAGUGACUUUUGAGAGCCCGAAUCAUGCCUACACCCUCUCCUCCUCAUUCAUGAUAGUAAGCCCUGUAGCAAAAAAGGGCAGGAGCAAGUUGGAAGUUCAGGUGACUAAGAGAAUGGCGGAUCUUGGUAUGUGUCUCGUCUCGGUCAAUGAAAUGUGAUCUAGCUACUCCUUCCUUUUCAUUAAAGCAAGCCAUAGUCUUAGUUAUAGCAAGGGUUCUUCCUCUAUCGAGGGGCGGAAGAUGAGAGCAGAAUCCUUUAUUGAUUAACCAGAAAAGAAGUAAGGGAAUCAAGUGACCACGACACUGAUCUUUUCCUGUUCAAUUCAGAUUUGAUCAAUGAUAUCCGACUAUAGAAGAGAAAGUCAAUGAUAUCCGACUAUAGAAUAGAAAGAAGAUCUGAGAACUGUAAUGGCCCCUCUUUAUAGGCAUGGCAUGCAUCCAUCUUUUAGUCAAUUGAUAGGUAUAGGCAUGCAUCCAUCUUUUAGUCAAAUAGAAAGGGUGCAAAGGAGACAGACCCGAUUUACCUCACUACCAACCUAGUCCUAACGGAAGGUUCCCCACGAAAAGAAUAGACUCCUCAAGUAAAGAAAUACCCAACUUCUGCACCAGCGCCCCAUUAAAAGCAAUGCAGUAAUCGAAGAGAUUACAAGGACUCGCUCUGAUAAGUAGGAGUCAAGGCUUUCUUUCCAGUUAGCGAGCGAUCUUACCGAGCCUCACCUAUUGAUGAUUGUCACCUUCUCCAUGAUCCUUAGGAAGAAAUGGUACUGCAAACAAUUCCGUUAUACACACUAGCCAUAUGAUGCAUUAGUAUAGGUACAUUAUUGGUCCUGCAAACAAUUCCGUUAUACACACUAGCCAUAUGAUGCGUUAGUAUAGGUACAUUAUCUUCAAAAGACAGAGAAUAAUAUAAGAAUAUUAAUGAAAUGCAUAAGAAAUAAUAAGUAAAGAUUGGAGUAUUAUAAGAAAGUCAAGAUUCAAUAGUCUUAUUCGUUUUUAAGUAAAGAUUCAAUAGUCUUAUUCGUUUUGGGGAAUGGAAUCAGCCUGUAGAAAUGGGUUGUAAAUCAGAUAGAGUCCAUGGGGCUGCCUGUUAGUAUAGGGUUCGGCUUCCGCUCAAUAAGUUGAGUAUAUGGAGGUACCUAUUGCAGUUGGUUAGGGUGCUGGUCAAUCAGUUAGUACAAUAGGGCGUGGUUAGCUUAUUUGAGUUAGGGAGCGCCUGGGGGAAUAGGUUGACGAGUUUAGGCUAGGAAAGCUCCCCAAGUGGACAGAAGAUCCGAUUGCUUGUUCAGUGUCAGAGUAUAUAGAAGUGUUCUAAUCUCUGAGGUGAAGUGCGUUAGUGAGCUGCUCGAAACAAGUCCGACAAGCAUACAAGUAACUAAAGUGGGACGCAGAUGCGGAAUAUGAAUAGACUAAUGCCCCGGCAAGUCGAUCAUUGGCUUAAUUGCCUGGCUUUUGGGACUCUAGUAUCACAAAUUCCCGUCGUGUGUGUUGGGCUUAUUCCAAUUUAUAUACAAACAUAUGGAUGAUUCUUCUUUUCCUUUGUUUGGGAAUGGACAAAAGAAAGGGUUUAUACAUGACCGCUUGCUUUGUACAAGAUGCUAUCGCUCGCUUUGUACAAGAUGCUAUAGUAUAAGAUGCAAUUGCAAAAAAGCCCUUUUUCCACUGGAAGCUCUACCCGCUCAAAUAAAACCAUCCUUUCCAUUUUGAUAUACCAGUAGAUUAUUUCUUACCUGAAUUUCGGAAUUGGAUUCAUUACCUUUCAAGCGUACUCUUAUGGGAAGGUGUUCUGGCGCCUAUGUCUCCGUAAGAAUAAGUUAUUCCGCCCUUAUCCAGCAGGGGAUGAAAGAAUCGUACUUUUCUUCUUGGCUAUACACAAUUCUUUUACAUCUUAGUAGGAAGGAUUUGAUGCAAAGGACCGGAUAAAGACCUAAGAGCUUUUUCUGUGCAUUUGCUUUGGAUUUGUCCUGCAAACUAAGCAUUCCAUUCCUAAAGUAAGUGCCAAAGUAUACUCUCUGCAUUAAUCCCCUUCCGCUUCCCCCAAGCGGGCUUGCCUUGUCCUCCUCUCUGCGUCUACUAUUGCUAAAGCCCUUCCUUCACUGGAAUUAUGUCCUUCCUGCAAGUGCUUAGUAAGCCUCUGUACUUCCUCUAAUUAAUAGUAUUUAUGAGAUACCUCUGUCUAGUAUGUAUUUGGUACCUCUGUCCUUCCAGCGAGUGUCUUCCUAUGUCCUGCAAGUGCAACGUCUGUCUCUGUCUAAUUACCAACCAUUUCUAUACAAAACUUGAACGAGUUGUGCAAAGGCUGCUUCAAAUGCAAGUAAGAUAGUCUGUCCUGGUAAGAUAGUCCGCCCUUCACCCCGACCUUGAUAAAGCAACAGAUCCUUAUGAGGUAGUUGAAAGGAGAAGAUAAAGAACCAUUCUUGUUACCCGAUAGGUAUGAUAGAGAUAAGUAAACUACCCUUUUUCGCUCGCUAAUUCACUCGCUACCGCGCAGUUGCCUAGUGAAACUCCCUUAUUCCCUUAUUCUCCCUUAUUCCCUUAUCAAUUUAGAAACUCUCCCUCAUUCCCUCAUUCUUUUAUGAACUCGGGGGCCCCUUUUACCUUGACCUAUGACGAAUGUUAGCUGUUGAGAAGGCAACUCGUUAGAAUGGUUGAGGGAUACUGACGCCGAAACUCUCACUUUCACUUUUACGAAUAGGCGCGGGUAGGAGGAAAUACAAAUGGUAAUUAAAUACACGUGAUUGGAUACUUUUCUGGUUUCUAUUUUCUGCACCCUAAUUCAGGAAUUAGUUUCGACAUGAUCUAUUUUACUUACUUCGACUCUAAGACAGAUGAGAGAAUUUCUCCUAAAAAAGCCAGCUACGGGAGAUAUUACUCCAACUUGAAAAAAGAAUUCAUAAUUGUGGGAAGUCUAAAGCAACUCUUAGGAGAUUCAUAUUGCUAACUUGGAGUGGGGCUGAGAAAACUAAGGUGAGGCAGGGUAUUUAGGGGAAUCAGAUCAUUGACAGGCUCAGGAGUGCCAUCCCGUGUACUACUAUCGUUGUUGCAAGGGAACAGCACGAAACCCUAGGGCAUAAUUCUGAUAUUGGAAUCUUCACUGAUGGAAUCCAAAGAAAAAGGAUCAAAGAAUAGCUCUCAUACAGGGAGUUAUCUUUCUCUCCACAGCGUAGUGCCCCCCUAUUUAUUGUAUCUGUGAAAACCCCUAUUUCUGGGCGUUUCUCUAUAGUCGCUAAUGUAACAUCCAUCAUGGAAACUCGGAAACUUUACUUGCUUCUCGAGCGUCAGUGGCCAAGCAACGAGCCAAGUCACUACAAAUGUUUAGCUAAGGGGCAGCUAGUUCGAACGUUAGCAUAUUUCGAUGAGGAUUUGAUUCCUUUCGCCCGAUAUACUUAACCGAUUAUUCUUCUGGAGUCAUCAACAAAGAAAGAUUCCACAAGGGAUGAAGCUAGAACAGAAACUGACUUUCUUCGCCUAGCUUAAGAUCCUAUAACUGGAAUAGGAAUAGGCCUACAAGGAUAAGGAAGCUAUUCUGGGACAAUCAGGACAUUCUAUAAUACAAACAGAUGAAACAAACAAGCUACUACGCAUUUCGUUUAUUCUUUCCUAUAACAUAGGUACUCUAAAUAUCAGAUAUCUUGACUAACGGAAUGAGGCUCACAGAUACAUAGCAAGUAGGAAAGCAACUACUAAUUGUUGGGGAUGAAACUAUCACAGGUAAUUCAUAAACGGACUUUAGAACAGAACUGAUCUAUCUGUUUCUUAUCUUGGAGUUCAAUCCAACAAGCUACUACUCAAAAAGCACAGAGAGUCCAAAAUCCCCCAAGUGUGUUAAUUUGUUCGAUGCCUGUAACGAGUCUGGUAUUCAUGGCGUUAGCAAGCACUAGACCACUCCUGUUACACUUGUAUACUUUCCCUUAUAUACAAGCAGCUUUUCUCUGUAACUAGGGUGGAUUAGUUACGAAAGUGAAUCAGUGCUUGUUAAGUCGAUGAUAGAAGAUCUUUUUGAAGGUCCACUACCGGUUUUAGCUUCCGUAGAGUUUCUUUGAGUGCGAAAGUAAUCUGUGUUGUCUACAAGAUAAGAAGUUGGACUGGAGAAGACUCCGUUGAAAGAUCAUAAACUUGAUCAAUAUCCGUAGUAGGAACUCGAAACAAUUCCGAGGGCUUCUUCCCUUUAGCAUUAGAAGGAAGGGUUAACAAGAUACCUGUGUUACGUAAGAAAACAAUAAAUGAAAUAAACAAGAGAAAAUCAUUCAAUUGAAUUGAGUAGUAGUGUAGUAAAGAAAUUAUUAGGAAUCAUAGGAAUAAGAGGAAGCUGUAGCCGUAUCAAGGUCCGGGUCAUAAGAAUACGUUCCUUGAUAAGUCAGAAUAGAGAAUAGAGAAGAGAUAUAAGAGUCGGAGUUCAGGAAGCUAUACCCGGAGAAGGAAGGUUUGGUUUGACUCGUUUGUUUCUAUAUCUAGUGCUCAAUAAGAUAAUAUGCUAGUACUGUUAAUAUGCAAGUCAAGUGUUUAUGGCGUCAGUUACUAAUAAAUACGGCCAAGCUACUACUAUUGGAUAAGGUUCAUUCUUUUACUGUUUGUUUGACCAGUAAAGUCCCGCUUUUGGGAGCCCAGUUUACCGGACAAGCUACUACUACUAGUCUGGUUUUUGCCUUCUUGCCAGCCCUGUUUCCCAGGCAAUUAAAUCAGUGUCAUCUAAAAUAGAAGCCGAAUAUCCUUGUAUGAUAUAUUGGGGUAACUAACCUACCUGGUGCUCCUUUAAGAAUAGGGAGUUUCUGUUUUCAAGUAAGAAAUACAGAAGAGAACUGUAAGGCAGAAAUGCAGAAUUCUACUAGUCAGAGUUGACCUCUUUCUCGCCAAAACCCUGUAAAUGCGAUUAACCCACAUAACCCAGUGCUCCUUAAACCCUGUACAUGUUCUUCACCCACAUAACCCAGUGCUCUUUCAUUUAAGAAUAGAGUUUACUUAAUUGAACUUAAAGUAGAGUAAGGGACAGAGUAAAGUGUUCGUGGACAAGCUACAGGACUGCUGUGCCAGUGGAAUUCAUAGUUUCGAGUUAAAGCAUCAAUUGUUUCCCGGGCCUACCUCUGUUGUAGAGUAAACCGGCUGACUGAACUGCUUCCAACAUAGAUGAAACUCUUCCAUGCUUUGAAGCGGGAAGGAAAUCAAUAAAUCCAGAAGGGUGCUUUUCCGAGCAUAGGUCGAUUACUACAAGGGGCUGAAGAACGUAAGGGCACAGAAAAUAUAUCCUUUCUUUUGCAUCGUUUAACAAGAUCUGAGUCAUGAACAGAAGCGUUUAGGUAAAAAACUUCUAUAACAGGUUAGAGAGAUUCGAGAGGUAAUUGUGGCGUGUCAGAGGAACAAGCAACCACUAUGCGCGUUAGGAACCUCCACCCGUGAUUUAAGUAAGAUAAAUAAUAAGUCAGAAUAGAAUAUGUCUAGCAAUAAGUGACUUGAGAGUUGAGGUCGUAAAAAGGGAUGCAAAGAAAUUCUCUAAGUUACCGGUUUGUUUGUAGCUGACUGACAAAACUGCUUCCGUAGCUGACGACUAAGCUGCUUCCUUUGUUGGGCCUGUUCACUAGCAUGCAUUUCCUUCCAUAACCUAUCCACUAGCAUGCAUUUCCCUCCCUAACCUAUCAAAGAGAUGUUUCACACACCGUAUAGUCCACGUGGGCAUGAGAUUCCGCUUCUGUAUAAGAUGAAAAAGUCAAACAAUCUGUAUAAGAUUAAAGUAACACAAACUUACAUCUUCUCUUACCUGCGCAUUCGGCUUGGCUUCUUCUUUAUCGGAUAUUCAAGUAGAAAAGAAAUGGACUCUCCUAAAGCUAGAAGAUAUUGCGCUAAAGCAACUAAUACGGAAUUGAAUCUAUCGUAGGUCUUAACACCUUGCUUGAAUUCUACAUCUAGUCUCACUUUACUGCAUCACCGGUCUCGCUUUACUGCAUCGCAGGCUUACUUGACUUAUUGCUGGACUGGAGUUACCUCCGCGACUCCUGACUUUCAAACAACUAAUCUCAAAUCUGGCUUUACCGUCUCUAGGCCCUACGCUCGUUAGCCACAUUCCUACUCUACUGUUUCACAAACCGCUUCCAUGCCUCUAUUCCUUAGUCCGUGGAGGAUCUACUCAUUCUUUGAUUACUGAGUUCAACUCCGAUGCUUACUACUAUAAUAAGUAUUAGCCCUAAGUAUAAGUACAAGUAUCCUCACCUCAGUUAUGAUAUAGAAAUAAGUAAGAGAAACCCAAACUCGUGCUACAAAGUAGGAAAGCAAGAAAACCACUCAGUAGUAACAAAACAAAUCCCUGACCACCUUUCACUCUUAAACUAUGGUAUCUCUUUCUUUUGCUAGUGUCAAUUCAUUCUUACAAGAUAUACAGUAUUGCAGUAAGUAAAGUGGAUGUCGAGUUAAAGUAGCAGAGGUACUAGUGGAAGAACGAAAGAAAGAAGUGGGGUUUUGACUACUGGUGAGUAAGGCCCGUUAGCAGCGAUUUCCGUAUUAGAAGCAGUGGUUACAGUAAUAAAGGGAACAGUUGCAUCCCCAGUUUCUAGCUAUAUAGCCUUUUCGAUAUUAGUUAAAGAGAGUAAGCCAGGACAUGCUAACUGGUAUUACUUGAAGAAUAAGAGGCAGUAAAGUAAGCCCUAGAGUUAAGUCAAACAAAAAGAAAGGGAUGCUAGUUUUAAGUAAGUAGUGGCGGGGUGAGAUAAGUUAUAAACGGAUUUGGAGUUAGGAGCGGUGGACUCAAGUUAAUAAGGCAUGCAAGUGAACAUAUAAGGAUUGACAGCUUAGUGAGUAAGGCUGGGUCUUCCGAGGGAGUAGUAAGGCUUAGUUCCCGGGGAGUUAAGAAAGAAAGAAAGUCAAGAUAGUAAGCCCGAGAGAUAGUUACUACAGAACAAAAGCAAAGAGAUAUAGACUGAAGUGCAAGGUAUGGGUUAAAGACCAAUACAAAGGAAAGAAAUAAUGAUAUAAGUUAAUAAUGAUAUAAGUGCUAGUCAGAAUCCGUGUUAUGGGAGGUAGAUUUUAAGCAAGUGGCAGCAUCCUUUCCUUAUAGUUAAGCUACGAGGCAUUAGUAACAGAUUGCAAAUGCAGCUAAAGGAUUAGAUUAAGUAGCGGCAGGCCAACGCUCAAGGUGGAGAAUAAAGAAAAGGGAAAUAGGCUGAUAGCACGGACAGUCAGAGUUGGAGCGAGGAAUAGGGAAUGCCAGGUAUAUCGCUAAUUCUAAGUCUUAUAGUAGUGAAUCCUUAAAAGCGCUAGUUCAAUCCUAUUAGGUGGGGUAAAUCUGAUAGUGAGCAUUGAAUGAGUUAAAGGCUGAACUCGCCAACAAGGGAAAAGCUACAGUGUACUACUGCUACACAAGAUUGGAACGGAUACUGGAAAGAAUGGAACUGCUAAGACCUUAAAGCUGCCUUUGCUUGCUUCUAUUCUCUGUACUGCUCCUUUGAUUCCUUACUAAAACUAUCCGACUGAAAAACGACUCCAAUAGAAACGUCGGUGUACGAAUCUCUCCUCAACGCCUGCCUCCCUUGUGCACCUAAUCUUGCUUCUUAGUUAGAGGCUUCCGUUCCUGUAUCUCAACCGGACUUACACUACUUUAUCUCAUUACCGCGCUGCUUACUAUAAAAACACCACUUACGGACUUAGAGGCUGACUAUACUGUGUCUCAUCCUUACUCCCCCGCCUAUUAGUCUGUUGCUUGACUUGCGGAACGAACUACUAUAGAAUCCGGAAUGAACUGAUAGGUAGUCAAUCUUACUCAUUACCCCAGAGCCUUAGCCUGACUUGCGUUAGUGUUAGCCUCGCUUUACUGCUUGAAAACUUGACUUCAUCUUCCACUCUUCUACUCCGGCCUUAUCGGGUGUUUAUCAAACUUAACUACUUAUCAACACUACUAUGUUUCUCAAACUUCACUACUUACACUACUAUUAUAGGUGCGGAAAGCCUGCUGGCAAACAGUAAAGACAAACAGACUACACUACAGCUACGGGCUUCUUAGUUCGAGCCUGGCCUGGCUCUACUCCCCUGGAUCUUAGCCAGCUACUGAUGGAAUCAAUUCUGAUAAUGAUAAUCCAAAUUCUAAUAUACAACAAUUCAUGUCACCACCAAACACCCAACUUGUUUUCUGACUUCCAAAACCAACCCAAUGGUUUCCUAGUUUAGGGUGAAAUGCUUUAGUGACGCUUUCAUUCCCUCCCAAACCCUUGUCGACUUCUACCCUAUUCUAUUCCGAUUACCUCUAACCUUUUCUAUUCCUAUCGGUACCUUUCAAAAAGCCCGAGUGUUUACCACUGCAUUGAUUCAGUGCUUCUCCCCGCCCGGUGGCAUUGAUUCCAUUCCGUGCAGCUCCCCGGCCCGGCACACAACAUGGCUAUAUAUCAAAUAGAACAAAUAUAGGAAAUAGAAAUAGUGGAGCUGUUCCAUUGAAACCAGUUACUCUACGCAAACCACUAAUAAUUAUAAGAAAAAAUCACUAUCAAUACUAUUGAAAUACUAUUAACAUUAUAUACUAUUGAAAUACUAUUAACAUUAUAUAAGUAAGAGAAUGUUUGAACAAGCAAAUCCAGAAAGAAGAUAAGGUACAGUAAAUAGGAUAAGGUAUAGCUCUUAAAUGACAAAUACAGAAUGAGGGGCAGGGCAGACUUUAAUCAAGGGGUGGCGGAGUGGACAAGCAAGGAUCGGAAGACCAACAAUCUCACUACAGAGGGCGGUGGGCAGGAGUGAUCAACAUAUAGGUGAUACAAUAAGGCAGGGCAGGCCCAUAGUCAGUAUAUCCAGGAUCCGGACCAGUAGAAAUAACUCCCUCCGCGCAACGUGUUCAACAUAACAUGUUUCUUAUGAGUCCAGUGUUUGUCUAAGUGACUUGGCUACUUAACACCGACCCACAAAGUGAUAUAACGAUUUCCCUUUUUGAGUCUAUUCCGCUAAGCAAAUAGAAAGACGUUUACUAUACAUGAACUUAAUACCGAAUUUCAUAAUGCAGAAAUCCACUACUAUAUCUAAGAUCUAAAGUACCGAUACAAAGAGUAGAACCCAGCUGCCAAAGCCCUAUUAUCUCCCCUAGCGCCUACCUCCUGUAACUUGACUCCCUUUGCUUUCAUUCCAUCAGUUAUUCCUCAAUGCCUUAUUAUUUCCCCACUUCUUGAUUCUUAUGUUUCACUUGUAUUGAUAUGUAUUGGAAUGUGUUUUCUCAUUAGAAUAUGGAUAUUAGUUUUCUCAUUAUUAUAUGGAUAUUGAUUUUCUCAUUAUUAUCGUACGAGAACAUAUUAUCAUCAGUAAAUAAACGAAGUGACACUAAUCAAACAAUCAGAGACAGGAGAGAGGUAGGCUCAGCUCACUCCCAGCAAAGUCAGAAAUAAGAUCGAGGAAGGGCGGGCUCAUAGGUGAACAUAUGAUUUAGAUUAAGUAGCUUCUUACAGGCCAAGAGCAAGGAAAGGCAUACUUCAAGCAAGUAGCAGAGGAGAAGGUCUUGAGGUAAGGAGCCGACGCCUAGGUAGGUUAGAAAGAAAUACAUAAUGAGAAAGGUUAGAAAGAAAUACAUAAUGGAAUAAGUAAGUAAAGAAUCAAGGUUGUAAAGACUCCAAAUAAGUAGUGCCAGGCUAAGAGCCAGUAAUGCAAGGUUGGUUCAUUCCACACAAUAAUAGGAAGGCGAAGUUUCUAGUAUAAGUAUGAGUUCCCAGCUAAGCUCUUAUUGGUAGUAGUAUUUCUAUAGUGGGCUGUAUUCCAUAGUAGUAUUCGUAUUCCCAUAAUAGUGUUUUAGGUUGAAAACAAAGAAAGGUAGGCUUGAUAUCAGCAGCACAGGGCUUUAAUACAGCUGUUAGUGGUCCACACCCUUAUGCCCCUUGCUUCAAAACGGUAUCUAUGCUUUCGCUCUUUAGCUACUGGAAACAACACUGCCGCGUAACGGGCUUACUGACGCGGGGAACAAACAAAGUUGAAGCUCCCGUUUUUAGCUCGCUACCGCUACACACGAAUACAGGACUUGCUCAUAACUUCGUAAGACUUGUUAUUCGUUGCUGCCGCUUUUCAGCUCGCUGACGCUCUUUUAACUCGCUACCGUUUAGCUCAGGCUCCUACCGCACAACGUCCGAGCACAGAUACUGUAAUAACUUCGUUAUGACUUCUGACUAUUGCUGACGCACAACAUUAGCAGUUGUUUGUCCCGUUGCUUGGUCAUUAGUAGUUGCUUGGUCGAACACAUAACUAGUAAUAACUGGGGAACUCUAGCGGCCCUGCCGCGCAACAUUAGUAGUUGCUUGGCCCUAUUGUUGUUACUGCCGCACAACUACUUCCGUAGUUGCUUGGCGUCUAGUAGUUGCUUGGUCGUUAGUAGUGGCUUGGUCAUUAGUAGUUGCUUGGUCGUUAGUAGUUACUUGCCCAGUGUCUUGGCUCUGCUUUAUUUAUGAUUUUAGAAAUUGAUUCAUCGGGACUAUUGGAUUGGAUUCUGAAGUCUACUCCCCACUCCUCUGUAAACUCAGUAAGAUACUUACCUCUGCUCUGUCAACAAUUCUUCAUUCUGAUCUUCUUUCACUGUAAACUACCCACAAAGUCAGUCCACAACCCUAGCCUCCAAGCGAGUACUCUCUGACUCCUAUACGAAGCCACCUCUUUUUCUUUUCACUCUUGAUGGCUACAGAUGAAAGUAGUUCCGGUCGGUUUGAUUCUUUAGUUCAAUACCAGAGGAUAGGUCAAUACCAUAGGAUAGGUGAGCAAGGUUCGAAUUCUCUACAAGGUCUCGGUUCUCUUCUCUUCAAAUUCAUAGUCAAGGGCAGUCUAUAAUGAACUUUACUACUGUGGCAGUCCAUAAUGAACUUUACUACUGUAAUGGGCUCAUUCAUUUAAUCAAGGGGGUUCGUUUUUCAUGGAAAGAAAGUUGUCGUCGUAUAAUCAGGUGCCUAUAGUCAAGUUAUUUGGAUUUAGGAUUUCGGUGCGCAAUGUAAAUAAUCGAGUUUGGAAUGGCGAAUAACAGUAUUAUAGGGUUCAUGGUAUGGCAAGUCAAUAUAUAAGUUGCCAGUAGGUAGGUCAUAGGGCCCUCGACGCCCCGCAGGGCUUUCAACAACACUUCUUUUCUGUCCUGAUUCCUAUGGUCAGUCAAAAAUCCAAUACAACGAGGAAUCUUCCUUCAGUAUCUUAGAUGCAUCUCAUAUUCCUUUCUCCCAACAGCUAGAUCAGCUCAUAUUCCUUGAUUUCUCUCAACAGCUAGAUCAGCAUCUCAUAUUCCUUGAUUGAUUUCUCCCAACAGCUAGAUCAGCGGCUGCUCCCAACAGCUAGAUCAGCUCAUAUUCCCCCUUAUCCAAAAUGUCGCUACUAUGCAGUGGUGAACAUACUUUCGUUUUCGUGCCUAGGCUCGCAGCGGAUGAGAACCCACCAUAAAUAGAGAAUACUAAGGUAACCCGGAAGCCCAUAAAUAUGGAAUACUCUGAAUAGAGAAUACUAAGGUAACCCGGAAGCCCAUAAGAAGAUGUGCGCCGAGUUCUCAAACUAUAGAAACUAAUGAAAAGCCUACAAUUAGGAAGUAUCAAAGACAAGGGAACCCCAGAGUCAGCAUCCAACAAAACACUAUAGGAAGCAGAAACCAAUAGGGUAGGAUAACCAAUAAUCUUCUACUUACGUUGGGAUUCAGAUCUUCGAGUUUCAGUAUAGUACAGUUUAGCAAAAGCAUCACUCUCUCUUUUCACGCUCGAGCACAGACGAUCUAGGGCCUCCAUCAUAGAAACAUCCUCUAUAACUGCCUAACUUAUGCUGCGUUGCCUAAGCUUCCUUUUCUCGUUCUAGGCCUAUGAGCUGUAGCAUGAGUUCCCGUUAGUGGGCUAGUCUUUUUCAAUCAAAAACAAGGGCUCGAUUGAAACAUGGGUUUCCUUGCGUAUGUCGCUUUUUCUUUCCAUUCAUUCAAUAAGAAAGAUCAAUAAGAAAGACAAGUUUCUAUUACUCGUAAAGGGAAUGUUGCUAGGUGAAUUAUCAUAUAUUUCGUUCUGAGUUUUCAUAGAUAGCCCGCCGGUUGGCAAGAAAGAAGUCACCUCGGAUAGCUUAAUUCAGUAUCAGAAUUUCACUCAAAACUAUAAGUAAGGUAGAGGCCAUUAUAGUAAGGCUCUAGUUUCAUCCCGAGUUGCAUUGCAUCCGCUCUUGUUGUUGUUGGCUUAGAGCCAGCUCCACUGUGGAAAGGUUAAGUUCCAAGAAAGUCUCCAAGAUCAGAGAAUCAUCAGUGACUAGUUAUGAAGUCAGUUACUUGUUAUGAAGGAAGCCCACUACUAGUUAUGAAGCCCCUACUCAGUAAGGCUUCCCCUCUUCUACAGGAGCUGGGAAUUAAGACCAAUACCGGUAGCUCACCACCUCUUUCCUACUUGCCCACUUCUCUAGUAAAGGUAGAAAUUCCCCUAUUCAUCUACCAAGUCCGGUGUUCGCCUUCCUAACAAAGUAGUAGUCCCAGUAUGAGUAGUCCUGCCUAGGUAGUAAAUAUAUAAGGAGUUAACCCGGUUGUAUAUAAGGGAAAGCCCCCCGAUUGCCUGCAUCUAGUACGGAAGUGAGAAUUCCAGAAUCAAACUGGUCGGUGGAAGAAUGAACCAGUGUAUUGGGUAGUCAGAAUUGACCUCUAACCUAGGAAUACUGAAUGGAAGAAUUCCACUGGGCAUGAAACUCAUAAACGGCUUAUAGUAAAUACUCGGCGACUUAAUCUAAGGGCAACUAAUACAGAUGCAACAAAUCAUUCCACUGGCAGCUGUCAACUAAACCUCUUGCUCUCAUCUAAUCCAACUCGGGCUACUAGACCUUAAUUCUUCUCCUAUGACUCCGGCUCCUCUCUGGCUCUGUCAACUAACCAUACUCUGGCAACUGCAAACUAUUCUCUAUGUUAUGUUGGCUUCCCUCUUUCUCAACUUUCUCCUUAAUAAUAAUAUAAUGAAUUUAGUAGGGGCCAAGUAAGGAGAAAUGCAAGCGGAACAUGAGCGGCCCUGCCGCGACACAUUAGCAGUGUCUUGGCUCUGUGAGACAAGCAACUAGACAAGUAACCUAAAGUAACGAGUACCUUUCGAGUACCUUAAGGAGCAAUAACAGAAUGUGAUAGAAUUCCAUAUGUACUAGAAAUAGCGAUAAGAAGAAAUAGUCAACUACUUGAAACUAUCACUCCCGGCUCAGCUAACUCAGGCUCAUCUCAUCUACUUCUGCUCUUGCCCCAACUCACUCGUAUACCCUUAACUUCAAGUCAAGCCUUAUUGUCUCCCUUCCUUGCCGACCUGACCUCUCUACUAGAGUUACCCGACCCGACCUCUAUACCACUACUAAGAAGAAUAAGGGAUCUACUAACAGGUCUUACACUCUAACCAUGAACUUCAGGGCAGCUUGAAACUUAUGCUCUGUGAACUCUGUCUCCUCCGCUUCUGGCUCUCAUCUCACUCAGGCUCAUCUCAGAAACUAUGGCUCUGUACUCUUUACUACUCUACUGAUGCAACAGGGCUGGGCUCGGCGGUAAGUAAACUCUAUUCUUAUUAUCAAGAAGUCACUCACUACUAAAGCACCGAACCUGUAUCUUUGAAACCAACCCGUAGUACUGUCAGACAAGCAUAUAGUAGUAGACUCGGAAUUGAACGUUGUAGUCAAAGAAUUCCACUAGCCCAGCAGCUGGCUACCGAGCACAUAGUAAGUAAGAAGCCAAGCAACCUCGGAAACAGGAAGUAGGAUCUCUAUAUUAAACUCAAACAGGAAGGAAAGGAGCACUAGUACAGGUGAGACUCAUAGUUCUCGGUUCGGGAAUUAAGGUAAGCAGUGCAGGAAUGAGGGCAAGUUCAAUGAAAGUUUUCCUCGGUGCAAGAAGACUCAGUGGAGAGGAUAGGUCGGCAAAAGGAUAGGAUAGUGACGCUCCUGUUGUUGGCGACGAAAGGCAAUGUUCCACUGUAAUUUCAUUAAUAAUGUAUUUGAUCCACUGCCCACUCCGUGCUAACCUAACUGCUUCUUUAAUUGAACUUACAAAGAAACUCAUAUAAUCUAGACUAGAUAAGAAAGAGCAAGCUUUGUAUAGAGAAAAGUCACAAGAUAGUACACUCCUUCGCCCCGAAAGUCAGCUAGAUAUAGUAACCCCGAAACAACAAACAAGGGAACGAGUAACUAUGAAACAAGUAACGCCGCAACGUAGUUAGUAGACAAAGGCAAGACCAAGCAGCCGAAGAAAUUCCGUAUUUGGUUGACUCUGAACAAGAAACAAGUGCUAAUGCGAGUUACUAAAGCGCGUAACGUAAGGAGUUUGCCGGCGCAAGGAAAGGAAACUAUACUAGCUCUAACCCCCCGCUUCUUUAGACUUCUUUUAUUUAUUAAAGAUUUUAUAUGUCCUCACACUUGGUUACUCUUAUUCUGACUCGCCCGAUUCUACUAUUAUUUAUUCUUCUUUCUCCUAGGAAUAGCUCUGGGGCGGAAUCUUGUACUGGUGCUCGAAAGAUGUCAUUCCAUUCUUCAAGUUGAGAGUAAGUAGCCGGAUCUGCAUACGGAUCUUCAGCUAUAAGUUCAGUGUGAGGUGACUUUGUUGUCGGUUCAAAACUUCAAGAAUAGGUUCGCUUUUGGGAAUCCACAAGUCCAGAAGCGGUUCAAGUGUUUGUAACUUAAUAAGUUUAGACAGUAUAUUUCGGUUAUUCAAAUGGAGUUGAGUUCGAGGAAGAAGAAGAAGAAUAAAGUACUGGUUUUUAUGCCCUAGCCCUAAGUAAAGAAGUUUACGGGUGGGUAUGAGUGAAGUUGACCAGAUAAUGAAUCACCAGUGGAAGGAUCAGAGUCAGUUUCACAGUCAGCAGCAGACAAGUAGCUUUAAUCUAAGGGCAAGUAACUACUAGAGCAAUAAAGUGGGUAAGUAGUUCAAUUCUGAGUUUACUCGGUCUCAGGGAAGGGAGUGGAAAUGACUAUCUUAUAUGGAGUGGAAAUGACUAUCUUAUAUAUAGCAAGCAUAGCCUACACGUUUUAUACCUUCCAUAGUGGUUUCAUUCUCACUUUACUACUUGCCAACUUAGUUGCAUUCUCAUACAUACCAGUGGAAUUCUAACUUGACUACUUACUGGCUGAGUCUACUGAGGUUAAUUCUGAGUUUCAUUAGCUCCCGAACACGGGACCACUGACUGACUUAAGGCUUACUACUUACUGGGUGAAUUCUGAUCGAUCUACCCUGGAUGCCGAACACAGGACUUUGUAGUUCCUUGGAUGAUAGCAAUUCUAUCGGUAGGCUUACUUCUCACUUAGGGCUUACUGCUGACUUACUAAUAACUUAGGGCUUCUCUUUUGCUUACUUAUGAGUGGAAUUCUCUCAUAUACGAUUGAAUCUCUAGAGACUAUGGAAUCUCUGCUAACUGAAUGAGGCUCCUCUCCUCUACCUAUGGCAACUAUUAACUUCAUUCUUAUCCUCUAACUCAGGCGCAUCUCAUCUACAUACCUAUGGCUACUAUGAAAAGAAUGAGGCUAAUCUCACUUAAUUCUAACUUGCUUCAUUCGACUCUCUUCUCUUUCCUUCCUCUCCUCAAGCUACCACUACAGGGAUGCAACAAGAACAGAAAGAUACUUUUACCAGGCAAGUAACUACGUUAGUUACGCGGCAGGGCCAAGCAACGUAGUUAGUUGCGCGGCAGUCGAGUAACGAACGCUAGUGAGUUAUGAGGAAACACGGGAAAAAACAUAGCAUGGGCAUUUCCCCUCCUGAGUGACCUGAUCGAUAUUCCUUUUUCACGUUUUCCCGGGAAAAAAGGCAGUGAAGUGAUUUGCCCUCCUGAGGCAUCAGAUUGAGAUUACAAUUUGACGUUUUCCCGUGUUUUUUCAUAGCAUCGAUGUUUUCCUUCCUGAAGGGUUCGAUGUAUCUUCCUUUUUUGACGGGCAAGUCACUACUAACGUGACGCGGCAGGAGUUCUUCCGGGUUUUUUCAUUGCAAAUAGUAGAGGAGUCAUCAAUUACCAAACCUAUCCCUUAUUACCAAUUCUCUGCAUCUCUACUUUCUUUCCCACCUAACUGAGUCAUUCACUCCUCUGGAUUUCCCACUAGCUCACCUAUUAGUUGCAUGUGAAGACUGGUUGGCUGUGGUUUGAGUCUGAUUGUUACUGGGUUGAUUCUUGUUGUUAGUAACUAUAGCCUGUAACGACCUCCUCUCAUUCUCACUACCCUAGCUUGCAGGCUGAGAUGCACUGCUUUCAGGCACCAAGCAACUACUAAUGUUGCGCGUUAGUCCGGCUGUGGUUUAAUCCUUUCUAUUGUAUUAGUCGUUUGAUCCACUAGGGUUAGUGGUGCAUCUGCUGGAUAGUAGGCCUCUCUAUUGACUCUAUAAGCCUAUGCGACAUGGUUUAUAUCUCUAAACUGACCUUCCCCGAUCCAACUCUACCUACCCUUACUUUGAUCCUAUAAUAGCGAUUACGGAUCCUUACUCUAUUGCCUAAGAGCCUGUCCUUACUGAACUUCAUUAUGUAUUGAUAGUUUGACUCUGCCGCUACCAACCUAAAAGCUACCCCUCUUUCCCCCUAGUAGAAGGAUUGUUAGCAGUGGUUUCGUUCUUGCUCGCCCUUGGUUGAGUCUCAUCUUUGCUAGCUCCGUUCUGAGUAGCACUGGUAUCAGGCUUGGAAGCAUGGGUUGGAGUCUUAGUAACAAUAGCUGCAGGCUGAGGAGCACUGGUUGGAACCUGCUCGGUGCUAGUUUAAGUCUCGUCGGUAUUGGGUUAAGUCUGUAACUCACCCCUCUCAUUCUCACUGACCUCGCUUUCAGGCUGUCACUCCCUUGGUUCAUUCUUGAUAGUAAUAGCAAUAGCCUGUGUUUAGGUAGCUCCAUUCCCAGUGACCAGGUACAGCAUCAGUCUCGUUAGCAUCGGUAUCAGUCUGGUUGUUGGGUGUCUUAGUCUCUCACUCCUUAGUGGCAUUCCCUUACUUGCUGGUUCCAUUCUGUAACUCACUGGUUUUAGUCUGUAACACCUAAGCUUCAGUCUGAGGAGCUACAUACCAAGGCUGAGUGGCACCAGUAUCCGGCCGAGAAGCUGUUGUCUUAGCCUGUCACUCACUCCUCUCAGUCUCACUUCCCUUGUUUUAAGCCUGCCUAGCACUUAUUUAAGUCUUAGCAGCCCUAGCUUCAAUCUGCAACUACUAGCAUCAGUCUGGUUGGUAGCAGCUAUAGCCUGUAACUCACUCGUUCCAUUCUCUGACUCCCCUGUCUCAGUCUGAUCGGAUCUAGUUGAAGGCUUGUUGGUAUCGGUUCCCAUUCUUUCACUCCUCGGUUUGAUUCUUGAUAGUAGUUGUCUUAGUCCCGCUUGUUAGCAGCUGCAGUCUGCUUAGCACUAGUAUCAGGCUGUUACUUACCCGCUCGAUUCUGGUUGGUAGUUGUUUCGGAAAUUAUAGUAAGGCACUCCCUCGGUUAAGGCUUGCUGGUGCUGGUUUGGUUCUUUGACUACCCUGUUUCGGUCUAUCACUUAGCAGCUCCAUUCCCCAGCUCACUAGCUUAAGUCUGCUCGGUACUGGUAUCAGCCUGUAACACCUAAGCUGCAGUCCGGGCAACACCAAUAUCAGGAUUGGAAGCUCAGGUUGAAGUCUGAUUAGCUGUUGUCUCAGUCUGGUUGUUAGGUGUUUUAGUCUUGCCGGUAGUGGCUAUAGCCUGUCACUCCCUGGUUGGAUUCUGUAAAUACCUUGUUUCGUUCUUUGACCUGGGUCGGAUAGCCUUGCACUCCCUGGCUUCAUUCUUAGUAUACUUGCUUGAAGUCUUGGACUCCCCUGUUUCGUUCUAUCCCUUAGCAGCUCCAUUCUCGGUGGUACCAGCUCUAUUUCCUAACUACCUGGCAUAAGGCUUAGCUGCAGUGGUUAUAGACCUUAGCUACAUAGCUGCAGGCUUGUUAGACACCGCAUCAGUCUUAGGAGACCCGCUACUAGACCUUAGCUACCUUAGCAUCAGUCUGGUCGGUACGAGAAGUGGAUGAGCCUAAUGAAGUUAAUAGGAGCAAUAGGAGAGUUCAAAGAGAAGGAAUGGCCCCUUAUAUACAAGUGAACUGGCUGUUACUUACUUGCUUGUUAGGGUAAGGGUAGUUGACAGUGAGUGCAGAAUUCCACCAGUAAGUAUAAGACUCAGAGCUGGGCUAAUAAGGUAGAGUUACAGAAUUGAACUAAGUAGUGCUAGAGUCUAGUCAAUAAGAAAUGAACUAGUAGCCACUAGAUCAGAAUGCAACUAACUAGUCAAAGAACGAAGCUCGAUCCAAUCAGACGGAAACCCCUUAUUAGAAUUCCGUUCAAGACUUCAACCAGGCAGUUCAAGAAUGCAACUAAGCGGUAAGGAAGCUGGUCUUCAACUCACUCGUCCAAGAAUGCAACUCGUAUUACCGGGGCUCCUGCCGCCAUGAAUACAAGACUCGGGAACAACUCAUUAAGACAUGUUAUAUGAGUUCUUUACUUGUUAUGCCUUUGUAGAAGUUGCUUGGCCCCCUUUCUGUCGUACAACCUUUCCCAGGACGAUGCCUGAGCCUGAGGUGCAAUAACUCUUUCCAGAUGUUUUUCUUCUUUGUGUUGGAUGCCAACCAAGCCAUUGAUGCUUUUAUUGCUCUCCAUAAAGUCACGCAUUUUUCGACUGGCGCUAUUAUCGUUGAUCUUGUUUCGGGAAUUAUAUCCCUUUGGAAGGAUCAGUAGCGCGUUCAGUAGCAUCGCUAAGCUAGGUGAGGGAUUCCUACAGGUCGGCGCCAUCUAUCUAUCCAUCCAUUCUUCAAGCUAGUAAGGUAAGCUCGCAAGGGAAAGCAAGUAAGCAGAGCAGAGGUAAGCUCGCAAGUCAAGUUUUCGACAAGCAUUGCAUCUUAUCCUACUGCUUUACCUACCGAUUCAACACCAUCCCCAUAUUAGGAAUCUUACUUCUGACUUUAUCCUUCGCAUUCAACUGCUUUAUCACCGGAUCCUUUAUCUUAUCUCGUAGACUUACACUCGCAAAAGAUACACUACUUUGAGCUCCAGCGGCACAAUCACCAGUACUUUCUUCUUUCCCUGAACUCAAUACUGUAUUUCUGAAACAUCAUUUCCAGCUCCUGCGCCAACUCAUUCCCUUCCAGCAGCAUAUUGUGUUGCUUUAAGAAUGUAAGUUCCAUGAUGUGAUUCUGACCCGAGCUCUCCUUGAGGUGAUGAACCGAACCCUCACUGAUAAAGCGGCAACUCUGACUUAAAGCUACCUAUGCGCCUAUCCUUUUUGACCAAUAUAUAUCAUAUAUAGCAAAUUGACUGCUUAUUAAGUUGCAUCAUAGAUCUUUCUCUUGAAACUCUCACUCCAGGAAUGGGCAUGGAAUUUCUGAAUAGAUCUGGAAUUACCGCUCCGUGGGUCUAUACAAUACCCCCACUAUCUGGCAACUCCACUCUAUGAACCACUUGCUGCUUACUUAAGCUAUGAAGAUGCACCCAAAGAAACAGGACUGUCAACAAUCAACCACUUUCCCUGACGCCGAGAAAUACCCUUAUCCAGCAACUGAUCUUUAAACUGACUCCCCACUCUCUUUCCUGCCCACAUCAACACCCUACUUUAGACUUGAAGAACAGCUUGCAGCCGGCUUCUCACUUGUAGCUGACCUCUUUUCCCCUGUUCCUUGAGACAAACUUCAUUAAUUGUCCUAAUCUCGAGCGGCAGAUCCUUCUGGACCUGGUAGACGCACUAACGGAGUUUGACACCCGAUACUCUCUGCUCUAGUUUCAUCCUGAGUUUAUAACCUCUUAUUUAGGGGGUUGUUGAGUCAACAAGGGGAAUUCCACUCAUAGGUAGGCGCAUCAACUAUAGUAGCUUACUCUCUCCGCUCUAGCAGUUAGUAACGGGUCCUUUUUGAUAGUACUGGCCGGUUAAGGGAGGAUUCUCUUACUUGCAAGGGAGUUUCACAAAUAAAUAAGAUUUAUAGGCAUAUGAUUCUCUUUCUUCUACUUUUGGAUGAAGAUCCUUCUUCCCUUGCCAUUGAUCAGUGAGGAAAGCUUUAAUUGAACUUGCACUGAGUCAACCAGCAAAGGAAUCCUUUUUUCGAACAGCGAGUAAACCAACCAAGCACAUAUACUCAGAUGCAUAAGAUUGGUCAUAUUCUUUUAUACCUUAGGAGCUGGGGAGAUACUAUUGAUUUGAUACCUUAGGAGCUAGAUCAGUUGCUGUAUCAAGAGAAAGUCAGUCAGGUUACCCGUCUGAAGGAGAGGCCAGUUCUGCUCUUGUUUAAUCGUAUGAAGGAGCAGGCUAAAGUCAUAGGUCAUAGGGAGGGGAAUAAGUAGCAUUCUUUAUCUAAUGAGGAAGCCUCGGUAGGUUAGGUGUUUGUUCUAGAUGAUGCCUUUAUUGAAGAAGAGGAUUGAUCGGAGACUCGCCUCUCUCCCAUUGCUUGUUGGGGCAGUAAACCCUUUUUCUAAAGUACUGUUUGUUAGCCUCGGAUAAACCCCAUUCUUAAAAGGAUACAUAAAGAUCCCGAUCGAUCCUACUUAUGGUUAUCUACGGUCUCAUCGAUCCUACUUAUGGUUAUCUACGGUCUCAGUGAGCAACGAGCUUCUUCAAUAGCUAGCCUAGCCUCUUACUCCUUUCUAUCAUACAGACAGAGCUAAUUCUACUGUUCUGUUUCCGGACUUCCCGCUUCUGAGAAAAGUGCUAUUCCCGCUUCCAAGCUAGUGGAUUCUUUCCCUCUAAUGAGUUCAGAUCCAUUGCAAACUCCUAAAUUGAACUACACUUUCUCCUUGACCGAUUAAAACAUCCCGAUCAGUCAAAUCAGUCAUAGCGAAGGUACGAUGUAGCGCAUAUAGUAAUGGAAAGCGAUCAGUAACUCUCUUUCUCUCCUUUAAUGGAAUCAGUAGAGUAAGCUAUAAGUAAAGAAGUAAAGGAUCGGAUCGGGUAAAAUAAUCUUCUAAAGAAGCAGUGCCCAUUGAAGAAACAUAAUCCUCAGUGCUCUGAACCAACCUAGUAACCAAUGCUAUCAAAAACCCAGGAAUCACUCUUUCGAACGGGGGCGGUAAGUUCACCAUAUUCUUUAUUAACUAUAGGAGUGGCGGUAAGUUCACCAUAUUCUUUAAUUCCACAGUAUUCCUCAAGUAAUUGGGGCGCGGCAGGAACCACAUCUUAGUACUUAUAGCUUCUAUGACCCAUUAUCUGCAUUUAGUAUAAUAAACUACAGCAACAUGGUUAUGACCCACGAACACAGUUUAAACGCCUGCCGCACUUUUAGCUCGCUGACGCUCUUUUAGCUCGCUACCGCUUUUCACUCGCUACCGCUACACAUUAUCCGUUACUUGGCCGGGAAAGCCUUGAACUCCUCCUGGAAACUCAGAAAGUGGUUGGUUGCUCAUCUACCUCCCCUCUGAACUCUGUCAACUAGCUAAUCUCACUCAGGUAUGCCUGGCAGCUAGCUAAUCUCACUCUGUCAACCCGGACUGCCACUCGGCCAAUGACUUAAGAGCUGUAGGCCAGUUUCAUCUGUGAAUUGACACUCCUGACGCCAUGCUUCAUAUCCUGCUCCUUCUGAUGAUGAUGUAUCUUCUCUUGUUCCUGUAGUUUUAUACCUUCCCUUCCUACGUAGCUUAUCUCUGUUACUACUUUGUUCCAUUCUUCAUAUUCUACUAACAGGUCUUCCACUCUAACUCUGACCCACCUCUCCUUCUGCCCUAUUAUUAAGUACACUGCUGACUAUAAGUACUGAAGUAAUGAAUUGCUAUCAAAAAAGCCGGGAAAACGCCAACUUUGGAUUUCCAUGAUGCCUUCCAGGAGGCAAAACUCCUUGGCUACCUUUUUUCUCGGGAAAACGUGAAAUUGUAAUCUCAAUCGAACCCUUUAGGAGGGAAAAUGACUUGGCUACCGACAAGCAGCGGCACACGACGCUGCGCGUCAGCAACAACAUAGAUGUGUUAUAAGCAGUUAUGACCAAGUCCUGUGUUCGUAACCGAGAAAACGCCAAAUGAUCAUUAGAAAUUGGACAUCUAUUAGCGGGCCAAGGAACUACUAAUGUUCCGCGGCAGGAGCUCCCCUUCGCUAUCAAAAAACACGGGCCAAGUAACUACUAAUGUUACGCGGCAGGAGUUCCCGGAAAAGUAGAAUGAAAAUAAGGUUCUCUAUUAGCCAAAUUGUCUUCACUGCCAACAGCUCCUGCCGCUACACUUACGUAGUUACUUGGUGCAUCUAGUAGAGGAGACUUACUUGUUGCAUUCUGAGUUUGAGGGGUAGUAGUUGUGCUCGUGCAGUCUAGUAGUCCAGGUAGUAGUAGUCCCGUGUAAGGGAGUUGACAGUUCCAGUUCUCAAGUCAGUAUUUGAAGAUAAAUUGACUGAGUAGCUAAGGUUUCUAAUAGUGAUUUGCCUUACUGAGUUGCCUUAGAUGCAGAAUAUGGGUCAUACACGGAUUCCAUUAAAGGAGAGAAAGAGAGUUACUGAUUCCAUUAAACCCCUAGGGCUAAGGAUUAUGUUUCCCCGGCAUCAAUCCCUCGCUGAGCUAGAGCACCAACCAAACCCUAACUACUUUCUCAUAAUUACACUACAGGCCGAAGAAAAGAAGGCAGAAUCCUUAUCUUAAUCAGUAUCAUCAGCAGAAUUGCCAGCCCUAUAGUAAGUUGUAAAAGGAGGAAUUACAGAAUAGAGUGGACAUUUUAUAGAAUAGUCAAGAAUUCUUUCCCUCGCCUCUUGCUCACGUUAGCGCAACAGCAACAGUCACUCUUUUAGCCGAUGAAGACAGGUAUUCCCAGUAGCGGGGGCAAACCAGACGAGCAUACAGAUACUAAUACUAGUGUCACUCUUUUUCUACUCCUAUGUUAUGUUUUCAAUUCAAUGAGUUUCUAGUUGUGUUUAUGUUUUCUGGCGUAACUAGUUAAGGGAAAAGAGGCCUUCACUGGAAUUGAUCCAGCUCCUUCUGUAUCGCUACUGGGUCUAUCUUCUUUAAGAUCGCUACUGGGUCUAUCUUCUUUAAGAAUAAAUGCACCAUAAGAGCUUGUCGGGGGGCAACAUCGGGAAUUGACUAUUUGCGGAGUAACAGAUAGGUUCAACGACCAGAACUAGAGGUUUGGAUACCAGAAAUAAGGAAAUGUCGAUGAAGCUUCUUCUUAAUAUGAUGAAACUCGAACUGGGCGAACAGAACGAAACCUGUCUUCGGCUUAGUGGCCCACUACUGAGUUAAUGCUCUAAAGUGAGCGGAAUGACAGAGUCUCCUUGUUAGCUUGUUCUGUGCGUGCCUAAAUGCCUUAUCAAGCGCCUUGCACUGAAGUCUCAUAUUAACAAGGAAGCAAGACUUAGUGCUAACGCUUAUAUGUCUUGUGGUGCGAGUGUUUUAGCAUAUUCGAACUGUGAUUAUCAUUGGCGGUAGUGAAAGAAAUAAUCUCGUAUCUAGAGGAGAAGCCCUAAGUAAAGUAAAGAAGAAUAAAGUAAUCAAACACAGAGGAGAGUGCGCACGCACCUUAGGUAAUUAUGUAACCCGACUGCCACUUAACUGACUACUUGACUUCGAGCAGAAAGAAUCUCAUCUGACAUAUAGUAUAAGUGCUAUACCUAACACAGCAGCUUACUCCAAUAACUACAGCUUAGUCCAAUAAACUACACUGCAAUAACUUAAAUAACGUCUUUCGCCUAUAAAGAAAGAUAGCCCAGAGAGUAAGGAAGCAAAGCAAUUAGUUGACUCUAUUCUAUAAACAAUGAAUGCUCAAUUCUCUGAUUUUGCCGACAUUCGGAGUGCGGGGUGCGAAAGGAAAGAACAAGCAACGUCGCCAGAGGUUGUGCUAACAUGAGAAAGCCCCUCCCUUGUUAACGGAGUUUUGAAGUCAAAGGGGAAGCUGGGUGUUUACUGAAUUCUAUACCUAUGUGUGUGCUUGAAAUUCCAUUUAUGGUUGCUCAAGCAAAGCAGUAAAGUAUCUCUGGUUUCGAUUCCAUUCUGAAAGUGUACGCGAGUAGAGUCAAGUAACUGCAAGGGAGCAAGAAGCAACUCGGUCGGGGACAAACGUAUCGUAUCGCAAAAGAACUCAACUAAUUAAAGGCUUUCUCAACAAGCAAUGGAGAUGAAGCAAGCAAACAGGAAGCAAGGCAACAAUUGAAUACUUCAAGUCAGAGGCAGAGUUUCGUUUACCAAAUACUUAUAAGACAGAGGCCGAGGCAAGCAACACACCUACUCAUAUAGCACAGAGGCAGAGUUGAGUUCACCAAAUACACUAUACAUUAGGGAUCGAGCAGAGUUUCGUUCAGCUGUCGUAUUCAAGGAGCACCACUUUGAGCACUACUUUGAGCAUACCCAGCUAGCAAACUACAGCUUCAAAGCAAACUAUAGCGAAAAAGAAGAAAGAGCAACCCGAGCGCCUAUAUUCUAUUCAAUAGGUAAAGCUCUAUAUUUAUUCAACAGGAAAGGGUGCUUCUUUACUUUUGGAUAGUGCUACAUCCGCCUAUGUCUAAAGGAAGGGUGCGUGCCUCUUGACUUUUGGAGUGCAAUGUCUGCCUAUGUCCUAAUGUGUAUAGGAGCACUUCAUUCCUUUUUUACUUGACUCUUACACUCCCAUCUUUCUUUCUUUCUCGUUGACUAGAUACCGCACAGUUUAUGGUCUUGUUCUUGAUUCAUCUCUGUCUUUUUAUUCUGCUUGAGAUCUGGUUUAUGAUUCCGAUCCUGCUUAGAAUCCAUUUCUAAUUAACCUAGCAGUAAAGACAGUUGGGCCGAGUAAACCAGUCAAAUAAAAACAAGUAAAGGAUCUUAACGCGGAAGCCAUAUAAAAAGAAGUUAGUCAUUCAGAUCGGAUUGUAUGCGGGAAAAGAUUGGAGCUAAGAGCCUCUUUGAAGUUUAUAUAAAUUAUGAAAGCAAGAGCGAAAGCAACAAAGGAUAAAAGAUGUCUUUGGCGAAAGUCUAUAAUUAGUAAGCUUUGGAAGGUAGGUUAGGUUAAUUAUUUCUAUACUUUUGUGCUGCGCUCAAUUCUCUGUAUGGCUGAUGUGUUUAAAUAAACAGCUUGUUCUUACCUUGGGCUUUGCCCCGAACUCCCCUUGAAGAAGCACCCCCUCCCCUUGAAGAAGCACCCUUUGAUACAACACUCGCUCGAACUACAGAUUCUGUUGAUAUAGUACCUGAGCCAGCAUCUUCUCUUACCGCAACACUUUGACCAGUACUUUCUGAUUUUCCUUCACUUGACUUUCGAACACCAUUUCCUAGCACAGAUCCGGACUCGUAACUUGCAGAAUUGACAACACUCGCACAACACUUGAAACCUUAUUCCAUGAAAAGCGAGUCUCACGACCUAGCCUAAGAAUGCACAAAUUCCAGAAGUAGCUAGCUAGUAGCCGCAUUGAAGCAGCAGCCUUUACGCAGAUAGAGCUUGAAGCCAAGGAAACCAACCCUCUUUUAAAGAAAGAUGAGAGGGGGAGAACUAAACAAUAGGAAGGGUCUGUCUUUAGUGAGCUUUCUUACACAAUAUCUCUCUCUUUGUGGACUAAUCCUUUGGAAUGUAUAGCACCUAACCUAAGAACUUAUUGAAAUUGCUAAUACCCGCGCAAUAGAGCAAUCAAUACUCUUAUAAAGACCGACUAGCAUUAGUAUGGAGGAAGCCUUAACCUUUCUAGCUGCUCCCCGCUGCCCCCUUUCUUUUGACCCUACUAAAACCUAAUAGGUUGAGCCACCCUUAGCGCACUUUGCUUAGGUCGUAAUACUCUUCUCUCCCCUUGGUUAGGAUCUUUUGUAGUUUACUAGACAUAAAGAUAGAUGGUUUACUAGACAUAAAGAUGGUUUACUAGACAUAAAAGUGUUAGGAUGGAUGGUUUUGAAGCUUCUUAUAUGGAGGAUUUUAGGGGUAAUAAAGCAACUUCCUUUCUGUGACAAGGCAUUCCAGAGCAUCAAGCAAUACUGAACAAAAGCACCAACCAGUCCUAGCCUAUACCGACCCACCAACGAGGUCUAGUUUUUUUAUUAUACCCACGUGCCAUGGAUCAUUCAUUCACUUGGGCUAGCCAAUAAGUAUGACGAAAGAAGGCAAAGACAAAGAGCAAACUCUUACAUAAGUAGAAUUAUGCUUGCCACUAUACAUCGGUAUAACUAGUCCUUUCUUUCUUUUGGAAUGCUCUCAUGUUUGCAGCACGGAAGAUGGCACCUAAUUGCCAAUCCCCUUUACCUGGUUGUCAUGAGUAAACCUUUGAAAGAUCCUUGUGACCAAGUUCACUGAACGACCGACUCGGGUCGAUACUGCUCUUUCGGGUCAGCUCUUUUAGUAAGUAGAAUAGAAUAUUCGUAUGUUGAACAAAAGGCCGUGAAAGGCCUGUAUAUUUGUAUUUCACUGGCAUCUUUCUUGAAGCACAUCCUCUGACUGCCUUAUUAUCCCUUCCCUUCAUUUCUAUUGGUAUUGGCUAUGGAAGAUGAGUUCUGCUUUGGCAUGAAGACUCGAGCCAAGGGGGGCGCCUCAAAAAGAUAUGAGAAAGGACGUCCGGGCAAUUUCUUAGUUCGUCUCUCUUACUCCCGAAGGAAAGAUGAUCCCGCAUUCCUUCACUUUCUUUGUCGGAGUCAUCUUACAACAAGGUGAAGCUUUCAACUUAUACGCAGUAGCUAAGCGCGUUGAAGCAAUUGGCCGGCCUUAUGCAAAAGACAUGGACACUCUCUUUUCUGGAUUCUCUCUCUUCCUCUUAUCUAACAAUUCUUUCACUAAAUUAUGAAACUAGGCGCUUAUUUGAUUAUUCAGAGGUUGGUUUCUUUCAGAGUUAAAGAAGAAGGAAGCUUGGGAGAAUAGGUUCCCACGGAUCGGUAAAAAGUAUGCAUCCUGAAAUCUUUAAUGAGAGGGUGAAGCCCAUUCAAAGCUCUGUGCUAGCACUCGACUUCGGUACUAGGCCUCUUACUAGAUAGAUCUUCGGAAUCUGAUGACCAGAUGCUCGGAAGUGAAAAGAGGGAGAAGAGAAAGUACUGAUUAGCAGCCCGGACUAAUGCCUUACCCCAAGCUCACAAGGUUUUUUGUUUAGAAUAGAACACUCUAAAAGAAUGAAGUUCAAAAAGGCUUCGCUCCAGGAGCCCGGUACGAUAGAUUUAGGCGGAUGGGUGUUUGUGGUGUGGGAGUAUAGAAAAUGGUAUAAAGUUGUGUUGAUUGGAGGAAUAAGAGAAAGGUGGGCAAUGCCAUUCUUCGGUAGGUGCCGAGGAAAUAAUGUUUCUGUUCCGGUUCAAAAGAAGGGUAUGUUGUAUCUUUACUUAGAUCUAGUAGUAGGAAUAUCUUAUAGGGUGCUCAAACUCUAGUCGUUGCUUGGCCCUUUGCUUGACCCGCAAUUAGGAAGCCUGUCUAUUAGCAGAUCAGAGUAGCUUAGUGAAAGUAGCCCAGGGGAAUAAUCCGGUGGCAAUGUCGGGUGCUUCUUAUUCUAUAUUGAAUGGCGAGUUCUUCUUUCGGGUGUCCUUGACCGGAGAAUUUCUAUGAACAAAAGAAAGAAAAGGGCUUAGCGACCUUGACCUUAGACGAGCGCAACGAAGGAUCUGAUCCAGACAUAUUGAUCUCCAUUUUGUGCACUAUGGGACGGAUCUCAAGGCCUAGUCGGUAAUCUCUUUCAGAGACCUUGGUAUUAUAGCAGAAUUGCCCUCUGGGUCCGUUAGCGUUAGGAGUGGGCAGGGUAGUCCAGAGUACAGAGCCAUAACAGGAUUAGUUGACAGAGCCGAGGUCGGCAGACAAUAAGAAUCGCAUGGGAUAAAUCAAUUUGGAAGACAAGAAAAGCUGGGUGAGCUAGGUCGUAGAGAUCAGAGGCAGAGAAGAAUCAAUGGAAGCAGUUAAGUAAGAAGGAGAGGAAGCUGGGGAAUUGACUAAGGAGUAACAGUAGAGGUCGACCAAGCACUGCCAAUCAGAAUGUCCCUAAAGAGAGUCAAAGCCUACAACCACUGCUAACGAGUCUAUCCGACCCGAGUCUAAGAAUCAAACUAGUGAAACUCAGCCUUAAACUCUAACCUAGGAAUACGGAAUUACAGAAUGAGUUUACAUAGCGGAGGGAUAUCCUGAGUGAGAUUAGAUGGAGUGGGGAUCUUUCUUACUAACUACUUACAACGUUGCUUGUCGGCCGAACACAGGCAUUGAAGUCACCAGUUACCUUAUUCUAUGAAACCAGUUACCUUAUUCUAUUUAUUGUAUAUGAAUAGUUACUUCACACUGUAUUAGUACUAAGAGAAGUGAGUAUUAGUAGAUUCAUUGGGUACAAUCUAGCGCAUCUAGUAGAAGACACAGAAUUUCACUCCCCGGACUAACGCUUUGAACUCGCUACCGCUACACAUUUCAUUAGUAGUUUCUUCUGCCCUUCCCUGGCUAGUAUAGUCGUUUCUUCUUCCCCGAACUCAACUUCUAUUUGAACAACUCCCUUUCCUUUGCAAUGGAAUCUCCAUCUAAUUACCUAUGAGCUUCUCUUUUGAAAACCUCAACUCUCACUGCUCCUGACGCAGACGCUGAUGCGCUAAUAGGAAUUGUGGAAUCGAAUCCACCCUAUCUCUAUAUCUAUCUCUUAUUACCAAUUAUUUCUAUAUCAUAACCCUUAUCUUUUACUUGCGCUUACGGAGCUCAUCACCUUGUUCUUUGGCUUCUAAACUAACUUAUUGCUUUCCCUAACCAUAACAACCUUAGGCUAGAUCGAAAGCAACAAACAAUGGAACAACCUUUAUUGCAUUUGAGUCCAGAAAGCUUCAAGUAAGGGCAGAGGUUCUCAUGCCAAGAAAGAAAGAAAGAUUAUUUGAUUAAAGGCAACGGACGGAGUUUGUUUACGUUCCUAUAUAUCUCUAUUUGUGUAAUGCUAAUGCUAUAGAAUAUGAAAAUGAUAUACUUCACUACACCGAACAAGCAAAGCAGAAAAGCUACAAUAAUACUGAUAAAUAAACUACACUGAGAAGAUACCGCGUAGUGAACAGACGUCAAGCCAAUCACUGAUCUCGCUGCUGCACUUAUAAGAAAUACUUCCGGACUUUGAAUCUACUUUACUUAUAUUCUGACUUGAGAGUUUAUGACUUGAGAGUUUAUGACUUGAGAGUUGCAUUCUGGAUUCUAUAAUUCCUUAUUUCUUGUUGAUGUUCAAAUGCUUUUGAGCCUUCUAACAUAGACGACCUGAUCUGAGAGACCAGACCUUCUUCUUAACAUAGACGACCUGAGCUGAGAGACCAGACCUUCUUAACAUAGACCUGAGCUGAGAGUAAAGUAAGUCAUAUCCAAAUAUGGUUCUGGAAUGAUUUCCCGCCCUAUACUGGACCAUCGGAAAGAGGCACCCUAUACUAUUGACUAAUCACUCUUUUCGGUAACUAAGCAAUAAUGAAGAGUAAGCUCUAAGCUGUUUGGUUAUUCGCGGAGUGUUUAUUUCAUCUGUACCUAAGCUGCUUUCAUAUGUACCUUGUGUUGGUACCUAAGCAGUAAGAUGUGUUGUUACUAUACUUAGAAUAGAAGAUGGAUCCACACUACAUAUCUUAUUAAAGAAAGAAAGGCUGGACAAUAAGUAUCUUUAAGCAAUGCGGGCAAGGCAGGACAGACAAUAAGUAUCUUUAAGCAAUGCUAUUUGUUGACUCUUUAUUCUAUGUGCGUGUGUAACGCUCUCUCUUUUAUUCAAUGCUGUUUGUUUACUUCUUUUCUUUAGUUCUACUGGUUCGCUAUUAUACUUACUUCAGAAUCGAACUAGUGCUUAUGAGACUCGGCUUGGUGCUAAUAAGAAUGCCCUCCCUGCCUCUUCUUCUAAGACCCCUGAGCCGAGAUCCUUAACAGCUUGGGAGAAUAGUAGGUAUAUUGCCCUAUAACUAUCGAUCUUGCUUUACGGCAUCUUAGCCUGUCUUUGCUGUCUUUGAUUCUAGGACUGCUGCAUCUCGGAUCGACCCUUUCUCUUUUAAUAAGGAAUUGUAAACAGACAUAACUUCUAAUAACUCACAAGUAUUGUGAGUGGAGCUCCCGCCGAGUAUCAAUGGUGGAUGAGCUAUGAGUUUCAUUGAACAGAGGUCUGGAGACGAGAAGGAAACUUUCUGAAGCCUGAACCUUAAUGCUUGUUUGAACCUCACCUAUUACUGCUUACUCACUUUCGAAAGCUUCUUCUAAGGCUGCUGAUUCCUCUAAAUAACUGGCUGGUUACUUCUCUGGGCGCCAAUACGAGAUUCUCUGAGGAUUAUUAUCCGACUGCUCUUGCUGCUUCCUUUGCCACUUACUUGCGCACAGCUUAUGACACCGAUCGAGCUUAUUCCCGAUGCUCAACGAGACUUGUUCUUUUGCCGAACCUUACUAACGGAUCUUGUUCUUCUUGGGCCUGUCUUCGGUCAACAAAUAUGGAAUGGAAAAACGACUCUCCUGUUCGGCAAGCAUUAACCGCGCUGCGCUGAGAUACUUUAGGACAAGAAAAAUAAAUGGAAUCCUCUUUCGAGCUCCCUAACACCGAAAACAGCACUUGCUUAUUACUCUUAUCUGUAGUUAACACAACGUCUUGCUUAUUGCGCCUGCCCCUCUCCCAGAAAUGACUCUAAACUCCAAUGUAAUAGCUAAUGAUGCGCGCCCUAUCUUCUUCUUUCACUAGCGCCCAACGUCGAGCUCAGUUAGCGAGUUCUUUUUCAUAAAAUAAUGGAACUGGACAUUAGAUAGAAAAUAAGGUAACCAAAGAGAUAGCUAGCUUACAGGAUUUAACAACCAGACUGGAUACUCUACUCUAUUACUUUGACUUUGUCUGAGCUAUAGCGGCACCCGAUCCCGAUCCAACUAGUAACUACAUAGAGGCUCUUUCAACUCCCACUCAGGAUCCAGCGGACUUUCCUCUUACAACAAAAGCACCGAAACAAUUUGUUUAGUUUGAGCAAGAGUAGGAAAGUACUGUUUUCAGCUUCUGUUGAUUGAUUCUUGAGUUGACAACAUACAUAGAUUCCACUCGAACAGUCUAUUUUCCACGAUACUUUGCAUAGAGGUUAAAGGGAAAGACUAGGUCACAGAAUCAGCCGCUAUUGGAUUUCAUAGGGUAUAAUUUCCUUUCUUCUCAUCGAGGUUGCCUUUGUCUCUUCAAAGCUUCCAGGGAUGAUGCUUGAACUGGAUACUCUAAGGGUAGUUCCACCGUGUGUAAGAUGCGGUAGCGUUCUCUCUAAUAUGGAAUGAUAUAUUACUAUAGAGUGAUAUAGAAUGAUAUAUUACUAUAGAAUGAUGUAUUACUAGCUGUGAGAAUAGAAUAUCCGAUGCUGUUAGCUUUCCAGGUAGUGAUUCCCAUUAGUUAAUUGGGUCUUUCUUCUUGAAAAGACUGCUUCCAUAAGGUAGUUCAUGCAUUGAUGCAGAUAAGUUGGAAUAUUGUCAGUGUGCCACGAGUUACUCCUUUUGUGACUCUGUCUCUCCUCGUUAAUUCGUUUUGAGUUAAAUAACCCGGUAAAGUGCUGACCCGCCCCUGGCUCAAGGGAAAUCUCUUAUUGGAUUUAGGGAACGACUCCCAGCCAAGUGGUAUCACGAUUUAGCUGUUUUCGAAAGGAAUUGUCAUGGUGUUUCUUUGAUCCGAAGCAGUUCUUGCUCAAGUCGAACCAGCUUCUUAAGUGGCAAGAGCUUAUGCCUAAAAUAUCAAGUCAGAAGGUAAAGUAAAGAGAAAGCAGUCUACACGUGAAAGCUAGGCGAACUCCAGCCUUCUUUUUGAUUAUAUAUACCGUUCUAGCCACGGAAAGCAUUCAUUCCAAUUUAUUGAUGCUUUUUGUGUAACAGAUCCUGCUGUAACAGAUCCGGAAUCGCUUAUACCCGCUGAUUCUAGUAAUAGGAGAGAUUCUCCCGGGGAAGCGAAAGAGUAGUGAGGCUCACAACUUAUCCCUACUUACUUAUUUUCGUCUUUUUUCGCUCCUGACCCAAUCAAACUCGGAUCAGUUGGCAAGUCGAAUCCCACUCGUUUGUUUUGAGUUAUCGAAGGGAAAAAGAUGCAAUUCAUUCUGCCCGGUCAUUGGCGAUGAGAUAAAGGCUAUUGCACGGAAAGCGACUCUGGCAAGAGCGGAUUCCCUCACCUCACUUUUGGAACCAGAAAGUAGGCCUUACGAGGGCGCCCUAGCUAGAUGAACUCCCUGAUUUGAACGAGGAAUAAAGUAGGUCUUUUGACUUAAUAUUCCACUAAUAGCCGUCCAUUUUCAUCAUGCAACUUUCUAUCACAGGAGCUGAAAGCAUUCGUGAUUUGAUCUUCUUCUAUAAGAGAAUAUAAUAAGAUAAUCAAGUUAAUAUGUUUGUGAUGAAAUCGAUUCCUAUUCUUUUGUACCCUAUACAAACUCCCCGGCUUCCUUUCGAGCUGGGUCAUCCAAAUGCCAGUCUUUUCUUCGGUCAAAUGAACCUAAGCUAGCAAAAAGGCCUAACCGCACCACCAACUGAUGCGGAUGAAUUAGCUCUAUAAGCCUAGCACCCAUUCCUUCCAACUUAAGAACAGGCGCAUCUCAGAAGGAAUUUGAACUUGCUCCGGACUCUUAAAGCAGGGGAACUCGACAAGCACCCGAAGAAAACGAUACUUAUUUACUUAGCGACCUCGACUUGAACACCAUCUUUCUUGCUCCGAGUAUCUAAGGUAGGAUUUUUCAACAACAACCUUUCUGUUAGCCGAGUCAACAAAUACGGAAAAUACUAAAUGGAACUAACCCCUGCCUAUGAAUCAUGAACUGAGGAGCUCACUGACCCUAACAGUAAACUAACACGAGCAGCUCAUCUCUAAACUCAUGAAUUGCAAAAUCACUUUCUUUAUCGCCUAGCCUAGUAUUAUAAUAGGUUCUUUUUCACUUCCUUUCCUUCCCGUAAGCGCACAACAUCCUUCUGAGCUCAACUCAACUGGACCUCAGUCAACUAAUAAUUAUUUGAGUCUAUCGAGCUAAAGUAUAUAGGAAUAUUACCUUUAUGCAAGUAUAUAGGAAUAUAACCCUUACUAGACAAUACUGGCAUGGCACUGCUGAUUCCUAUGAUCCUGCUUGUCAUCUUUCUUCUUCUUCCUCCACUUCUACUAUCACUCUACUUUUUCAGGUCUUGCAGCUGACUUGCAAACAGGCAAUUCAUAAGCUUCAGAUCUAUCUUAUGGUCCUAAUUCCUCACCUGCUCCUUCGUCUGCUUCAACACAAUCACUAGUCACCUCUCUUGCGGACUUAGAUACAAUAACUUGAGCAGGAACUGGCUAUUCUGCAGCAGAUGAUAUUUCUCCCGAACCAGUGGAUUCUCUCUUUCAUCGACAAGAAAGGUCAACCGCCCCCAUUCCGGAGCAAGUCCAGAUGUAGUAUUGGCUAAUGGGAGUUCGUCGUUAGUUGUGAGUUUCUUUCUUGUGCAGCUAAUUAGAGUAGAGUGGAGUUCGCCUUCUUUUAAGUGAGUCAGGAGUAAGCGAUGCUCUAUUGUUACUAUAUUAUUUAUAUGUUAUAAGGCGGAUUGUUUUAUUGUUUCGUGCGCCUAUUCUAUUCGUGUUCGUCAAUUAUGAUAUUCGUCUUCUUAAAGUAAGCUAUGCCGUCUAUUCUGAAAAGUCUGCAAUAAUAGGUUAGAGUUUAGGGUCAAAAGUGGUUGCGUUAUAUAGCAUUACUAGGGAAAGAACGGAUUUCAACGUAGAAAUAACCAUCGACCAGUUCCCAACCUUAUAUUUGAUAAGGCGGAGGCACCCUUUUCUAGUUGAAUAGAAUUGAGACCUUCCUUGUUCCCUUACUUGCUCUUGCGCUAAGUAAAUGAUUGGAAUUCGUUUUUUCGAGCUGACUUAUCUUACUGACUCCCUUUCUGUUUGCAACUUACUAUUGAACAGCUUCUAAUCUCGCAGGAUUGACCUAAUUCUUUAUGAGACCCCCCCCAUCUGGAUACUUCAACUACACUUUCUUCACCACUAGUAUACUCUCAUGAUCCAGCUUUAACACCUGAUUUAGAGUACUUAUCGGUAUUGGCUAAAGAAUACUUCUUUAUCGUCGGCUUAACUCGAACAGAAACUUCAUUAGCAUUUCAGAAAGGAAUAGAUUCUUCCCUGAACUCGAAAGCGCCUGCGCCCGGAAACCUCAUUGAAGAAGCACCUCUCUCUUAUAGAAUAGAAGAACGACGUCAACAACAGAUUCAAUUCGACUUGAAAAGAAGCGCCAAAAGUCCAUCAUUCCAUUCUUUCUGCUCAAAAGCAAGUAUCAACAAGUGGAGAAAUACCAACAAACAAACAAGCAAUGGCAAACAAACAGACAAGUAAGUACCAGCAUUCAAAAAGGGAAAGUGGGAUUCAAACCAACAAGCAAAGAUGUGAGAUCACGAGAAGCAGACCAAGCAAGCACGCCCACUAGCUAUUCUUUACCUAAUAGAUUGAGUUCUUUAGUGAUACUACUUGAGAGCGCUGGCAGCCCAAGGUACAUCCUUAUCCUGUUACUGAUGAGUUGAGUUAUUGGCUGGGGUAUCCUUUGCACGGUAUCUUUGCUCGGCAGUUUCAUAUCCUCCCUUGACUUUGAGUCUGAACUCUCCUGGGGACCUUCAUCUAGCUUGUUGGAUCACACCUCGCUUCUUUAGGGGACCCCGCAAAGGUAGGAUAGAAUUCACUGAAGUAGUAGCAGAGUGAAGCAGCUAAGUAUCAUAAUUUCCAGUUAGAGUUUCAUCCUAGUCUCAGCGGGCUUGUCUAAAAGGGAGAAGACAUAUACGAGGACAGGACUUGGCGGAUAGCGAAGUCUACUUAGCCAGUACUACCUGUCUUCAACUCUCACUCGACAAACAAGAACAGGAUCAAUCAGGCCCAUACUCAAGAUCCCGUACAGGCUUUGAUGCGCUAAGUCCUGAAACAUACUCAAUUAGGACUCCAAAAAGCAAUGAGUUGAACUCAAUACAGACACCUGAGUUCCUUGGCGCUCCCUACCACUGUAGUUGCUUGGCCCUUUUCUUUGAUCGACCAGAAGCAACUAUGCUCAAAUUCCAUUCUUUUCUUUGAUCGACCGGAAGCAACUUCUCUUAUUCUAUAUGUUUGUUAUUGUCUGUCUUUGGAACAGCUGCUCAAAAAGAAAACAAGCGACUAGUGGAAUGAAACUAGAUCUGAUCUCCUCGGGCUCGGGAAAGCUGUUCACCAGAGCUUUGACUAUUACUACCGGGAAAGCUGUUCACUAGAGCUUUGACUAUUACUACGAGCUUUAGUUAGAACCUAUUAAUGCUACAAUCCAAAUCAAAUGUCAUGACCUACUUAUCCUUUUUCAAGACAUACGAGGCAUACAACGUUAACCCGGUUCGAGAACCUUCUCCCAUCGCAUCGGGACAUUACAAGCCCCAUCGAACAAACUUGGAGCUCCUGAGGACAGGACUCGCCUUACUGGGCAAUAGCCACUAUAAGAGCACUUGACUUCCCCAACCACUUGACUUUAGAUCCGACCCACACGAUGCAGGGCUCUUUCAUAAGAUUCCAAUUGACCUGUUAAUUCAAGCAGGAAUUAGAACCGAUUCGAUAUUGCCCUUAAAAGAGUAUAGGUAGAUUAGGUAAUGGCGCAAAAAGCUCUUUCUUUUUGAGUCCUCUCCUUGUGGAAAGCUAAGCUUGACUUGGCUAGAAUAGCGAAUAUGCUCUCUUCCUUACCCUUAUGGAGAGAAAGGAAAGAGGGAAGCUUAGGAAGUCUGUCUUGGAAGGAAUUUCGACUUCCAUCCAUGAUAUGCCGCUGAAAAGCAUUAAGUAGGUCGCCAACAGGCUCAACCUUAUCCUACAGAAAAUGAUAUGUCUUUCAUCGGUAUAGGGUGAUAAUCAUAAUGCAUGUGCUCGAUAUUCAUUCAGCUCAGCGAGCAUUAGAUGCAGGAGCGUAUCUGGAAUGGGAAGGAACAAGCAGACGCCAAGUAACUACAAAUAAAGGCGCAACGGAGACUACUAAGAGCCAGAUUGGGAGUCCCCCAGGCAAACUCCGGUGUCAUGUUGCGAAUUAAGAGCUUCUAAAGCAAAGCAAUCUUCUGUGCAAGCAAGAGAGAGAAAAGAAGUGCAAUUGUCUGCUGCAAUCGAUUCUUAAACAGGAGGUGACCUUGACUUCCAAUAAUGAAUUUCCCGUUAGCGAUAGCGAGCCACGCCUUUCAACAUUACCUGCUGAUUCGGAUGCUGAGAAUCCCUCUUUGGAUCUUUCUUCCCUUGGUGAAAGUUAUGGCUUCAAAACAAGUAACAGUCAGAUAUUCUGUCCUUAUCGUAUCGCUCUGUGAACCUUCACCCCCGGCAUCAGAUAUCGUUCCUACCCUGGGUAAAGCAUCUUAUCGAGCGUAGCCAAACACUCUCACUGCAGAUGAUCUUUCUUCUUGAGCACCCUGCAUAGAUAGUUGUAAAGACAUACCAUCCCUUCCAUUUGCUUCUGACGAACUAGACUUUACCGAUCCAGAUCCGAACUCGUAAACGGAUUUAUUGUCCUUCUGUUGCUGGUGGAGUCAGGUUGAGUUUCUAGUGGUGUUGUCGUAUAUAGAAGCCGAAUGAAAGUCAGCUCCCCUACUUACUUAAUGCAUAUAACGGAUCUCGCCCAAUACCAGUAGUUAUCUUUGAGCUUGCUCCGAUCCGAGUUGAACAAGUAAUGGCUGAAGAGAAGAACAAGCAAGGUAAAAUCGAAUCAGUAAGCAAACAUAUUAUUGUUUAGUUGAGGGACGCCUAUACUCAAUGGUUGCGGGAAAGAAAUCAGGGUUAAGGUCAGAAUAAAGUACUGGCGCUGGAGGAAAGAUGGAAUUCUUUGUUUGACCGGCGGAAGCGGUAAGUCAGUGUCAUCCACGAGAGAAGCGUCGGAGCAAUAAAGAUAAAGAAAGUCAAAAGUAUGUAGCGCUUGUAAGCAGUAUAAUAAGGAUUCGAAUAAGAAUAAUGCAACAAAAGAUGGAUUGGGAGUUGUUGGCGCAGGAGUGGAAUAAGUUAUAGGUCCAGUAUCAAGUGGAGUUAUCAAGUGAACUACGGAAUUGCCUGUUAGAAAGUAAUCCGUGAAGUCCACUCUUAUUGCUAGAUGAUUCCCUGAAUGAAAGUAGACUUUUCCUCGAACAGAAACACUUAGCGCUGAAUAAGCCUGUAGUGGAUUCCAUUCGCCUGUCUUCAUCGUCAACAAGGCGAGUUUGUUCGCGUGCUAGUCUUGAUUUAGAAGGAGGUUAAGGAGGUGAAGGUGAUUGGAUAAAGUCGGUCGUGUAGAGAAGUUAUUGUAUUGCAAUCAUAUGCUUGAUCAGAAGCCUCAUAAAGAUUAGGCGAGGAAGCUAUGGAAGCUGUGGAAUGAAAGUAUGGUGAGGGUGCGAGUUCCCGUGACGUGUUAGUAUGAGUUAUAGCGUUUUCUUACUCAUUUCACUGAACGAACAGAAUGGAAUCCAUCGAAUAGAUAGGUGAUUGACCAUUCUCUUUGUUUACCCUCGCUUAAACGUAGCAAAAAGAUAUACUCUCGGGGCCCUAAUACUUUAUAGCCUUCUGAAGCGCGUUGGGGUCGUUGGUCACACUCCUUAUCCCGCUAAUGAUCCUGGUAAUGCCACUCAAUGAGCCUAGCCUCUAAUGAAACACCCGCUUGUAGUUUUCAAAAUGAAGGAAUGCACUACAGAAUACAAAGCUUCUUAUCUUUCUGCUCACGUCCUAACUCAACUAAUAGAGAUAAGGUACGUAACAGCUUACUGCCGCAACUAAUAAGGGUUCAAAACAGGCUACUACACUUUCUAUUCCACUUGAGACUUCUUUUGCAACCAUUAAUAAGUCUAGACCAGUAAAACGGGAAUUCCAGAAAUGCACAUGAUAUGGAUGAUGGUAAAUAACCAGUAUUGUUUGCUUUUCAAGACUCACUAACGGCUUCCCUUAUGCUUGAAAACAGACGACUUGACUGCUGGCUCGCACCCCGCUCUAUCUAUCCCUUUAUUCUUAUUCUUAUAGAAUAUCGGCGUAACCUAUAGCCUAUCGCGCCCUAAGCUUAAAGAAAAGAAUCUAGAAUUGGAAGCCUGAGCCUAUACUAAUUCAUUGGCUGCCUAUACUAAGGUACUCUAUUCUUGCCUUUCAUCUUGCACUGUGGCUUUUUAUCGUACAUUUGCUUGCUCCCUUGCUUCCGCUUAUUAACUUGUUUGUUUUGUUCCUAAUACAGUGAGAUUAGAUUCUUUCCAGCCCGACUUUGUUACUUCUCUUGCAUUAACCGAGUUCUAGUCCAAGUCGCUAACACCGGAGGAACUGAGAAGCACACUCCACUGAUUGUCCAUGUUUCUGAACGUAACUUCUGGCUUUACUUAUUAUGGGCUUUUGAACGUUACUGAUUGCCCUGACUUGAGAUUCUUUUAUUAUAGGGGUUCUGCCAGCUGAAAACAUCUACGAAGACAGGACUUGUUUCUUGGGCAGAGUCAAUCGUAGGUAGUUACUGCGGGCCCUUGACUACCGAACCUGUACCCGUACUUAAGCAAUAGUCCAGAAACCUUUACCCGUACUUAAGCAAUAGUCCAGAAACCUUUACCCAUACUUAAGCAAUAGUCCAUAUUAGAUACCAAUCGCAAGAGGGACCCUUAUCUAAUGGAUUUCUUGAAUGACCUGAACGGAAACCUCACUGUCAUUAACUUACUUAACUGUCAGAAACUUACGGAAGCUAUAGGCCAUAACGCGCAACUACUUGUCCGCUCGUGUUAGCUAGUUCUGUCACUUGUAGUUUGGCGUUUGUUCCAGAAAUAGGGUUUCUCUGUUACUAUCUUCUAUAAUGUGUUGUGGACUUAUCUUUAUAUUCUAGUGAGCAGUGAUGUUGGGUAACUCAAAUCUAGAAUAUGUCUACGCUGGUUCCCUUGCAUAACUCCGUAAGCCAUGAUGUAACUCCCGUUAGCGCUUUAGUUGAGUUGCUUAUUGAAUUGAGGAGAGCGUUUAACAUAUAGAAUGAAGUAAACAACAACCUCCUGACUGCUUACCCGGAAGUGAGAAUUGAGGCACCCACUAAGAAAAGAGACUAUACUUAAGAAAAUCAUAGAAGUGCGCCCAUUCGACAAUAUAGAUGAAAGUAAACAACACUGCUUGACUUCAGGCUCUGCUCUCUCUUUACUUCUUCCGAAACUCAAAUCCUCUCCCGCACCUUUUUCCUUUAUCCUGUUGUAGCCGAUAUCUCAUGCAACAUCUUCGCUCCUGGCUUCGGGUCGCCCGUACUUUUAUUCGUGAACCCCUGUCAUUAUCAUCUAAUCCGAACCAAUGUGGUCAUGGGUCCAUCUUGGCGGCUGAAGGGUUUGAGGGUCAAUUGCCACUUCUAUUAAUCCGGUCACUAGUAAUAUCUCUAUUUUCUUCCGUAAUAUCUCUAUUUUCUUCCUAUGUCACUAGUAAUAGCUCCAUUCAAGUCCUGCUCUGCCCUUUUUCUAUUAUUCGAUAUAGCAUCCGCCCUUUUUCCAUUAUUUGAGUCAAUCGAUGGAGCUCCUGGUCUAGUAUCCGUUCGUUAUCCUUCUUCAGUGAUCCAAGACCUGAGAGAGUAGACGCUGCAGAUUGAUCUAAGAAAUAAAGACUAUUGCUCUACCCCUGUAGGGCCUUCUGAUCUGAAAACUGGUUUGAUCAUGCCUUCAUCAGCUAAACGCACCAACUUACUAACAUAGGGUUUCUCAUUUAUUUGAAGCAACCAUUUCGACUAUCUUUUUCGGUUGUUUUAUGCAGGUAUCUAUUCUUGCCUUGGCAUUGCUAGAAUCUCCAUUCCCCGCCCUAUGAUGAUGUCUUUUUCGAUCUGUUAGAAGGGAUAUCGCGAGUUUCCGCAAAGCUGCCUCCACGCCACUGGAACGUUAGAAUGAAGCCUUCCACCUUUUCUCAGCCCCGAUGGAUUCGACCAAACGAGUGGAAUACUAUAGAAACCUAAUUGAGAGGAACUACUUGUUUGCUUUACUGGCUUUACUUACAGGGCAGGAAAGAGUGGAGAGUCAAGGCGAAGGAAGGAACUCUUUACACGACCCUCAAAAUACGAACGAAGAGAAACCCUAUUGGCCCUUCAUUUAGAGUAGAGCCUUUUCGGACAGGAGUAAAGGCCCAGAAGCUCAUAGGCACAAAAAAACGAAAGACUCCACUAAGGCAAGGAAAAAGUACUAACAGAAGCGAGGAGGAAUUGGGGUAUACAUUUCAAAGACAAUGGCCCUCGCUCUUACUAUCUUACUCUAAUUUCUCUCCUUAUAUCUUUCCUUUCUAUCAGUCAAUGCAGCCGAUAAGACUGAAUCUGCAAACUAGCAAUUCCACUCAAACCAGGUAAUGCAAAUACUAAUACGGGAAACCAGCUACUGACUUUGUUUCUUUAGCUAUUGAUCCGGAUUCUUUCGUCCAAACUUGUAUUACUUACUUGUAUUCUUGCUUGUUAGUUGGAAGCCUCCCUCGUUGGGGUACCUCGCUACGAUAGGACAUAAUAUGGUGUGUCAGUGUAUAAGAAGAUAACUCACAAGUCGGAAAUAAACAAAUACUCUGAGUAGAAUCAAACCAGCCAGGGCGCAUACUGGAAUGGAAUACAUAAUUUAGGAUACCGGGCAUAGCUCUAAUACAUUGAAAUAGGAAUACAGGAUACAUUUGAUAGUAAUUAGAAUGCUCGGGUUGGUUGGGCAAUCAGGAGUUUCGUUUUCAUUAUGACUUUCAGGUUGUUGUCCUAUGCUUGCUUGUUUCAUUAUCAAAUUACUACUUAUGUGUUUUAGCCUCAGACCGAUGAGGGAUAUUCCUACUUAUGAGCUGUAUUCUUAUUAGUAUAGUAGCAGUUGUCUUAUCCGUACGAGUUGCAUUCUGUUUGAAAUAAUGGAUAAGUUUACUUCACACUGGAACAAUAGAUCUUGAGUUCACUGAUAUAGAACUUGCUGUUUUUUCCCUUAUUUCCCUAAGCGAAUAGAAAGAAAUUGACUAUAUAUCAUAACAUAAUAAGUCAUUUUAGAAUUCAAUAGAUAAGUCAGAAUGCCAGGGACACCUACAGAUACGAGAUCGGGAGCUACACUAUUAAAAGCAUGAGCUGAAGUUUCAAAGAGAGUAGAGCAAGUGCUAGUUUUCAAGUAAAGCAAGGCUCUUGGGCAGUAUAAAAAGGUGCGGGGUGUGAUUGAGAUACAGUAAAGAAAGGAUCCGAUCCCGUCCCCCAGAGUUGAAGAAUAAAGUGCUGUAGCUACAGACUAAAGUGGUGGAGGUUUCUAUUUAAGGUCUUGCUAGCCUGGGGUCUAUUCUAUUCUCGUAUGUCCUUGUUCCGGUCUUUGUAUCAGUAGAUUUGUUCUAUUUAUUGUAUGCGCUAUAUCAUAUGUUCAUUUAGAUUCUUCUUUGUAGGUGGGGGCUAGAUCAUAUCUGUAUUACAACUAGUAGGUGUGCUGAAUCAGAUCCAUAUUGUAACUCAUCCGCUAUAGGAUUGAAAUCCGAUGGCGAAGAAUUCAAGCUAAGAUGUAGAGAUUGGUAGCCAGUAAGGGCAGACUGAUUGGAAGGGUGGUAAGAGUCAAAGAAGGGACAUACUGAUAGUAUAGGUUUCAGUUUCAAGGCAAGUAGCGUGAGGCACAUGGGUAGUAUAAAGCAAGGUGUAGUUUCAGUAGCGGAAGUCCCGGGUUUUCAUAUAAGUAUUGGCAGCACUGGGUCGAUUCCCAUCCUUAUAAGUUUGCUUCCGAGCUAUGAGUUAAAGUAUGCAGGGCAGUAGCUCCAUUCUUUUUAUCAGCAGCUCUAUUCUAUAUUAUGAGACGAAUCCUUGUCAGUAGCAGUGAAAUCCUGCAUGAAAUGCCUGCUGAUCGAGUUUGAGCCGGUUUCUUUGGUUCAUGCCUUUACCGCUUAGCUUAGUUCAAUCCAUAUAUCGAGUAGAGAGUUUCAGCCUGAAAUCAGUAGUUAGAAGCGUAGUCUGAGUUGGGAGUUAAAGCAUUGGAUGUAUUAGUUAAAGCCUUAGAAGCUGUAGGUGAAGUCGGAUAACAGUAAAGGAAAUCCGAGUUAGUGCUUUUCUUCUUAUUGGUGUUGGGUCAAUUCCCUAUUUUGAGCUGGGUUCUUUUGAGUUGGAUUAUGCUUAGUAGCCUAGUGGUUCUUACCUUUGAAUAGCAUUCUGAUUUGAUAUUGUUAGUCUUAGUCGACAUAUUCUGACUUUGGAACUGCCACUACACAACAUUACCUUAACUGACGUAAGGCGAUAUCGGUCUUUCCGGUAGUUGUUUGUAUUCUAUACUUUGGAGGUUGGUUCCUAUUAGUACUACUAGUUCGAGAGAUCCCUAGCAGUGAAUUUGAUUCUUGUUUCUAAGUUGUCAUUCCUUAAGUACACAUCUCGUCCGGUGGGAACCUUUGCAGUAGGGAAGAUUCAAUGAACGCCCCUUAAUCGUUGGCAUUCUUCUGAGCAUACUCAAUUCCUUAUGAACUAUCAGAUGCAUCCUGACUUUC